rnacentral:lncRNA from 1 species
AAUAAGUUCUUAUCAACCAAGCAAACAAACUUCCAUUAUCCCAAGGAAGUCUUUCCAAGCUACUGCCUUCGGGUUUGGAACACUUUUAGAGGUAACAAUCAAUUGGAACUAGUUACUCUUUCAAACUUCUUAUUGUACAAAUAUAGCCUGCAUGUGCAACCAUUUCUGAUCCCAUAAUUUCAAGAAUUUAUGACACCUUCUAGUGGUUAGUUUUUUUGGGAAUAGAGUAAAGCAAUCUAUUCACUCCCAGAAACUAUCGUCAGAGGAACAGUAGAUAACCCCGCAAGACCAAAUUUAUGUGUGUUGCAUGGAGAUGCAUGUUUUCUGCAUCCCAAUCAUGCAGUGUUGUGUCAAAUGGAAUAAUAGCAGGUGAUGAUAAGUGGUAUUUCUAAAAUCAUCUAAGAGUAUUCCAUCUAUUGUAAUAUUGUUUUCUCAUAACUGUCUUUGAGUCUUAUAUGUAAAUAUUAGAGUUGACCUCUUGUAAGCUAUCAAUUGAUGUUGUAACUUAACUUGAAAGGGAAAUUCUAUAAAUUUAGCCUUGGUUUGGCACUUGGAAAGCAAAGAAAAAUUAGGUUAGUGAGUUGAUUUCUUCCCUUCCCAUGGAUGUAAGCACAUUCUUGAAUCAUGUUAAUUAUUUUUUGGUUUAUUUUGUUGUUUUGUUGUUUAUUGUUCAAUUGUCUCCACAUAACAAGUGGUAUCAGAGUUGUUUCCGACACACUAGAUGAUUCUUGUGCUAACACAAUGUUUGAGGCUAAAUAUAAGAUAGUAAAAGUUUCUAGAAUAUUUCCCUAUGACAAUUACCAAUAAAGAAUGUACUUAACAGGAAGUUUGUAAGGUGUUACAUGGCAAGUUGAACAAAACCAAUAGCCAGAGAUAACUGAAAUAUUUGGGCCAUUGAUCCAAUAAUAGCAGAUAAUAACACAAGAAGAGACCCUCUAAUCACCAUUUUUGCUUUUGAUUCUUCUUUACAAAGCAUCAUCUACUUUAUACAAAAAGACAAUCCAUGGCUGAGCCCACAUUAUUCUCUACAUAUCCCAAAAAAGCCCUCCAAAUUUUAGGGCAUGAUGCUCUUUUUGGGGGUAUUUUUGGUACUAAAUUUGUGGUAGUCUCUCAAAUACCUAAACUAGCCUCCAAAUUUUAAGGCAUGCCCCACUGUUUGAGGUGGUGUUUUGGGUACUAAUUUUUGUUAGGAGAGGUUUUAGUGUGGAAACUGGAGGGCUUUACACAUGUCGCAUGUAUUUUAUUUUGCAUGCGUUACACGUGGAUUGGAGUUUAUGCAGUUACUCACACUUUUUGUGCGUCCAACAAUACUGUAGUGCCACGUCACCAUAUGAUGGGCUCUUUAGUCUUUUCAAACCCAAAAAAACACCCAAAAAAAAAAACUAAUACUAAAAGGAGUGCUAACUAGCUAUGUGAAGGUGAACCUUUAUAGCUAGCUUCUUAAAGGGACCAUGAUCGCUUAGGCCAAGGAAGUUUGAGGUGAUAAUAGGUCUGUGAUGCCUUUAGAUGUUUUAAGCACAUGUGCGUUACACUAAUGUAUUCAACGAGUCUAUAACCUUAACCGACAGGUCCGGGUAAUCUUUGAAAUUUCAUUGUGAUGGGAAGGUUCCAUGUGAACAACACUUGCACAUGGGUUAGUCAAUCUUAAGAGAUGGGGGAAGCCCGUCUAACAACGCACAAUGUGCGAGCUUUGAAAGGCAAUAGGGUUAACAUUUCUGAAUUGGGACAUGACAAUGACAACAACAUUAGGUAGUCUAGAGAUGUUGUCAUAUUAAUUGUUAUCAAUAUUUUUAUUUAUUCAAUAGAAAUUGAGGAUUAAAAAAUACCACAAAAAAUAGAAAAAACAAAAUUAAUUACAUGGCUUACAUUUCAGAUAUUUAAUAAAAUAUUGUAUGAAAGUUGAAUAUCAUACACUAUUAAAUGACUGGAUUCUCUUCUUUAUUUUUUUUAAUUGUCUCAUCCUAUUAAAUUACUCAUCUAAUAUUAAUUUAUUUUAAAGGUAAAAUUAAUUAUAUUGUAAAAAACUUUUAAUUGACCAGAGUUUGUGCACAACAUCUAAUAUAUACUUAAAUACUUUUCCAUGCUAUAAUCCUCCAACUAAGAAAUGAAAUCAAAACUUAAAAAUCAUUUAUAUAUAUAGAUAUAUGUUGUUAAGUUUAGGUAGUGAAACAAUUAAUGUGGAUAUAAAAUUAAUGCCAAAACUUUUGAUUGAUCCUUCACAUUCUCCACAACCAAACAAAGGAUAUAAGAAAUAAUGAAAGAAAUUUAGGGUAGUUUUAUUUUUUGUUCUCAUCUUGUUGUGAAGUUAAUAGAGGAAUGCUUAGGUUGGUGCUCAAUAGUUAAGUGACACCAGGGUAUAAUGAUUCUUCCAAUUGUGUAAACAUUAUCCGCUUUAAUUUCAAUGGAUCAUCAUCACUUUAAAUUGCAUCCACAUGGUUAAGAGUAACUCAUAUGUAUAUAAUAUCAUGAAUUUCUUCUUAUUCGAUAUGGAAUAUCAAAUUAGGUAUCUUUCAAUUUUAGGUAUUGUAUAAGCGUUUCAACUCAAAUGACUUGGCUUAAUGUAUGCUCAAAGCCAUGACAAAGGAACGUACAUGUAAUAAAGUGAAAAUUAAACCUUGUCGCCCUUCUAUCUCUAGUAUGAAACACAACUCCAUUAGCCCUUAAACAUCUGCAAAAAAAGAUAUACACAUCUGUUACAUUAAUUAAAAUAAAUGAUGCAAAAAGAGGCUCUACAUGUCCAUGUACAUAAUUUGAUUAGAUUUGUUAUAUAUAUAGAUAGAGAGAAAAAAAAACUGCUUAGAUUAAGGAUCUCAUUAAUUAAUACCUAGAAAAUAUAAAAUAAUAAGAAAAGAUUAGAAGGUGUGAAUCAUAAGAUAAGACUACAUUUUUGAAUUAGAUUCAUCGAAAGAUGGCAUAUUGUAUGAACAUUUGUACUCUAUAUAUAAAAAUUCAUAUUAUGGUUGAGAUGUAUUAAUUUGUCAUAUUUUUGGAAAAUUAAAGUAAUGAGUAAUUACACUAAAUUAAAUUAUUGACCUUAUUAAUCAAUACCUCAAGAGUAUAAAAUAGUAAGAAAUGAUAAUACAAACUUCAUUGAAAUAUUUUUAUACACAUUGUGUAAAUAUUCUUAUUUAAUAAAAGUUUAUAUGUCAUUAAAUAAAUAGAGAAUUUUAACAUUAAUUGCAGUGCUAAGUAGAGGAGAUCCCAUAUUUAAGUUGUUGAUUAAGGCUUAUUUGAUAAAACUUAAUAUAUAUUACUUAAUAACUUAAGUUGACUUUAAGUUAGAUAAUAUUUAAGUUAUUUACUUAAAAUUUAUUAUUUAAUAUUUACUUUAAGUAUUAAAGUUAUUUGAUAAAGCUAAUUUAAAAAUCAUUUUAAAUUUUCAAAUUGUCAUAUUUACCUUCAUUAAUUUGAUAACUAGAUGCAGAUAAAUGAAAAAAAAAAUGAGAUUAAGAAUAAGUUAAUUACUUUGAUUUAACACUUAAAAUUAAAAGUAACUUUAAAAUAUAAUAUUUAGUUAUUUUAUCAAAUAUAUUUAAUAUAUUUAAUAAUUAAAUUAAGUUAUUAAGUCAAUGAAUGAUUACCAAACACCCUAUAAGACCUAGAAAAUCGAAUGAGUUUUAAUAGUAUUCAGGAUGGGCAUGACUAGGUGGUGGUUCAAUGUUGAUUAAUCAUAAUUCAAUCAAGGCAAAAUAUGUAACAAAUACAUGUCAAACUGCACCAUCCAAAUGGGCACCAAGAACGUUACAUUUGACAAAUGCCAUUAAACCUUUACAGCUAGCAAUUAGAAGAUCACUCUCUUCUUGUAUCUCUCUUUUUCUCCAAACUCCAGGAGGAAAAACGCGAACUCCAUUAUUUUGAUCACAGAAAAAAUGGCAAAAAAGUGUGUUGUACUUCAUCUUGAAGCUCAUUAACUUCAUCUUAAUUUGAUCCAAAUUGCAGAAACAUUCGAAACUCCAUGAAUCUAUGGUGCUAUGGUGGCCUACAUUCAUAUAACUGGGGACACUUUGGUUUGCACUACAAUGACCCCCAAACAUGGUUUGUAGAGACUUUAUCAAGAUCACUAGCUUCAAAAGACUAAGGAAAGAAAGAUGUUCUCAAUGAAAACUUGGAGUCAAAUUGCAGAUAAAGACCUAAAACUCCCACUCAAUGUGUUUGAGGAAUUGUUGUUUCAUGGGGAUAAGCCGUUUGGUUUGUACACGUCUCCUUGGUGAUACUUAGAGAUUGGCGAAGUAUACGUCUCCUUUGUGAUCUGGUUUGUAUCUGGGCAGAUGAAUGUUCAUGCCAGGUUCAUAUAUGUUUCUGAUAUAUAUCACCCUGGAAGGAUCUAGAUCAAGGGGAUGAGUUUGAAAAGCUUGAGUAGGUUUAAAAUGUUCCGAGAAUUGGUGAGCAUGAUAUAUAUCAACAUGAUAUUGCAGAAGACAACAGAGCUUCUGAAAUAUGUCAGAUUCAAUAGUAGGAAAUCUUAUCAGCUGUCACUUACUGUAAUUCUAUGCUCUCAAUAUUCAUUUGUUGAAGAAGAAAAAAAAUUGCUUUCACACUAUUCAAUUACAGGAGAAUGUUCAUUAUUGAAGAAAAUAAUAUUCGCUAGUCUCUUUCAACUUAAUCAACAUGCAGAGAAAAGCAGUCGGGCGACCAAUUAUUCACAUAAAACUUACAUACAUUGUCUCUCUACCUCUACUUGUUACUCAUCAGUCAAGCUUAUAGUAAUAUAAGCUUGGGUUCAUCUCUCUAUGCCAUUGAUGAAAACUCCACAUGGGCUUUGCCUUUCUGGUGAUUUUGCAUUUGGAUUCCGACCCUCUCCAAGUGAAGAGGACCUAUUCCUUCUUGCUAUCUGGACUGCAAAUGGAAGUUAACCGGUGCCAAGAGGAUCAAAAGUUGGGCUUACCACCAAUAGACAGCUUGUUCUCUAGAGGCUGGUAAUGUGAGCAGCGAACCAGUGCAUGGUGCCAUGCUUGGAGAUGGAAAUUGUAUACCAGUGUAUGGGAGAGCUUCAAGCACCCGACUAAUACCAUAUUGCCAACCCAGGGAUUGGUGUUGGAGCCUACUGUUGAGUUGCUAUUUUUGAGGACCUGAGGUUUCCAAAUGGAACUGGAAGCUGUUGGAGGAAAAGACUACCUCUUUCAAAUGGGAGGUUGGAUCAAACUGCUGUUUCCAGAAGUGCUCUAAUCAAGAUAUUGAAGUCCAGUGAACUAACUUCAGGCAGAGGCAACCAAAAUAAAGCAAUUCUAAUACUCUCAGUCCUCUUAGGCCCCUCUGUGUUCUUCUUCUUCAUUUCUCUGGCUGCAAUUUCUCUAGUUUUCUACUGCUUGAUCCUCAAAAAUCUGCAGCUUUAUCACAGAAUCCUGAGUACAAGCGAUGGUAGAAGCCUUUGGCACUGUCUAUAAAGGGAUAUUACCAUCAGGUUCUGGAAAUUCUGUUGCUGAAAAGAAGUUGGAGAAGGUGGUGGGAGAAGAUGAGAAAGAAUUCAAAGCAGAAGUGAAUGUGAUAGGCCAACUCACCAUAAGAAUCACGGACACUAGCUGCGUUACUGUCGUGAGGGUGAACACUGACUACUGGUGUUUUUUUUUUUUAUGCACAAUGGCUCUUUAUCAAGCUUCCUUUCUGGAGGCGCCCAAGGACUUGUGUACCUACAUGAAGAAUGCAGUAAACAGAUCAUCCAUUGUGACAUAAAGCCCUCAGAACAUAACUCUUGGAUGAUUCUUCUACAGCCAAAGUUGCAAACUUGGACUGGGAAAGCUUCUGAUAAGCAACCAGACUAGAACACUCACAGGCAUCAGAGGGACUAUGGGGUAUAUUCAGACAACUCGGGCAGCCUAUGUCUCUUAUAAUAACACGUUAUGAAGCAUCAGCUCAAUGCCGGGGUUCAAUCUGCAAAGCAAGGGAUUCAUCAAUGUUUCCUUCAAACUAAAUGAUAAGGAACAGAAAUGGAUCAUUCUGCAUUUUCAGUGGUGUUUGUUAUAGCAUUUAUACAAGAACUCUAGGGGUUUCUAUGUAUAACUUCAUUCCCAUUUUGUAUAAUCCAAAUCUCUUCAAUCGAUUAAAUGUAUAAAUGAAUCCUAUUCAUUGUUUGGAGUAACAACAAAAUUCUGGAAGACUGGGAAAGUUUCAACACUGGAGAGAAGACAAAAUGACAAGACCAUAAAUUCUGGAAGAGGGCUUUGCUUUCUAACCAUUACCAUAAUUUUAGAGCUCAACCUGGAUGAGUAAAUUAUAUUUCAGAAUGUUCAGGAGAUAAUUCUAAAGUGAUGAACCUUCUACUCACAGUUUCUUGUUCUUCUUGAACAGAGCAAUGAACAUCAAUAGUUCAGCACCCAGGAAUCUCCCCUUCCUCCAAUUCCUCCACUGGGAAAAGUCACCUUUCCAGUUAAGAAAAUCAUCAGGAUUAGUUUGAGCAAAACAUCAGAGUAUACAUCAAGAAAGCCUUGAUCAAAAUCAAAAUACAUCAAGAGCUGCCAUUUUCUUCUAUUUCCUCUUCCCUGAAUGGAAUGCCUUUUGGACUGAGGUGAUCAAUGGUAACAAUCUAACACACUCCUUAAGCUCUGAUUGAGGUCAACGGGGAUUGGCACAUUUAAUGACUUUGAAAUCAUAGCUGUGUGAAGGGAGGCAAACAUGAAUCUCAGGAUAAUCAACAAGUCAACAACUAUCAAUCAGUAAGGAAAAGGAAAAGGAAAUACCUUUGGAUAUUUACAAAUAAAAAUGAAAUAUGAUACAAGAUUUUCAUGGAUUAAACAAAAAUAGAUGGCAAAAUAGAAGGAUAAGGUCACAGACAGGACAAUAUUAAAAGAAAUUAUUAUUUUUCCGACCUGAAAAUCAAGGAAUUCAGAACAGUACAAGUUUGUAAGUAGUCCAUGGAAACCAGGGAACAUAUGCAGAUGUUUUAUUCUAUUGCAUAAGGCAAACACUCAAUACUUACAAGCAUAAUCAUGCCCAGAAAGCCAUGAAUCCCUUUUUGUUUUGCCUUUUUAUCUAUUCCCAUCUCUUAUUGCCAGAAGUGCCCAGGAUGAUAUAAGCCUCACCAAAUAAGUUAGAAACCAGCCCAUUCAGCAGGUUGAGUAGCCAGCUUGCCCUCAAUCUUCUUUGAGUCAACAAACAGCUGGGCAUUAUUGCCUCCAAUGGAGGGUCUGGAAAUAUUAGAGCCGGCAGCAGGGGUGGCUGUAAAACUCUCUGUUCCAAAACCCCAAGUUUCAGGGCCAGAAGUUCCUUCUGUGGCUGGUUUGUUGUGAUGGCCAUUUCGGGUCCUAACAGACUUGCUAUUGUUGUCUGGGCACCUGCCUCAGAGAAAGCCUGCCAAAGAUUAGAGUCUGGGCCAGGGGAAACGGAUUUUCUUUGCUGGAGUUCCCAGUCUGUUGCUUCAAUCUUUUCUCUGUGCUGUUAUGAGAAGAAAACCUAUCAGACACAUGAAUGGGUACAAAAAGGUAAACUUCAGGUUUUGGUUGUAUUGAAAAGCACAGGAAACUUCACAAGAGGCAAAUUAUACCCCAGACUUAUUGAAGAAAAAUAAAGUACAAUUGACUUACCCAAAUGUCUACUUUCUCAUUUAUAAGUUUCCUCCUAAACAAAUCCCCACAUCUAGGACAGGAAAAGGAAGAAACUGGGAGUCAACAUUUUUUCAACCAAAUGUCAGCACUAAAUUAUCAAAAAACAUAGUUUUCCAUUCAACCUCGGGAGCUGUAUGUGCAGGUGUACUGUACUUUCUGAUAUUGUCUUCUUCAAUGCCCAUUUCUUCAGGCUUCUUAAAGUGCUUAUGAUUGGUGGAGGUGCUUCCAAAAUUACACAACUUCCAUAAUCCAUUAGGGCCCAAUAGAAGAUUCUCAGCAUUUAUAUAAGAACUUUAGGGUUUAUACGUAUGAUCAUGUUACAGUAUAAAUCAUAGUGAACUGGUGGAAUUUGAUUAUUUAGCCAACCUCAUCAAAAACUGUUUCACAGUUGAGGGGAUUGUUAACCUUGCCAUGGGCCAAGCAGCAAUUUCUGAAGAAGCUGGGUGACAAAGAGUACCAUCAUUUGGACUAGUUUCAAUGGAAAUUACUCUGUUUUUAUACAUGAUAUCUUCAGCUUCAGCUUUUCCUUUUGCUUUUGACAUGGCUGAAACUGAUCCUGAAAUCAAAAAUCCCACACAAGUAGAUAUUUAACAGAAGAGGAUCCGAAUCUCUUCAAUUGAUUAAUGUAUAAAUGAAAUAAUAAAAAAUUUUAGAGAUAAUUAUAGGGAGAUGAACCUUAUACCUCUGAGUUUCUUAGUCUUCUUGAACAGAGCAAUGAGCAUCCAGUGUUGAGCACCCAGGAAUCUUCCUUCCUCUACAGGGAAAAUCUGAACAAUCUAUCUUUCUUCAUAUUCCACUUCCUUGCAAAAGUCAAAACAUGAAGAAAAUAUCAUCAAAAUUGAGACAAAAAUAAGUGCAUCAACUGUCUCAAGAAGAGAUUUAUGCCUAUUGCUUACCUUUUGCAGAAGUCCACUUGGUUAGAGCACAUUUUACAUGGACGCCCAAUCACUGCAAGCUGCUGAACCAAAGGAGAGUUCAAACAUCUAAAAAAUUUGACUAACUCAAGUAUCAUAAAAUACUUCACAUGAAUUCUAAAUGAUCUCAUAUCUAAAAAACACUGGCAUAAAAUUAUUGUUGUUUACCUUACAUGUUUCUUCCAUGGUCAUAAUCGAAACUUUGUUUAUCAUAAGAAAUCUUUUAUGCUCAUCCUGAUUACUUACAAUGAUCACUGAAAUGAAAAGACAAAAAACACAAAAAAUGACGAUUAGUUUGAUUUGAUAAUUUUUUAAAAUUAGAAAUUAUAAAACUAUUUUGGUUCUCAGAAAAUUUACGGGAAAGUAGGGAAAAAAAUUGUAAACUUUUUCUCUUGUUUGAUUGUUUAUCGGAAAAUUGAGGGAAAAACAAAAAUCUAAGAGAAAUUUAUUUAACACUUAUGAGGAACCAAAAAUGUUUUAGAUGUUGUCAAAUCGAUAAUUUAAACGUGUUUAAUUUCAAUUAAAUGAGUUUAAUCAAACACAUGAAAUUGUGAAUAAAAUUAUUUAAAAGCAUUGAAAUUCAAGUCAUUAAAGUUGUCCAUAAAAUUUGAUAUAUUGAAGCAAGAAAAAAACAAAGCAAUUUGAAUGACUUGCUAAUGAAGCAGCUAACUAAAAUAUGCCCUAGAGUUGUUCUGUGCCCUGUAUAUAACAAAUUUAAAAAAAAAAAAUCCUAGAAAAAAAACAAACAAAAUAUCCAUGGUCUUAUGUUAUUUUUUUUCUUAAUUUUUCAAUAGUUAUAAAUGGUUCAUUUAAUUCUUGCAAACCACCAAAUCAAAACAGAGCAUGAAAAAGAAAAUCUUAAAUCAAAUAAACAGGACUAGCGAAUGAAUUGGAACUUGAAAGAAAAGUUCAAGCUCAAAAGAAUUACCUGACUCUAUAUUGGCGGAGUGGCACUUUGAUUAAUAUAGCACAAAAUUGAUCACUAUUUUUGGAAUGUGAGCUAUAUAACGCCAUUCUUCCCCUUUCUCAAAUUGACACCGUUUUUUCAGUAAAGGACAUUUGUAGAUGAACAGAUAAGAGAGGGAGUCUGGAAGUCUCUCUUUUGUCAAGUAUUUGAGCUUACGACACUUACAGAUCCCUAAUGUUUUAAGAGAGGUGAGGUGUUGAAGACCCACUUUUGUCAAGGAUUGGAGCAUUGGGCAGUUAUCGAUCCACAAACAUUCAAGAGAGGUGAGGUGUUGAAGACCCACUUCUGUCAAGGAUUGGAGCAUUGGGCAGUUUUCGAUCGACAACAUUUCAAGAGAGGUGAGGUGCUGAAGACCCACUUCUGUCAAUGAUUGGAGCCUCGAGCAUCCAUCAAUUUCUAAUCGUUUUAGAGAGAUAAGGUGUUGAAGAACCGAUCCUGUCGAGAACUGGAGCUCUGGGCAGUUUCUGAUCUUUAAUUGUAGAAGAGAGGUGAGUUGUUGAAGACCCCUGCUGUCAAGAGACUUGAGAUUCGAAAGCUCUACAAUUUGAAGAGAAGUCAGAGAAGAGGGCAGCAAACACUCCUUGGGAAAUAAUUCAAUGUCUUCACAUCCACCGGUGAUUGUGAAAUGAGUAAGAGAGGUCAGCCUUUGCAAACCCCACUCCACCUGGGGUGUGAGUUGGUUGCACUUCUUAAUUUCAAGUUCACGUAGGUUGGAAGGCAAACCCUCUCUCUGAAACAACAAUUCUGGACAAUCCCAUAAAUUCAACGACCUGAGCUUGGAGCACCUAUAAAUCUUACAAGACUCCAAGUUGAGAGCGUGCAAUUCGAUAGAUUCAAGAUCAGGGCAACCAUCUAGAGACAGGGAACAUAAAGAUGUGGGAUCACCCUCUGAAACCAAAAUGGAGAGCUUCUCAAGCCCCUUAAGAUCAAGGAUUGUGAAAUUAGUCAACUUUGGGAAGAUGCCUAAUGAGAAGGAUAACGAGAGAGAAUCAUCGAUAACACCAUCUUUGAUUUCUAGACUUUCAAGGACUGGGAGAUGGCAUCUGAACAACUCAGGUAGGAGAAACGCUAAUUUCGAGCAGUCAGAGAUGAAUAGUGAUUUCAGUGUAGUGGGUAAACCAACUUUGUGCAGGGAUCUAGAAAAACUACAAUCAUAGAUUUUCAGAUCAUGUAUGUUGGUUUGCGAGAUUUCCUCCUCUAGCAGAGACUCCACAUAAUCACAUUUUCUAAUUGACAGCUGGUGUGGUGCCAUUGGAAGUUGACUCCACUGAGACACAUCUAAAAUUUCAAUUUCUGAAGUUUGAAGAGCUGUGAAGUCACAACCUGCCAUUUGCAACUGCAGUUUACCAAAAUCCACCAUCCUCAAUUGACGAAUUGCAGGAACUGUGAGUGAAGCCAUAAGCAGUUGCGGACAUUCAUGAAUUUGAAGUUCCACCAAUGAAAGAAGCUGUUCUGGUAAUUUCCCAAUGAGUUUGGGACACCUUCGUAUAAAAAGCUUUUGAAGAUGAGGGAAUUCUCCACAACAUAACCAUUUCUCCCAGUUCUGCAUAUCCUCAAAUGAUAGUGUUUCUAGGAAUUGAAAGGAAGCAUUCCCAUAGAACUCAUCACCCACACACUCUACUCCAUUCAUCCUUGAGAUUUGCAGAUAUUUAAGUUGGGUUAGCUGUCCAAGUGGUGGCAAUGUUGAGCAAUUGCCACAACCCCGAAGCUCAAGGGACACGAGAUUCAACACUGAAGGAUCUCCAAGCCAAUUUGGAAAUCCUUCACCAGGAUAGUUUGUGAUGGAGAGUUGUUUUAAAUUUGGAUGAGGUUGUAACUUGUUGAGUAUAUCAUGCGUUGUUGCACCACUUUGUGUAACACCAUUGGUACACAUGUAACGCCAAUCAAAGAUCAACUCAUCAAGAUAACUUUUAUCCUGCAUAUUAGCUCUUGAUGCAUCAUUAACACUCACCACAUUCUCCAUGUUUGAAAUAUAAAGUUUUCCUCGAAGCUCUGAUAGCUCCCCCAAUUCUCCAAUUCUUAAUCCAUUGUUUUGGCCCACAAUAAAUCGAGUCAACCUUUGUAAAUUUUUUAAUUGACCAAUUCCAUGACUUGACAUUGCUCUCAAUGAACGACAUCCAUCAAUAUCAAGAUAGCGCAAAUUAAUCAAUUUUCCCAUCUUUGAAGGCAAUUCAUCAAGUUCUGAACAAUUUCUCAGCAUCAUCGUUUGUAAAUUGCAUAAACAACAUACUGAUUUAGGUAAUUUUUUAAUCCUCGUGACAGACAAAUCCAAGUAACGCAAAUGUUUUAAAUUACCUAUCGAUUUAGGCAAAUCAGUUAUUGUAUAUGCACAUAAUGAUAACACACGUAAACACCACAUUUUUGGUAAUAUAUCUUGCAAAACUCUUUUACUCAAAUUAUAUAUCGGAUAGUCUUCCAUUUGCUUCACUCCUAAGAAUGUUCGAAUAGAUUUAGCUUUAGUGAUAGCCUCAAAAUUCUUAAAUGCAACAAGCCUCUCAUAAUCACUUUUAAAGUACAAAAAGUGGUGAGCCUUCUCAGAUACUUUCAGUAACUUAUCAUCCUCUUCCACUCGAGCACAAAAAUCUCCAGACACGUGUUGAGCCAAUUCGUGUAUUAGAUCAUGCAUUACAAAGCAUGAUCCUUUUGUUCCAAUAGAUUUUUGAAAGAAUGACUUGGCGAGAAGUUCAUUAAAAUAUGACUCACCUAUCUCUUCCAUUCUCCUUCCUUCGUUUUCUUGUGGAUGUAAAAGACCUUCUGCCAUCCAUAAUAAAAUCAGCUUCUCUUUGUUGAAUUGGUGGUCCUGGGGAAAAAUAGAACAAUAAGCAAAACAAUGCUUCAGAGGUAGAGAAAGAUGAUGGUAGCUUAAUCUCAAAGAUGGAAGAAUUUCGGAGCCACUCUGCCGCCAUAUGUCACUGUUCAACACAACGUUCCAUUCCCCUUUGUCGGCCUCCGAAUACAAGAGACGGCCGAGUACUUUCACAGCCAAAGGCAAUCCUUGGCACUUGUCCACAAUCUGUCUGCCUAUGGGUUUAAGCUCAAGGAAUGCGUUGGGGUCUCUAUCUCCAAAUGCAUGCUUUUUAAACAGGGACCAACUAUCUUCAGAGCUUAAUUUCCCAAGAUCAUGAGUAGGGGCCGCUUUCAUGGCUUCUGCAACAGAUUUAUCACGACUGGUCACAACAAUCUUGCUUCCCUCUGCUGCAGCGAGGAGUGGAGUUCGUAGACGUUCCCAACCUUCACGAUCACUAAGCUCCAUGUAACCUUCAUCACGAGGCUUCAAAUUCCAGACGUCAUCAAGAACAAGCAGAAAUUUCUUGUUACUAAGUUGCUCUUUGAGUUGAAGCUGAAGCUUAUUUAGGCUGUCAAAAUCAUCAGUUUUAGAACCGAUUUCGUAUAGAAUUGUUUUAGUGACCUUGAUAAGGAGAAACUCAGUGGAAACACAGACCCAUACUUGCAAGUCGAAGUGUUUCUUCACUUCCUCAUCGUUAUAGAGGUGCCGAGCAAGCGUGGUCUUGCCGCUGCCGCCCAUGCCCACUAUGGACAUCACCCCCAUUUUGCCGCCUGUUGUAUUGUCAGAAAGCAACCACUUCACCAUCUCCUUCUGAAUUUCAUCCCUGCCGAGAACAAUGGAGUCAUCCUCCAAAGAAGUGGACGUUGGUAAUCUUGGUGUUGGUGACCGUGAUCCUGCUAGCCCCAACCGAACAAUUUCUCCUCCGAUUUUUUCCAGUAGAUCAAUCAUGCCCCUGACCCUGGACUCCAUGCUUUUGAUAGCAAAUGGGGCCUUCACAGAAGCAGAGAACUUGUUCCAUUUCCACGCCUUAAGAGUUCCGCCGGUUUGGGAGUCAGCAGCUUCCAUCUUGCAACGCAAAGCGUCGGUAGCGAUCUCGUCCAACAGGUCUUCCGCAUCAUACACAGCAUCCUUGACAUGGACGAGCCACUCUUUGACAUUUGGGUUGGAAAAUUGCUUCACCUCCGCAUCAUCGAGCACAUUGAGAACAACCACGAGUUUCCUCUUCAACUCGUUGAGGAGUUCAUCGCUAAGGUUCCGUCGCCGAAUGAAGUUUAUGAGCUCUGGAGAAGCCAACCUUUGGAAUAGAACUUGAAGCGAAGCUGAGAGGAGGGCGUCCGCCAUAUCUGUGUCGACUGUUGCUUUGCAAUAGGAAUUCAGAGGAUUGGUUUCUGUUACCGCGAUACCACCAAAGUGCAAAAGACUGGGUUUGGAUUACCACACUGCAGAAUGCUUGAAGGAAUCAUUAUUGGUGGUGGACCCAGCUGCCAGAUAUUUGUCAAACACCAUAAUUGAGUGGUGAGAAAAAGAACAGGAAAAGCAAGUGGGAGAUGGAUGGUGCUUUCCCAACGGAAAGCAAAAGCAACAACAACAUUCGGUAUUUUUCUUUUUCAUCUACGCAUUUCUUCUUUCUUCUUUCUUCUUGUAGUAUUAUUAUUAGUAGACGUAUACACACAAAUAUUUGUUUAUAACAUUAUCAUUCCUAAUAUUAUAAAAUUUAUUAUUAAUAGAAUUUAUUAUAAAAUUUGUUAUUAAUAAUAUUUAUACUAAUAUUAUUUUUUAAUAAUUAAUUAGUAUCCUUACUUUUAUUGUUUAUAAUAAUAAUAAUAAUAAUAAUAAUUAUUAAAAUUUAUUAGUAUUUUCAAGUAAACAAUGGUAUAUGCAUAAGACAUAUUAAAAUUUUGAAUAUUAUGGUUAUUAUUAUUUGAUUCAAAAAAAGUUUAUAAUAUAAUAAUAACAAAAAUAUUUUUUUUAAUAAAAUAAAUUAUAAAAAUAUAAGAAUUUUAUUAUUUAUAAAAUAUAUUUAUUUUAAUAUAAUUAAAAUAAUUAAAAUAAUUUUAAAAUUUAAAAAAAAAGUUAAACGUGACAGGAUUAGGAUGGGACCGACCUAUCCCAAUGCUGCCCAUUGCCAUCCCUAACUCACCUAGUGGUAAUUAAGGCCAUUUUUUAUUAUUAUUUUUUUAAAAUGGUCUUUUAUUCUUAAAAAAAGAAAAAGGAAAAUAUAUUUAAUAAUUAGAAAAUAAAACAUAAUUUUUGUUUUUAAAAAUAAAAAAUAAGGCAUUUUUAGAUGAUACCCUUUUAGUUACUUUUACUUGUUUUAAAAAAAUUAUUGUAAAAGUAAUUAUAUAAAUGUAAAAAAUAAAAUAAUCUAGGUAAAAAUUAUUUUUAAAAUAUAAAAAAUUAGUUAAGAAUACUCUAUCUUCUCAAGCUCGUUUUAUAAAAUAUCAUAAAAUAAUUUUCAAAAACUUGUUUUUUCAUUAUUUUGACAACCGGAAUAAUACACAAUAAAAAUAAAUAAAUAAAAAUAAAAAGAUCCAAAGAAAGACAAAUGUGUUGCAGUAAUGCACUUAAAUUCACUGAACCUAAAAGCCAAAUGUGCAGUGUUGACUUUUCAACCGAGAGUUCACACAUGCCCAUUUUUUUUAAUUAAAGCACUAUUAAUAUAAAAUAUAUAUUUAAAUAAAAAUUAGACUUUUAAAAAAAUUAAAAUAUAUUUUUAAAAUGUUAAAAAAAUAUUUACAAUAUUUCCUUAAAAAAAAACAUCUUCCAAAAACAUUUCUUUAAAAAAUACUUCCACCUAUAAUAAUUCAGACACACUUGUGAUUUAAUAGUUAAAUAUUCUUUCUAAUAGGAAUUCAACUAUCGGUUUGUAUUACCACGAUACCACCAAAAUACGAAAGACUAAUUUUGGAUUACCAAAAUGCAAAAGAGCUGAAGGAAUCAUUGAUGGUGGAUGAUUCAGAUGUCCACAUUAUUUGUCAGACACCAUAAUUGAGUGAUGAGGAAAUGAAAGAAAAGCAAAUAAAAAACAAAAAAGGUGAUGCCAAACAUGGUCUUAUAAGGUGGGUGGAGCGAAAGCAACAAAGGAAACUAGCAGGAUUUUUCAUUGCUAUUACAUACCUCAAAGGACAAAUUUUGAAUUACCAAAAUACAAAAGACUUAAAGGAAUCAUUGAUGGUGGUGACCAGAUGUCCACAUUAUUUGCCAAACACCAUAAUUGAGUGAUGAGAAAACAAAAGAAAAAGCAAAAAAGGUGAUGCCAAACAUGGUCUUGUAAGGUGGGUGGAGCAAAAGCAACAAAACAAACUAGUAGGAUUUUUCAUUGCUAUUCCAUAUCUCAAAGGACUAAUUUUGAAUUACCAAAAUAUAGAAGACAUGAAGGAAUCAUUGAUGGUGGUGGACCAAGAUGUUCACAUUAUUUGCCAAACACCAUAAUUGAGUGAUGAGAAAAUGAAAAAAAAAAAAUGAAAAACAAAAAAGGUGAUGCCAAACAUGGUCAUGUAAGGUGGCUGGAGUGAAAGCAACAAAGUAAACUAGCAAGACUUUUCGUUGGUAUUCCAUACCUUAAAGGAUUGAUUUUGAAUUAUCAAAAUACAAAAUACUUGAAGGAAUCAUUGAUGGUGGUGGACCCCGAUGUCCACAUUAUUUGCCAAACACCAUAAUUGAGUGAUGAGAAAAUGAAAAAAAAAAGUUAAGAAAAAACAAAAAAGUGAUGCCAAACAUGGUGUUAUGAGGUGGGUGGAGCGAAAACAACAAAACAAACUAGUAGGAUUUUUUGUUGUUAUUCCAUACUGAGAAAAUAAAGGGCUACUCUAGGUGAAUAGAAGUUAAAAAAUGUCUUUUUAAACACAAUAAAAUGAAGCACAAGAAGUACAAAUAUAAAGAGGUAAGGUUAUAGAAAGUAAACUCAAAUUUAUAGUGGUUCGACACUUCCGUGCUUACAUCCACUCUCCUCAAGCUCCUACCUGAGUGAGGGUUCCACUUAUACUUGAAGUUUCAACCAAGCUUCUAAUCACUUUUUACACUUGGAUUCCAGCUCCAAUGGAUUCUUAUACAAUCUCUUCAAGUCUUUACUCACUUGAAUGUUUUAACACUCAAUUAACAAGUUUGAAUCUCUCAACCUAGCUCAACAAUGACUCAAAUACAACUCAAGGCUAGGAUGAAUCACUAAGGUGCACUAAAGAAUAUGCAAAUGGAAGUUUAAUGCACUAAGAAAAUAAUGAGAGCUUUUAUGACAAUAAUAAGUAGGUAAACAAAUAAAUGCAAGUGUUCUCUUGCUCAUAAAUGAGGUAGAGCUCUCAAUUUAUAAGUUUCUAACCUCAGGAGCUAAAAAUCCAAAAAGCAAUCUCGACUAGUCGAGCUGGGGGUUGACUGGUUCACUAGCCGUUGAAACAUUAAAUGCUUGGCAGGUGACCGUUACCCUCGACCAAACCUUAACCGGGAAGGCAAAUCCAUAAACCAGGAAAGAAAGGCUACUGGAAGAGAGAUAAUGUUUUUUGCAUCUCUUGACUUAGAAGGAGUAAUCGGUAGACCGGUACCUAGCCGAUUGAGCCGGUUGACCAGUGCCUCGACUAGUUCACCAUUUUUAGUUCGAAAACCUAUCUUUUUCUGGUCUUUUUGCUUCUAGCACUUAGGCAAGGACUUUAGAUAAAAUAAUAUGCCAAUUUUGAAUGUUUUGCCUAAGGUUCAUUUGAUAGAACUCAGAUUUGGAUGGAAAUGUAACUUUAAUGCAUAAACCGAGUUUUAAAGAUGUAUGAAAUGAUAUGAAUAUCCUAAGUACACCCAUGCAUUCGUCUUACGUAUGUUUCUUAUGAUUAAAAGGUCUUUCAAAAGUCUUAAUCUUGCAUUCAUUAGGUCCUUUAAUGAAUUUCCAAAUUAACACCUGAAAUUCUUUAUAAUUCAAAUCAAUUAGUAACUUAACCAUGAUUUGUUAUCAUCAAAACAUGAUUAGAAGAAUCAUUGGGCUAACACAUACCCAAAGGACUAAUUUUGAAUUACCAAAAUAUAGAAGACUUGAAGGAAUCAUUAAUGGUGGUGGACCAAGAUGUCUACAUUAUUUGCCAGACACCAUAUUUGAGUGAUGUGAAAACGAAAGAAAAGCAAAGGAAAAACAAAAAAAGGUGAUGACAAACAUGGUCUUGUGAGGUGGGUGGAGCGAAAGCAACAAAGCAAACUAGCAGGAUUUUUUGUUGCUAUUCCAUACCUCAAAGGAUUGAUUUUGAAUUACCAAAAUACAGAAGACCUGAAGGAAUCAUUAACGGUGGAUGACCCAGAUGUCCACAUUAUUUUUCAAACACCAUAAUCAAGUGAUGAGAAAAUGAAAGAAAAGCAAAGGAAAGGAAAAAAAACGUGAUGCCAAACAUGGUCUUGUAAGGUGGAUGGAGUGAAAGCAACAAAGCAAACUAACAAGAUUUUUUGUUGCUAUUUCAUACCUCAAAUGACUGAUUUUGAAUUACCAAAAUACAGAAGACUUGAAGGAAUCAUUGAUGGUGGACAACCCAGAUGUCCACAUUAUUUGCCAGACACCAUAAUUGAGUGAUGAGAAAACGAAAGAAAAGCAAAAAAGGUGAUGUCAAACAUUGUCUUGUAAGGUGGAUGGAGCGAAAGCAACAAAGAAAACUAGUAGGAUUUUUCGUUGCUAUUCCAUACCUCUAAAUCACCAUAAUAAUAAUAACAAUAACACCAAAUUUUAAGGUUAUUUUUUGUUAUAAAAAAAUACUAGGAAAAGAAAAAAAAUAAUUAAGGAAAAUAAUUUUUUCAUAUUUGGUUUCACUAUAGAAAAUAUAUAUAUAAAAAAUCAAAUAUAAUUAAAAUUAAUUUGAAAUUUAUAUAUUUUAAAAGUAUUUAAUCUUUUUAUAAUUUAGAAAAAAUAAGUAAAACGAGUUUGAAGAAAUGUAUAAAAAUAAUUUAUUAAAUUUAAACUUAUUUCUUAUUUUCCUUCAUUUUUUCUUUUCUUCUACUUUUUCUUUCUAUUUUCUUUCCUUCUCAUUUUCCCUCAAAUUUUCCAAGAACCAAACAUAGCUUAAAGGUUUAGAAUCUUAUGCACAAGACUUUCAAUUUUUUUUACAAUAUUAUUUUAUUAGUUAAGAAUUAAAAUUUAAUGUACCAUAUCUAACACUAACAAAAAAAAUUAUAACAACCAGUCUUAUCUUUUAAGAAUGUAUUGUUUAAAUGAGAUUAAAAAUUAAAAAUAAAUUUUAAUUCAUUUAACAACUAAAUUAAAAUGAAAUUUAUAUAUAUCAUAAAUUUAUACAAUUUUGAAUCAUUUUAUAUGGAGGAUUGAGAAUGGAGAGAUUGAAGAAUUGUUUGGUGACGAGGAGAUUGAUUGAAGAUUUUAUAGUCUUAAGGUUCUAUGGGAUGAAAUUUUUUGUAAAGAGUUUAAAUUUUUGUAAAAAAUAAAAUUAGUUUUAUGUUAUCUGAUUUCAUGGAAAUAUAAAGUUUUAAUUCAAAGAUUAUGUUUUAAAAAUAUUAUUUUUAAAAUAUAUUUAGCAAAGAUUUAUAAAAAUUUAAAAUUAAAAUUAAUUAAUCUAUCAACUAAAUUAAAAUAAGAUUUAUAUAUAUUUUUAUAGAUUUACAUGUGUAAAAUCUUUGAAAUGCCUCAACUUAAAAUAACCUUACAAAAUUUCAUUAAUCUACUAGAAUUUGCAUUAGGAUGAAUACCAUCAUAAUAAUAAUUACGCUCCACAUAUGACGUAUCUUAACAUCCACUUGGAGGUUAAAAAAUAAUUAAAGUAAGGGAAACUAAUAUAUUUAAAAUUUAAAAAUCAUGAUGAAGAUUUGGACAAUAAUUCAAGUAGGCAUCUUUGAAAUUUGACUUCCAAAUCCAUUUGUCAAUAUACACCACCCUAUGACAAUUAAAUAAAUUAAAAGAAGGAAAAAAAAAUGUUAAAGGAAUGACAUAAGAAUUAUUUAUGUAUGACUAGAUUUAAAGUUUAAUUAUCUGAGGAAUCCUUUAUUAUGAAAAUAUAGGGAACAAUUAUAUUUAAGGAGUAGACGGGGUUGAUAAUGACUAAAGGGUACAAAUUUUGCAUAAUUGAUCUAAAAAGGUAGAGAAGGUUUGUAGAUUGUUGUGGAGGAUAUAAACCCAUUUUGUGAGUCGAAAAUGCUCAAAAUACCCUUAAGAGUGUUUUUUUAAAAAGGACAAUUAAGUACUCAUGAUAAUUAAUAUAUUAAGAUUUCAAGAAAAAUUAAUAAUAAAUAAAAUCUUUUUCUAAAUCUAUUUAACAAUCAUAUAGUUUUUAUUUUAUUUUAUUUUUUCAAGUUGCAACUAUUAUCUUAAUUUAUUUUUCAUUUUAAGGUUCAAUUAUUAUUAUUCUUUAUUUUGAUUAAUUAAAUGAAACUGUACAAGACAUAUUUAUAUUAAUUAGCUAAAAAGGAUAGAUUUUUUAGCAAUACGAUUAAAAUAAAUAAAAACAAGGAAUUUGAUUUUCUUUAUAAAAUAGAUUGGGAAAAGUAUAUUUCGAUACAUUCGUAUGAAAAAAAAAAUCAUAAAAUAGGAACUCAAGUUUAUAAAAUACAAAUUUUAAGCAUCCAUCUAAAAAUAAUUAUCAUUUCAUGCAUUUUUUUGGUUAAAUAUAUUAUAUUUGACAAUUUAAGUAUUAUCUUUUAAUAAUGUAGGUAAUACCUUUGACCUGCAUACAACUUGAAUUAUUUUUAGAUAGUUUCUAUUGUAUAAUUAGUUCAUCAUUUGAUAUAAAUAUCAAAUAAUUAAAAAAUAUAUCUUUUUUUUUUAAGAAUUUUAAUUAUAUUUGACUUUCUUUUGUAUUUUCUAUUGUGUAAACCACAUAUAAGAAAAUCAUUUUCUUUAACAUUUUUUUUUCUUUCCUUAAUAAUUUUCGAGAACCAAACAUGGCUUGUAGGUUUGGAUUAUAGGGUAUAGAUGCCAUAAAUACUGGAAUGAGUUCGGGUUUUCCAUGCUAAAUGUCUUUAUUAUUAUUUGGUAGCGCUUUUCCAAAAUUGUUCCAUUCCCAAAACCACUUAAUUUGCUUAAAUAUUUUAACCUCACGAUAUCAUAACAUUAUAAUGGAAUAGAUUUUGUUGGUGUUCAAAUCAUGUCAACUCAAUUUCCAAACCAUUUGGAUUGUCAUUUGGUGAAAAAUAGAAAGAAAUUUUACUUGAUUGAAAAGCAUUUCAUUUUUAUUUGAAUAUGCUGCAAUGAAACAGUUACUAAACCAUGGGGUAGCAGAAGAAGUAAUCGAGAAAAUGAAGAAGGAUGUUUAAGAAUUCUUUAUGCUGCCAUUGGAGGAGAAGAAUGCUUACACAUAGCUACCAAAUAGCAUUGAAGGUUAUCACAAAGAAUGCUUAACAGUUUUCUUAAAUUUUGUCCAAAGUUUAUGAAUUUUUAUUUUUUAUAAUUUUUUUUUACUUAAAUUGAAACUUAUUAAUCAAGGUAAGAUUUCAGCCACAUCGAGAAACAAUUUACGUGAAAAGGGACUGAUAAAAUCUUGAGUUAACAGAUGUAAAAGACAUAAGGCCAAAGACUCUAGAACUCCAACCCACUGAAUCAAGAAUAGAAACACAAAUUUAUCUACCAACCUACACUAAUCUCAUAUCUACAAUGCAACACCAUCGUACUCUUAAGUGACUUGAAAGGAUGUGAAUAUUUCUCACAAGCUUCAUAAUGAAAUUCAAAUUAGCUCUGAGAGUUUUGGGUUAGGCACAAAGAGUAAUAAUGCAUAGCUUUUGUGUGUGAGUUUUUAAGUGAACUUAAGACUCAAUUUAAAGCAUGUAUUUUACUAAAAAUAAAAAAAUAAAUUUAAGAAACUUCAAGAAUUUUGGAAAGAUAAAUUUUAAAAAAAAUUCAAAGAGAGUCAGAAAAUGUUUCCUUUUUAAAUUCUCAAUUUAAUUUAUUUUCAAAUUUAUUAAGAGUUUAAGAAAUAUUUUCUUUUUAAAUUAUCAAUUUAAAACGCUCUUUUAAAUUAUUUUAUUAUUAAUUUUCAUGCAAGUCUACUCUAUACAUUUUACAUCAUUAUUCUCAAUUAACUCAACAAUAUUAGAGUGUAACAUCCCCAAUUGAUUUUGCACCAACCUUAAGUCUUCAAAGACAAUGAUUGAGGCAUUUCUUCUCCUAUUUUCUCCGAUGUAGAAAAAAAAACUUGAAUAAGGUUAAAGUUGGUCUAUAGCAAAAAGUCUUAAUUUGAGUUAGCCUUUUUUUUUUUUUUUUUCCAAAUGAUAUGCAGGUCCAUCUAGCCUUCAACUCAAAUUUUUUAUUCAAAAAUCACAUGUGGAUAUGUGAACAAGUAAAAGUUGAGUUUUACCUAACAUAUCAUUUUGAAAAUUAGGAAAUUUAAAAGGUAUUAGUUUGUUAAACUCACCACCCCUGUCUAUUCUACAAAACAAGAAGAUUAGCAAAGAAAAAGUAUUCAUAUUUGUACUACAAAAUAAAAAGAUUAGCAAAGAGAGAAAUUGUACGCAUGAGUGCAGAGUUUUGGGUUAAAACAACCCUUUUGAUGGGAAAAAUAUUAAAUUUAACCACUUUGUCAAACUAAUGUGUAAAAUGAUCCUUUUAUUAUCACAUAGGAGUCAUAUCACUAAUAUAUAUAUAUAUAUUUAAUUUAAGUUGAAGCCUCAAUUGCCAAUUAAGGCUUCAAUUAUCAAUUACGACUUUAUUUUUUAACCCGAAACCUUACUUGCCAAUUGAGGUUUCAACUAAAAAAAGAAACCUCAAUCGUCAACUAAGACUUAAUUUUUUAAUUGAAGCCUCAAUUAACAAUUGCGGUUUUAUUUUUAAACUGAAAUCUCAAUUGUCAAUUGAGGCUUUAUUUUUGUGAAAGGAUUAUGUGACACUCACGUUACUAGAAAAAAGCCAUACUGAAUAUAAGUUUCAAAAGUGGCUUAAAAGGUAUAAAUUUUAUGAUCAAAGAUGCCAUUUUGACCCAAAUCCCAUGGGUGCAUGAGACUCUAGUUAAUCAUAGAUUUCAUAGAUAAAAAUCAGAGUUAGGAUGAUUCAACCCCUAAGCGUCAAGAAUUCUUUAACAUAAUGUUAGAACAUUUUCCAAUUUAAAUUUGAGAGUUGACUUUAUUUGAAUAUGCUUUUGAUUUUUUUUUUUUUUUAAAUAAGCUUCAGUGUUUUUUUUAAAAAGAAAUAAAAAUAAAUAAAAAUAGGAGCUUCUAUAUAGAAAGUAAAAAUUUUAUCCAACAAAUAUAAGGCUCACCUUAUAUCCUUAUAAAAUAAAAAAUUUUAAAUUUUUUAAUACCUCAAAAUUUUUAAUCAAUAUUUAAAUAUCAUUAUAUUUUCAAUAUGAUCCUUUAAAAGUUAAAAUUACUUAUAUUUUUUAUUUUCAAAAAAAAAAAAAAGAAUGAAUUUUUAUGUUUUUUAAUUAUUAAGAUGGAUGAAAUAAUCCCAAAUUUGCAAAAAUAACUUCUUCCAUGUUUGAAUUUGAAAAAUAACUCAUUUCCAACAUAAAUACUCUUCAAUAUUUGGAUUAUUUUAAUAUAAAUUUUAGAAGAAAGUGUUAUUUUGACUGGAAAACAUGAAAGACAUUUUUGUUAAAAAUUGAUCUUUUUUUAAGGCUAAAAUAUAUAUAGGUUUAUAUUUACAAAUUUGAGACUAUUUCGUCCUCUUAAUCAAAUAACUUAAAAAAGAAAAGAGUUAAUUCCACAAGUGGGUUUAAAAUACUCACAAAAUUGCAAUAUAUAUAUAUAUAUAUAUAUAUAUAUAUAUAUAUAUAUAUGAAAUUACAAAUUUACCCUCGUGUGUUGAGCACAUGACACUUCCAUUCAUUAAAGCUAACAUUGUUAAAUAACAAAUGUACAUUGCAACUAUUUAAGAAGUAUGAAGGGCACAUUGCUUGAUUUUAGUACAUGGUGAGAAACUUGUUGAACAAGUUAUGUGUAAAGUUUUAUGGUUCAUGUAUGAUAGAAAAUACAGAUCUACUACAACACUGGAUUUGCAAUUUUGGUUAGUAUUUAAAGAAAAGACCAUAGGACAAAAAGAAUUAAACUUUUGGUGGAAAACAAUAAAGAAAGGACUACAUGGAAAAAGGGAAGAGAUCAUUAUAAAGGAAGAUUAUUGAAUAGAAAUAAUUCCAAGAACCUAAGGCAAGACAUAGAGUAUCACUACUACUAUCACAAAAAGGGGUAUAUCAUAAAAUUUAUGAAAUUUUGAAAAAGACCUAAAAAACGAAGAAAAAAAAAAAAACAAAUCAAAGAAGCCUACAAGUGUAACUAGUGUUCUUAAAGUUGCGAAAUGUAAAUCAAAAGUAGAUUUGUUAAUAGUUUUUAAAAUGCUUAAAUUAGGAAUUGUCUACUUGUACCAUACAAGCCCUUGUAGAGACUGGUUUGACAUGUAAAUUGUUUGUAAAAUCAUUUUAAUGGGCAAUAAUGCACCAAGUUGCUCCACGAGAAGGGGAGGGGUUUGUGAAACCAUCACUUGUCGUGGCAUACAUCGUCGGGUAAUCACGGAUGAGGGCAUCCACGGGAGGCCAAUGUCUACCCUCGCUCUACACCCCUCUAGUACAAGGCUCUAGGAGGGAGAGAGGCAACAAGUGUGUGACACCAAGGUAAAUAUGCUUGACCUUAUGGCUUUGGGAGCAACUUGCAUUUAAAGACUUGAUGAUUCACAAGAUUCUACAAUUCAUACCAAGUAUUGCAUUUUGCGACGUUCUUCAUCAAUGAGAGAGCCUAGAUAUCCAUUGUCAAGAAUUAUUUAUGUAUGAAAAUAAAGGCGCCUAACCGACAUGCCCAAGAUCAAGGCAACUGGAGUGUGUUGCUUCGCCCAAGUUACUUAGCGCGUUUUGUGCCAAAGUUUGUUGUUCGCUCAAGAGGGCUUUUGUGAAUCUUUGUAAUAAAGGGAUAAUACAGAGUGGGCCGUAAUUUAGCAUCUUACACGCUUAGUUUCUUCCAUUGGUGGCAUAUAUUAUUUUGUCUGUCAUUGGUGAUUAUUUAAUAAAACUAUGAGAGUAUUUCAUGAAAUAUAAAUAAGAGGUUUUUAGGAUAUUUAAUCGAUGGUAAACAAAAGUUGAAAACUAAGUAGGGAGGAAGAUAAAAUAUUUUAGAUUUGAUAGUGGACUUGAGCAUUAGAACAAGAAGUUCACAAAGUAUUGCGAGAAUUCUUAUAUAACUUAACAUCACAUGUAAAGAAAUUACAAAGCAAAAUGGAGUGGUUGAAAAGAUGAAUAGAACACCAUUGGAAUGACUAGGUGGCUAAGAUUAAUCAUUGGGUUACUUAAGAAUUUAAGGGCUAAAGCUAUCAACAUAACUUAUCAUGUAAUUACUUAGUUGUCAAGUUUUACAAUUAUUUUCAAUAUUCCAAAAGAAGUGUCAAGUAAAUCAAUUGACUUUUCAUCUAUUGAAAUAUUUGAUUGUUGCACUUAUCUUCAUAUAUAGGUGAAAAAAAAAUUCAAUCCAAAAUAAAAAAGGUAUAUAUUCCUUGGGUUUGAAAAAAGGAUUGAUUAAAGACUAUAGACUUUGGGAUCCAACAAUUAAAGAAAAAAAAGUGGUGAGUAGAGAUGUAUUCGAUGAAAAACAUAUGUUAAAGAAAGAUCAAGGACAAAUGAAAUUGUUAUUGAAAAAAAAUUCAACUACAUGACCAAUCAUCGAGAUGAAAUUUGAGAAAAAUGUCAUUAAAUAUGAAAUCCCUCCUAAUUGAUGUCCCUAUUAGAACUUUAUAUAGGCAUCUUUCUCUAUUGCUCUAAAGAAUCAUCGUAUUGGGUAAGGACAUCAAUUUUAAGAUUUUAAUUUUUUUUUCAUUAUUUAUUGGAAUAGGAGAUCUUUAAUUUUUUUUGGGGUGCAAUUAGGAAGGAUGAUAGUUAUCAAUGUCUUGGUGCUAUGUCAAAUGAGAAUCCAAUGCACAUGUUGACUAAAGUUGUUCUUAAGGAUAAGUUCAAGCAUUGGUUGAAUGUCAUUAAUUUUUCAUUUUGUAGAACAUGGAAGGUCAAUUUUAUCGAAGAGCCAGGUCAAUCAACUUCUAUUAGGACUUCUAUUGAUUCUUGACCAAUGCACAUGUUGACUAAAGUUGUUCUUAAGGAUAAGUUCAAGCAUUGGUUGAAUGUCAUUAAUUUUUCAUUUUGUAGAACAUGGAAGGUCAAUUUUAUCGAAGAGUCAGGUCAGUCAACUUCUAUUAGGACUUCUAUUGAUUCUUGAUUUGAUUAGAGGGACUCCUAGCAGUAAACUUGUAUGAAGGGGCCCUAUGGAGAUGCAAGAGAUGCAAGAGCUGCCAAUCAGAUCGACCAAUAAAUGAUAGGCCCAUGCAGAGAUGUCCCUGAAAUAGGGGAUUGGUUGAUUGGAAAGCUUAGGCAGUGUAUAAAGGAGAACAAUUUAGCAUAUUGGGAAAAACACAUAUGAAGAUGUUUACAAGUUUGGAAAAUUGAGUUAAAGAAUAGAUGGUCUAAAAAUGUUUCAAAUUUCAAUUUUAUGUUUUUCUAAGUUUGAUAUAUCCUAUUUGGAUAUUUAGGAAGUCUUCUCUUGUUAGAUAAGAUAGUCCUAUGAUGAGAUUUGUUAUGAAAAUAGGUUCUUCCUCGUGUGAAAUAUUCCUAUGAAAUUAAGAAGGAAUAUAGGAAGAGUUUUGAUUGAAAUUAUGAAUCUUUUUUUUAUGUAAUUAGAACUAAAAUAUGAGAGUUUUAUAAUUGUAAUUACACCUUUGAAUAUAAAUAAUUGAUAAUAGUGAAUUAGUUUACCUUCUCCCUCUAAAUGUAGGUAAAUGCUAAAUUAUGUUAAAUCUUGUAUUCUCAUAUGAUUUUUUUUUCAUUUAUUUUUCAUUUUCUUGCCCAUUUCUAACUUGCUACUACAUAAUAACAGGUGGUAUCAGGCUUUUUGUGUUUGCACAACAAAUGGUCUCAGUAUUUCCAGCACCACAAAAAUGAUAUUUUACUUAAUUGCUCCUCAGUGGAAAAGUUGGAAAGAAAAAUUAAAUCAUCGACUAUACCUUUUUUUUUUUUUUUUCAAAACUUUUCUCGUCUUUGUGCAAGAAAAUUAGUAUAUUUUCUCUUUAGUAUUUGUUUCUCUUUUAUAUAUAUUCAAAUGAAACCUUAAUCAUCUUUUAUAUGAAGUAUAAAAGAAUUAGAAAAUAUUCAAAUUUUAAAUGAUUUUUAUUAUACUUUGUCCACUUCCUAUUUCAUAUAUCAAAUUACAAUAGAAUUUAAAAUUCUUUUAUACGUUUUUCCCCCCUUUGCUACCACAUAAAUGCAAAGACAGUAUGUGAGUUAAAUACCUUAAAAGAAAAAGAAAUUAAAAUGUGAUAGAAAACAAAUGUAACCUCUUGAAAUUCAAGGAAACAAAACACUAAACUUUUUCAUGUAUUUUAUUCCAUUUAUAAAUGCAACAUGACAAAAAUAGACAAAAAUAUAAAUGGAAGCCCUUUGGGUCCUUCAUUUUAUAUUUUAUCAACUUCGACCAAUUCUAUUUCUAUAGCACAACCGAUACUAUAAAGUUCAAUGAGUAUAUAAUAUAUAAAGAUACUAAUCAAUACGAAUUAUUCUUUCUUUCAAAUGGCUACUUGUAUUAAAAAUUAAAUGUAAUUCCUCCUAAACAAUAAAAUAUGUUGACACGAUUUCAAUGAAUAUACAGUACAUAAAGAUAUGACCAAUUAGUACGAAUUAUUCUUUCUUUUAAAUAGCUACUUAUACUAAAAUAUAAGUAAAUAUAAUUCCUCCUAGAUAACAAAAUAUGUUGACACAAGGAGGAAUAUAUUUACUAAUUAUAUCAUUUGCAAUAGCCUCAAUCUCGCGACGUUCUUCGAACCAACCAUAGACUUUAUUGAGAUAGGUUAACCAAGGGAGCUUCCACUCUCAUAACUCGUAUAUGAAAAUUUCAUCUUGUACAACUCAAAUAGAAACCCAUAAAUACCAGUUGAAACCAAAAUGUAAUAAAUAAAUAAAAACAUAUUUCAAUGGAUCCAAUUAGUAUUUUUCCGAUCUAGGAUAAACAAACAAAUUUUUCUUCAUUUUGCUUUUUUUUUGUAUUAAUCUUUGUAAGUAAAUUAUAUUUUAAUUUAACAAAGCACUAAACUUUACUUUAAUUUUCAUGCAGGAUCAACUAGCUUAUCAUAAUAAAAUUUAUCAAUAUAGUUGAGCAGAGAUUUGAUGUAAUAAUACCAUACAAAAUUCAAGUAAAAUUAAAUUAAUCAAAUAGGACACUACGGUUAUAUUUGGAUACAUAUUCUAUUUUUUAUUUUUAAAAUUAAAAUUUUGAUAUAAAAUAUGACAACCCUUUGUAUAAAAAAUAAAAAUUUAUCCUAUAAUCUUAAAACUACUUUUCAAUAUUAAAAAAAAAAUGAGGAUGUGUCCUAAAAUUUUAAACAAAUUUAAAAAUAUUUUUAAAUACCAAGAUAUCCACUUUUUUCUUUUUUAAUAAAAAUUCCUAUAUUUGAUAUAAAACUCUAUUUUAAAAAAUGAAAAAUAAAAAAUGUAUCCAAACAUAAGCAAAAUUGUUAGAUUUCAUUGUGAGAUUUCUUAGAUUCUACAAUUCAUAGUGAAAUGAAGACGAGAUAUAACUGACUGAACUAUGAAAAAAAAAAAAUUAACAUUGAUGAGAUUCAAAAAUGCUAGUUAAUGAAAGAGUUUCUCCGCCAGGAUGACUAAGAAAAAUGCUGAAAAAUGUGUCAUGCCCAAAGCAAUGUUACAAUGAAGAAUAGAAUGAGAGCUAACCCGAAACAAAAUCCGACAAUCGCCAUGAAAGCCUGGAUGCAGAGGAAAUGUAACUAGAGACAUGUAAGGAAUCAUUAAACAAGUGAGAACAAUAUCAAAAUCUCAUGUACGACUUACCUUUCCCUGAGAUUCAAACUUGAAUUUUACUGUAAACCAUGACAAUCCUCUAUCUACAAUAGGAGCAAGUGCAAGGGCCCUGCAUGAGAAGCACCUCUACAAAAAUCACAGAAAACCCAAAGGAAAAAAAAAAAAAUAGGGUUGAAUAUGCUAUAGUUGAAUAACAGCCACAAUGCUGGGAAGGUCAAUAACAAAAGCAUUGACUUGAAUGUUAGCAGUGUCAUUUACACUGGCCAUAAGAACCAGAGGUAAUGCGUACAGUUGGUAAGUGGGGAGGAGGGGAUGAGAAAUUGCAAAGUCUUGAAUUUAAUUGUUUCAUGCAAUUCCGUUUUCCAAUACUCUAUAUGAUAAUAUACAUUGUACGGAACAAAAAUAGGGUUGUUUUAAAAUUUUGAACAAAUAAAAAUUUCAUAUCAAUAUCUAAUAUUUAAUAAAAAAGAAUGAAACAAGAGUAAGUACAUUCUCUUCUCCUUAACAUGGUAUUAAAGCAGUCUCCAAACUCUUAACUCCUAGUUGCAAACUUGAUUUCCACUGGAAGUUGCAGUUUGCUUAUUUUGUUAUUCAAGUAAGUUACUUCAAUCUAUCAUAGUUUAAAUGACUUGGGAUGGUAGUUGUCAUGGGCACGAAUUUUCCCACAAAUUUUUUGCAUCCACGCAGCGCUUAGAAGCCCUCUGAGCCAACAUACUCAAACCCACAUGAGAUUGCAAUCAAGAAAAAACUCACAAAGACACACAAGGCUAUGGAGCUCAAUCCCUAACUUGUAUUUUAUUUCUUCUCUAAAUAACAAUACAAGACAUAGCUCAACAAGACUUCCACAAUCUCUUUGGUGAGUUCAUGCUCUCUCUCAAGCUAUGUUUUAAGAAAGUUCUCCCUCUCAAUAUACCUCUGUAUAUUCUCUAUGAUCUCCAGAUUGCACGAUAAUUCAAAGGGCACUCCAGUCCUCCUUUUAUAGGUGUGACACCAACCACUCCCUAUUCGAUAAGGAGCAAUACAUCUUCCUUAAGCUUGUCCCAAUGCCAAGACAUCUUUGUUGUGUUCUGCCUGAAGUCUACCCACUCUUGUGCCUUGAGUCAGUUCAUUCAUGCAUUUGAAUCAGCUGAUGCAUCCGAUCAGCUUGCUAUAGAGUCUCUAGGCAGCCUACUACAUGUGUCUCUAUGCAACUAGUGUGCAUGCCAAGCCCUCUCUUAGCCUACAGAUCUAGCAAUUUUCCUUGGUGCCAAUCUUUUCUUUGGUUCUAGCUCCUUGUUGUUCCUUGAGCGUGUCAGUCAUGCUCAUAUGUGUUCCCGCAUCUGGAUCACGUCCAUGCCGAGGCAACCUGCCCAUGUUUGCUCUGCCUAGUUGUUGCUAUAGCAUCAUGCCAUGCCCAAGCCCUCUUCUUGGUGCAGCAACGAGUCAUGGCAUUGCACCCAUGACUCCUCAUCUCUACGCACAAGGCAUUGUGCCUUUGUGCUAAGCAUUAGGCAUCACAUCUGAGUCGGCUUCCCUUAUCUCUAUGCACAAGCCUCAAGGCAUUGUGCCCUUGUGCCAAGCCACCUUAUUGCACAAGGCAUUUCCCCCUCAUGCUACCGUUGGGAAGGGAAGACUGCAUAGCACCCCAAGUCGUUGCAACCAUGAGUUGCACACCAUCACAUGUCAUGGAGCCCAUGUAUGGCUGCUAGCAAGGCGUUGCCCAUGUGCCUUGCUCAUGUCUGAGGACUUGCACUGAAGCCCCUAAGUGUGGCCAUGCCCAUGCCACCUCGUCUCCCUUGAGUCACCCCCACCCUCGCCCCCCUUAAAAGAGCAUUUUAAGCCCUUUUAAUUAAUUCAGGAAAAUCUAGAAAAUUCCCUUCCACUUGGAGUCUCCCUUUUGAAGGUUCCUAUAAAUCUUUUAUCUCUAAGCAAAUUAACCAAGUCACUUAAUUGUUUUGCAACAUUCCUUCCCUUCCCAUAGUGUAUUUCAAGAUCUCUUAAUGAACAAGACAAUUGGUGGAGGGCAUGAAGUAAAUGGAAUUUAUCACCAUAUCGGCCCACCUCUUACUCCAAUUGCUCUACAUACUUCCAUUUCUUCUAUGUAGUGGCACACCUUUCACUUCGCAUCUUUAGCAUAUGGGACUUCUAGUUAUAUUGGACUCCAAGUUAAAGCACCAAGUUUGCGAGUCAAGAAAAUAGCUUCAUCAUAGUGUUGUUCUAGUCCUUUUUGUGCUAUAAUCAAUAAGAGGAGUACUAGUCCUUUUCAUCUUGUUCAUUUAGACAUUUACAGUUUAUGUUGUGUUGUUCCUAAUGUUGAACUAAACUUUCUUAUUGCUAUUUUAUUAAUUAGAUCAAUGAAAAUGGUAUGAGCAUAAAGAGGCUGAAUAAUAGGUACUAAUCUCUUAAAAAAAAAAUUUUAAAAAUAAUCUUAUAGAAACAUCAUCAGGUGACUAUGCACAAGUAAAUGGUCUGACAAGGCGUGAGAAAAACAUUCAUUUUUGUGCAAGAACCAAGUAUUUGCAUCUUAAUCAACCAAAGAAUAAAUGGCUGAAGACAAUAAAUGACUGAACAAAAAGAAAAUCAUAAGUUUUAGGCCAGACACUUUUUUCAUCAAUUAUAUACAACAACAAUAAAUCAAAUAGUCCUAAAUUUCAAGAGAAUAAUGCUCAGCAGCUAUGCAUACUCACAAGUCACAAAUACCUCAUCCUUAACUAAUUUACAUGAAUGAAUUAUUUACUUACCAUACCAAGAGAAACGUUGUAAGAUAGUAUGCAGUAUUCAGGAGUCCAUAGGAUAAUAUUCCAGAAAUUCCAUAUCUCUUCAGUUUCUUUAGAAGACUGAAAGGUUAAGCAAGAGUGAGCUCUCAAUGUAAGUAGACAUGCAUUUAUGCAUACAAAGGGCAAAAGGAUUGAGGUAUCACUUCUUACAGAUUGUUUGCAUGAAAUUCAGUAGUAGAAGAGAAAUUAAUAUGAUUGGGACAAGAUCACUCAUCCAAACAAUAGUUUAUUUACUGAGAAAAGGUCUACAGCAUACUCAUGCAGUAGACAAAAUGAAUCUUUUGUGUCAUGUUCCAAUAAUGUUAACAAACUACAUUAAAUUCAUAAGGUUACAUAGAAAAAGAAAGAAAAGACAUUGUUGCAAUAGUUUGUCUGUUACACUGCUAGCACCCAGACUACGACCAAAUCCUUGCAUUCAAAUUGAAUUUCAAACUCCCAAUGUGAAAAAGGAAGAUACAAAAAAGAAAAGAAAAAAAAGAAGAAAAAAAAAAGUGGGAAAGAAAAGAGACAUGGGAUUUCUAUGUAUAAUAAAUACAUAUUAUAUGUAUAGAUAAAUGCAUGUAUGUGCAUAUGUGAUAGAGGCUGGUCAGACACAUUUCAAGAAGUUUCACAACUUGCUUUGGAAUGACAAACACCUGGAUCAAUAAAUGGCUUGUCUCCAUUAUUGAGAAAUUGCAGAUAAAUUUCAUCCACUACGGGCAUGGGGUGGCUGGACAAAGUUAUGCCAUUUGGUGGGAUGUAGUGGACUUAAGACAGAAAAUUCUCAAUCAUUCUUCUGUCCCUUGUGCAGUGUUGAAGCUGACAAUAUUAUUGAGCAUACAAGGAAUGUGAUGUAAAACAUCAUUGAGGAGCCAUGAGCUGCGAAUGCAUGGAGAAAUUAAGUUAUGAUUAAGUUUUGGUGAGGGAUUUUCAGAUGCAGAUCAUAUGGCAAAUUAUCAACUUCAGAGAAUUGCACGUUUUUAUUCAUUUCCAUACACAUUGAAUAAUCAUAUUUAAAAUCUCUCAUUCACUUGUUUCGCUUCCAUUAGUGCUCCUUCCACAUGCCUAUUAGCAGCACAGACCUCAUGAUAGUUUGGUAAAGGUAAGACAAUAAAAUUGAAAAAUACAGCUAAAGCCUAAAAUAUUGGCUAAUAAAGAGAGAAACCAUCCAAGUUCUAUCUUAAAUGACUCUACAAGUUCUAAACAGGGAGACAAGGACUUCAACCUGGUCCAUCAAUGCAUAUAAAUGGGUAAACAUUCCAACAGCCAUUACGUUAGAAGUACACUAAAAGAAAAUUAUUAAACAAUGUUGUUUCCAAAAAAAUUCCAUGUUAAAGAAUAGAAGAACAUACUGCUAUAAAUGAAAUUCAUUCAAAAUCAGUUCAAACAGUAAAGUUAAGAAUUGUGACUGCAAUUUUUUUCUAAGAAAGAAACAACAAUUGUGACUGCAUAUCACCCACACUUGUUUUAUUUACAAUCCACACAAUGUAUUCUUCCCUAGCAUGUUAUCCCAUUAAGUAGCCUCCAGAUAAAAUUCCCUUUCCAACUCUGUCAAUCAGUCAAAAAAUUUCAUGUAAAAUGUAAAAUACAUGGGUACACAAAAACAACUAUAUAAACUGCCAUCCCAUCAUUAAUAAAUCAGUUGUCUAUAACAUAGACUAAUAGCAUUGUAAGGCAAGUAGGAAGUACUCUUUUGAUGUGUGCAGUUCUCCUUCACCAUUUUCGCCCUUUGCACUUGAGUCUAUAAAAAUAUGUAUAAGUAGAUUUUUAGAAAUAUCAAGUUUAUCAAAUGUAAAAUAUGGUAUCACAAAAAGCUACACCAUUUUUCCAGUUAUCAUUUGAAAGAUAUUGAUACCUUCAUGGUUGGCAGAGUAGUCAUGACCAUUUGACAUGCCAGAAGCCUAACCUACAACAAAGGCAAUGUUGAAAAAGCAAUAUUCAAAAUUCAAUGAAAAAAAUAGAAGACAAACAAAUGAACAAAUAGCAUAUCAUCACACUCAAUUGUUUUCCACAUAUGAUAAACUAAAUGAAAGAAACAAGGAAUAUAUUGAGAAAAAACCCUAUGAUCAAUGGAUAUGCAGUCGCAUUCCAGCACAGAUAUAGGAUCAAACAAGUAACUAAUCUAGACAUAGCUGCAGCAAAUUUGUGUAUCUCUGAAUGUGUGUCUGCUUUUUGUGGGGGUAUUUAUUAUGACAUGUUCUUGGUGCAGACAAACCAUCUGCAUUUACUUGAGGAUUAGGUAAAAAACAUACUUUUCAUUUAAAAUGAGGCCUUGAACAUCAAGCCACGGUGAGUUUUCAAAUAAGGAAAACGUAAUAGCUUUACAAUGAGUCCCAUAGCAAGAAGGCAUAUAAUUCCAUUCAUCAGCAUACCAGAAUAUAGAAUAGUGUGGACAUGUGGACACAUGCCAGAAUUAGCAUUGGACACACUAACAUGCCAGUCAUACAUAGAAAGAAUUUCCAAAGAUAUUAAAGUAAAACACUGGUAGUAAGCAAAUUAUACCCAGAAAAACAUGCAAGUAUAGGCCAAGAUCAAAUCUUAAUUUUAAUUUCUAGAAAAAAAAAAAUUUAUAUCAACCAAUAGAAAUGGUAUCACCAGCAAUUAACACCAAAACACACCAACAUAUCGGAAUGCAUAACACGUGUACCCAUCUCCAAUCAGCACUACACCUAUACAAGUUAGCCUGUAGCAGGUCAUAAUAGGUUCAGACUAUAAAACCUUCCAAAUCUUCCUUUGCAAGGCUUAGAAACCAUUUUCUAAGUAAUUUACAAUUUUAAAAGCCUGUGACAAGAUUUUGGAUGAAGAGCUUGAAUUAUAUACUCACAAACCCACUCCAAAAUUUCCUUAAGGUAAUACACAUUUUUUGAAGUCCUUUCCAAUGUCUUCUCUUAUUUGAGUUAGAAAAGCCAAUUUUUUUAUGAAUUGAUUACUACGUCUAUUGAGGUUUGAGGUGUAUAACUAAUUUCUUAAUAUAUCAUAAUUUACAUCAGUUAUUAGAAAUUAAGGUUCAAUCCUUUUACACUAAGAAAAUCCUGAGCAAUUAAAAAAUACCUUCUUUAAUAUUAUUAAAUUUAAGUUUCCUUCAGGUCUUUGAGUCAAAUAGAAAUUAGUGUAAAAGGAAUUUUAAUUUUCUUACACUAAGAAAAUUAAAAAAUAGGCAAAAUAAUUUUCAAAUUUUGGAACUUUAUAGGUAAUGCUUAUUAAAAUAAAGCAACAAAGUUUGUCAUUUGCCAUUGAAUGAACCAAUUGUAGAAAACUAUGCAAAAAAUUUUAUUAGUAUGGAUUUUUUUUUUCUACCGAUAAAUAGAAUUCAAUUUCAAACCUGCCCCUCCCAACCCACCACUUGCUGCUUGAGGCAAGCUUAGAGGCAGAAAACUAUUUACAAUUCUACGUAUGGAUAAAAAUUAUUCUUAGAUUUUAUGCCAAAUUCCAUAUUUAUAGGUAUCAAUUUAUUAUUCUACUGUUGUCAAAAGCUUCAAUUUUAGGCGUCCUCAUGGUUAUGCCACCCUUAAAUGAGAACAACUUUGGUCUUCUGUUUUUCUUUUUGAGCUCUUCAAAUUUUUGCAAGGUAUUUUUAUAAUCUUAUUAAGCUCAAUGGGAGAGAGAGAGAGAGAGAGGGCGAGAGAGAGAGAGAGGGCGUGAGGGAGUGUGAGAGCGCGUGCGACGGCGACGACGAUGAGUCCGGCGAGGCGAGUCGAAAGCGAAGCUUCACGGUGGAAUCCAAGACUUUCGAGCUUGCCUUGGAUGAUAGGAAAGGGAAACGCCAGAUUCGCAUUGUGGAGAAGAAGCGGGGGGUCUCGACAUGGGUUCGAUUAGGGCUGGAAAGCUUAGGGCUCUUCAAGGAGGGACUAAUCCAUUGUAUACGAGACGAAAAAGAAGGGAGAUGGGAAAAGGAGUGGAAAGAAAGAGGCAAGCUGUAUACAUUGGCUCGGGGUUUCAACAGAGCGGGUGGUUUUUUAAGGUUGGGGGUUGUGGAUCUGGAACGAAAAAGGUUUUGUAUCUUCUUACCGAGAGGUAGGAGGAACAAAAGAGGAUGGACGACUAUGGCGGAGAUGGUACAUCAAAUGGAAGAACUGGCUAGUGGAAGAACAAACUUGCAGGAGGUAAGGACCGUCGGAAAAGCUACUCCGGCGAAAUCAUACGCAGAAGCAGUCAUGAGAACAAAUUGGAAUGGCUUAAACGCAAUCAAGAUGAAGGUCACUAGGGAGGAGAUUGCUGGAAAUUUACAGAAGCUGGAGCACUGCCUCGUCGCGAGCUGGAAGUCCAACGAAAAGGAAGAAGAAGACUUGGAGAGAUUGGGAAGUCAUUGGGCGAAUUCUUGGGGUCUUAAAGGCAAGCUAGGGCUGGCCAAGUUGGAACAAGGUAGGGCACUGUUGGAGUUUGAAGAUCUAAGAGAGGCACACCGUGUGGUCUCCUCGGGGAGCAGAGUGAUGGGAGGAGCUCACUUAGGGUUGGAUCUAUGGAAUCCAAAGACGGGAUGUCGGGUAGAGGAGGAGAUGGAACAGGAAGCUUGGGUUAAAAUCUUCGGCCUUCCAAUUUCGCUAUGGAGCCCGGGGAUUCUGAAGAAAAUAGGGGAGGAAUGUGGGGGCUUUGUAGAUAUUGACGAGCGGACAAGGUCGAUGGGGGAGAUUCAAUGGGCUAGGAUACUGGUCAAAAUAAGAGGUGAUUUUAGACCAAGUAUGUUAGAAAUUGAGGUAGAGGAGGAGGUAUACACUGUGACACUGUGGUGGGAGAUUAGGCCGGUGGUGAGACGGAUCUUCUCUGCGACGGAAAACAGGAGGAGAAAGGAGGUCAGGGGUGACUCGUAUUCACGCGCGGAGAAGCGCGUGGGGAAGGAGCUGGUAGACGCGGGAAUCGAGGAACUGCACCUGCCAGAUGUUGGGAGUGAUCUGCAGGAGAAUAGGCCGGGUCUAGUGCCCGGGAACCAGAUCCAUGGCCCGGUGACCCGGGAUUGGGCCUAUCCAGAUGGAAGAGUGGCUGGGUCAACCGCAUGUGGCCCAAAUAUGGAUCUUAAUGAGUUGGAGAAGGAUGGUGGGCAGACUAAAAUAGACGGGCCUUUGGGCCGAAAGUUAAAAAAUAAGUCAAAGGUGGCUAGUGAUUCAGAGGCAGGCCCAUCGUCUAGUAGUUGGGCUGCUGAACUGGGCUGCCAUCCUUUAGUUGAGGUGGAAGGCCUGGAAAGGGAGGGCCCAACUGUUCCCCUAGAGAAGGCUGGUUUUUUGGGCCGUUUUAGCUCCAGAAAAGGACCCAUUUCAGAGGAUCCUUUGACGAGCUGGGUGCCAGAGGAGUUUAGAAGGGAACAGAGGGAUGAUGGCUUUUCAAUGACUGAUCGAGCGCUGUAAGAGGAAGCUAAAAGGUAUGUCCUGAUUUCCCAUCCUAAAGGAAAAUGGGUUAUGGGGACACCUCUUCUUCUCUCUUCUAAUUCUGAUCGGGCUCCGGAGGGGGAGUCUUUUGAUCGCCCAGGGGGAAUUGAGGAGGAAUUAAGGGGGGACAUGUCAACAUGGUUAACAGUCUAUGAGGGGAACGUUGAGAAUGAAAAUGGAUCUUGGAAGCUGGGAGAGGACAACAAAAGCAGAGACAAGGUUAAGGGCAAGGAGGAGAACACUGGGGUCUCUGGUUCUCAAGAUACCGAAAAUGAGAAAGAGGAUCUAUGAGAGGACUGUAGUCUUGCAAAAUUUAGCCAAUUCUUGGGAUUCUCUAUGAAGGGGCUGGAAAAGGAGAUAUUGAAUUUUCUGAUUAAAAUCAAAAAGAGGCGGGAAAAGAUUCACAGCAAAGAACUUUUGGAGAAGUCCAAGUUUGAAAGGGAACUAAAGAGGCUGGAAUGCUCUAUCAAUUACGAGGGGGGGAAUAAGCAGAAAGGUCCUUCACAGGGCAAAAGGAAUCAGUUGAUAGUUGCCCAAUGAAGCUGAAGAUUAUAACCUGGAAUGUGAGGGGAGCUAAUGACAGCUCUAAGAGGAAAAUUAUUAAGAGCUAUAUAAGGAACCAGAGGGUGGACCUAAUGUGUAUUCAGGAAACCAAGAUUCAGGAGAUGUCGGAGGGUAUUGUGAGAAGUCUGGGUUCGGGGAGAUUCUUAGAUUGGAGAGCCUUAAAUGUGGAGGGGGCUGCGGGUGGCAUUUUGAUAUGCUGGGACAAGCGGGUUCUGGAUAUUUUGGAUUGGGAGGAGGGUCAGUUCUCUUUGUCUUGUAGAUUCAAGACCACAGUAAAUGGGGCUACUUGGGUUUUUACGGGAGUGUAUGGUCCUUUUACCAAAGUGGAAAGGGAGGGUAUGUGGGAAGAACUUGGGGCAAUAAGAGGCCUUUGGGAUGAUCCCUGGUGUCUCGAUGGGGAUUUUAAUAUCACUCUGUUUCAACAAGAAAGGAGCAGCCAAAGAAGAAUCAGCUCAGCCAUGCGGAGAUUUGCAGAGACUGUGGAUGAUCUAGAGCUGGUGGACCUGCCCCUUCAGGGGGGAGAGUUCACAUGGAAUGGGGGGCUUAAUAAUCAGGCGUGGGUGAGACUAGACAGAUUUUUAGUUUCCCCUAGCUGGUUAGAUCAGUUUAGUGGAUUCACUCAGGGCAGGUUGUCUCGGCCAAUUUCUGAUCAUUUUCCAAUCGUGUUAGAGGGGGGUGGAAUAAGAGAGGCCCAACCCCGUUUAGAUUCGAAAAUAUGUGGCUUAACGUUGANGNUUUAAUGACAUUGUUAGAACCUGGUGGNNNNNNNNNNNNNNNNNNNNNNNNNNNNNNNNNNNNNNNNNNNNNNNNNNNNNNNNNNNNNNNNNNNNNNNNNNNNNNNNNNNNNNNNNNNNNNNNNNNNAGGAAGCUGAAUUAAAAAAGGAAGCUAAAGACUCCUUUAAGAAAUGGGUCCUGUUGGAGGAAGCCCAUUGGAGACAGCACUCAAGGGAGAUUUGGUUAAGGGAGGGGGAUAGAAACAUGGGGUUCUUCCAUAGAAUGGCAAGUGCUCAUCGAAGAAACAACGCUAUGGACAGAAUUAAGGUUAAUGGGGAGUGGCUAGUAGAGGAGCAGGAGGUGAGAGAAGGAGUUGAGAAUUCGUUUCAGCAGUUGCUUUCUGAAGAUAUGGGUUGGCAGGCGGAUAUUGGUAGAAUUCAGGUGGGUUGCAUCAUUCAGCAAGAAGCAGAGAGUCUGGAAAUCCCAUUUGCAGAGAUUGAGAUUCACUCGGCGCUGAUGGAGAUGAAUGGGGAUAAAGCCCUUGGCCCGGAUGGUUUUACUGUAGCCUUUUGGCAAAAUGCAUGGGAUUUUACCAAAGAGGAGAUCAUGGAGAUGUUUAAAGAAUUUCAUGAGCAUAAUUCCUUUAUUAGGAGCCUUAACAAUACUUUCUUGGUGUUGAUACCUAAGAAAAGCGGGGCUGAGGAUCUUGGAGACUUUAGACCUAUCAGCCUGUUGGGGGGGGGGCUCUAUAAACUUUUGGCUAAAAUCUUAGCUAAUAGGCUCAAAAAAGUGAUUGGUAAGGUGGUCUCUAUUGCUCAGAAUGCCUUUGUAAUGGGAAGACAAAUUCUGGAUGCGUCUUUAAUUGCUAAUGAGGUGAUAGAUUCGUGGCAGAAGAGAAAAGAAAAGGGUCUUAUUUGCAAAUUGGAUAUAGAAAAAGCUUAUAACAGCAUUAAUUGGAAUUUCUUAAUGAAGGUCCUUCAAAAAAUGGGCUUUGGGACCAAGUGGGUGGGAUGGAUGUGGAGUUGCGUGUCUUCUGCUAAAUUCUCUAUUCUUGUUAAUGGAGUGCCAGUUGGGUUUUUCCCUAGCACUAGAGGGCUUCGUCAAGGGGAUCCUCUAUCCCCUUACCUCUUUGUUAUGGGAAUGGAGGUUCUGGACAUCCUUAUCAGGAGAGCGGUGAAGGGGGGAUAUCUUUCAGGAUGCAACAUUCGGGGUGGUAGUAGAACUUCCUUGAAUAUCUCCCACCUAUUUUUUGCUGAUGACACAAUUGUGUUUUGUGAGGCGAGCAAAGAGCAAGUUUCUCACCUAAGCUGGAUUCUUUUUUGGUUUGAAGCGGCUUCGGGUCUUCGAAUUAAUCUAGCCAAAAGCGAAAUCAUUCCAGUUGGAGAAGUGGAGGAGAUUCUUGAGAUGGCAGUUGAGUUAGGGUGCAGGGUGGGGUCUCUGCCCUCUCAUUAUUUGGGUCUCCCCUUAGGGGUCCCCAAUAGGGCUACUUCUAUGUGGGAUGGAGUGGAAGAGAGGGUCAGAAGGAGACUUGCGCUUUGGAAAAGACAGUACAUUUCCAAAGGGGGGAGGAUCACUCUCAUAAAAAGCAUCUUGGCUAGCAUGUCAAUUUACCAAAUGUCUAUUUUCCGAAUGCCCAAGUCUGUUGCUAAAAGAGUGGAGAAAUCCCAAAGAGAUUUCCUAUGGGGGGGAGGAAACUUAGAGGGAAAAGUUCACUUAGUUAAAUGGGAUGCGGUCUGUACAGAAAAACACAAGGGAGGGCUAGGAUUAAGGAGAAUAGUCACUCUGAAUAGAGCCUUGCUGGGCAAGUGGAUUUGGAGGUUUGCUUGUGAAAAGGAUAACCUUUGGAAACAAGUGAUCACUAUGAAAUAUGGGCAAGAGGAUUAUGGUUGGAGGUCAAAGAAGGCUAGUGGGGCGGCCGGAGUAGGGGUCUGGAAGGAGAUUAUGAAAGAAUCUGUUUGGUGCUGGGAAAAUUUGGCUUUUAUAGUUGGGAAGGGUUCCAAAAUCAAAUUUUGGAAAGAUAGUUGGUGCACUGACACUCCGUUGUCCCAAUGCUUCAAUCAUCUCUUUGUCCUUGCCGUGCAUAGGGAUGCUACGAUUGAGGAGAUGUGGGAUCAGGACUCGGGCCAAGGAGAUUGGAAUUUUGUUUUUGUGAGGGACUUCAAUGAUUGGGAGUUGGAUAUGGUUGGGGAGCUGCUUCAUACUUUGAGGGGUCAUAGGCCCUCCCUGGAGGAUGAUUCAGUUAUGUGGAGGCAUGGAAGAAAUGGUCUAUUCAGGGUCAAAGAAGCUUACAAGCUGUUAGACAAGCCUAAUGUCACAGUAUUUCCCGCAAGGAGAAUAUGGGUGGAUAGGGUGCCAACUAAAGUCUGCUUUUUUGCUUGGGAGGCUACGUGGGGGAAGGUGCUCACUCUGGACAGACUCCAGAUAAGAGGGGUGCAACUCCCAAAUUGUUGCUUUUUGUGUGGUUGUGAAGAAGAGAAUGUAAAUCAUAUUCUUUUACACUGUAUAGUGACUAGAGCCCUAUGAGAUAUUAUUUUUGGGUUGAUAGAUGUUAAGUGGGUCCUCCCAGAAACUGUAAAUGAGACUUUAAUCUCUUGGAGGGGCUCAUUUGUAGGGAAGAAAAGGAAAAAGAUUUGGAAAUCCAUUCCGUUAUGUAUUUUUUGGACGGUUUGGAAGGAGAGGAAUAGGUUAGCCUUUAAGGGGGGUGCGUUGAAUAUUCAGAAAUUAAAGAAUUCUUUUGUCUGUAACUUGUGGAAUUGGGACAAAGUGUAUUUAGGUGAGGAGUCUUUCUCCCUUAUAGGUUUUUUGGAGUGGAUAGCUUCCACUUAAGGGGAGGUAGUUCUUUUUGUUCCUUUUUCUCUUUUUGAGGCAGUAGCCGUCUUGUAUACUCCCUGUAUGCUUUGUGGCGUUUAGCCUUUUCUAAUGCAUAUCUUGUUUACUUAUCAAAAAAAAAAAAAAUUUGCAAGGUACUUCUAUCCAGGUUCUAGGAAACACCCACUUUUUUAAAUCUCCAAUAAUUUAGUGUUCUGUGGCUGAGGGAAUAGACUUAUUUUUGGUUGAAACACAUAAAAUUCUUGGAUAUGUAUAUAUAUAUUUUUUGGCAUCAGGUCCUUUUAGGUUGAUUUUUCUACUUAUUUUUCACCCACCAAUUAACAUUGCCCUAACUCUAUUAUCUAACCGAGCAAAUGUUUAUGAACUAGCAAAUCAUACUAAAAUUUCUUACUAGUUGACAUGUGCAUCAUCUCAGCAUGUCAUUCCAACACCAAACUACAACCAUAAUCCCACUAACAUCCUAACUGCCUCAAUGAGUAUGGAUUACAGAAAUGCAAUUAAAAUAUACUUCCCUAUUUAAUUUCAUAAUUUUUAUAAUAAUAUUUCAGCAAUAUUUCCACAUAGUAGCUUAUGUGAGAAAUCCCCAUUUCUGUUUAAAAUCGAAAAACCCUAUAGCUUGCGCAAGUAAAUAGGAAAAAAAAAAAACAGAGGUUUUGCAGAAUUGGGAGAGCAGACUCACACCAGCAUGGCCAUUGAUUGAGCAGAAACGUAGAUGACGAUGAUGGUGGUGGAAUUGGGAGAAAUUGUUGAGUUUGGGAACCCUAGGAAAGCUGGGAUUGAAAGAAGAGGAUUGUGAGAGAGAAUUGGAAAUUUAAGAAACAAACACAAAAAAUAAAUCCAAGAAAUAAAUAAGAAGCGUAAAAAUGAAAUAGAGAAGAGUGUGUAUGACGCACCUGAUGAUGUGAAAGCAGCUUCAGCUGGUGAAGGCAAACUUUCGACGGGAGAGACAUCAGGAUACUGGCCUCUGACAACAAUCGCUCCAAAAUAUUCUUUCUAUACCAUUUAUUAUUAUUAUUAUUAUUAUUAUUAUUAUUUUAUUAUUAUUUUCAGGUUAUUGAAGUGUAAUGUCCACCGUACACCCUUACAUGAUGAAGCCUUUAGAACUCUCCAUGGAGCCUAAAUCUCACAUUGCUAAUCACCCUAUAAUAACCAGCAUAUAGUAAAUUCAAAGUAUCAUUAAUGAUAGAUUUCAAACUUAGGACCAUAUAUCAUUUAUUGAGACCACACUUCUUAAUGUUCAUCCUUAACGACACACUCAUAUAUAUCAAAUUACCCAAUGACCUACUUUUCCUAUUUUCUCAUUUUUAGAAAUAAAAAGAAAAAAUAAUAAUUUCUAUUUUUAAUUUUUUAAUUUUUUUUAUAAGUAAAUUUUUGUUCUCAUUAGGACCUGUGGAACCUCCCACAAGUCCUCCCGAAUCCUUUACCACUUGAGUCAUGCCUUAAUGGCUUGUUUUUUUAAAAAAAUUAAUAACAACUUUUAUAUAUAAAAAAAAUACUUAUAAAACAUACUUAUAAAAAAUAUACAUGUCAUUAAAAGUUUAAAGAAAUUUAAAUUUGAUAAUAAUUUUUUAAAUAAUUUAAUGUGUUAAUUGUUCUUAAAAACUUUAAAUAACCUAGAAAAGAAUAAUAUGGUUAUAAAUUGACCAAAUUGUUAUAUGGUUUUAAAUAGUCACCUUAACAAUGUUACAAGUGAGUUAAUUAAUUUAUGGUAGAGAAGAAUUACAAUAGAAUUCAAUUAGUUAUCGUAUUUGAAGUCUUUGAUUAUUUGUUGAAUAAUAUUUGCAGCCAGUUAGCUAGGGUUGGCUAACCCAAGCCAAACCUACUUACUAAUAUGUCCAACCUAUGCUAAACUCGAUUCAAAGUUAGAUUGGUAGUUACUAAACUCAUUGACAACUAAAGUUUCUAUGGAUUCCCACAAGUUUUCAUGGAUUAUCAAAUAAACCACAUAUAAUGGAAUCUCCUAAUAUAAAAAAGACAUAUUUCAAAAUUAUAAAUUAAACCAUAUUAUAAAAUAAAAUUUUAACAAAGUCAUAAAUUAUAUUACUAGUGACUAAUUUUAAUGGUAACAUGAAACACAAGUGUGAAUAUUUAAAAAUAUUUUAAUAAUUAAACAAAAAUGAUAAACUUAUAGUGUAAUGUAAUAAAACUAGCAAAAGUUAUAGUUUUUCCAUUAUCCCUUUUAUAAAUUUCAUAUUUUAAAUAAACUAAUAAAUAAUAUAAUAGUAAUGAAUUUGCUUAGUCUUCAUCAUGUAGAACCAAUGUGAAGAAAUUUUUUUUAAUAGGACUGAUUAAUGACUUAAUUAAGGGUAGGUUACAGCAUACACUAGGAGUCAAGAAAUAAGAUGUCAAGACUUGUACAUUCUGAAUAGGGAAGGGAAGAGUAUCCUAACAUAAGAGACCAAAAACAUGCUCAGGGAGAUUCUCGUUAGGAUCAAAUUGGGGGCAUAGAUGUAUCUCUUUGGUAAGAGUUCCCAUAAUUUAGGUAUUAAUGAAAUAGGUAUAAAAGAAUUAUAUAUCUUGAUAUGAUCAUGUUGUUAAUGAUGAUCUAAUGAGUUGAAAUAUUAUGUUUUCAACUGUGUAUAUCUAAUAAAUACAUCAAGUACUUAAACUUUAAUAUAGAAAUGCUCCAUAAUGGUUUGUAUGACUCAUCCUCUUAUAAACAUAUUAUUUAGAUUAGGCUAAAGUGGUCAAAGUAAGAAGAAAACUUGAUACUUGAUUUGAAGUAUGAAGAAUUCUUCUUAGACUUUGUGUGUAGUAUUGUUUGCUUAUUGUUGUGUUAAAGUCUAUUUUGAUGUAUUUUGGAAAGAAUGACCAACUAGAACCACUAUAAGAUGUUGCAAAACUUAUUUAAACAAGGGCUUGUGAGCAAGAUUUUUUUUUUUCCCUUUCAUGUACAAAUAGUAUGAUGAAUGAAAAUUUGAUUCUCAGUUGUAAUUAGUGUUUUCCUUAAGUUUUAAAUCAUGCAAUGAAUACUUAAAAUUAGUUUAAGAUGUCAAAGAAUGUAAGUAAACAAGGUUUUACAUGUUGGAUAUAUAAUUAAUGCAAAACCUUUACCUUCCACAUUGAAUGAUUACAUUUUUUCUUUAAGUGCCCUUUAAUCAUUCUCAUCUUGUUUAAUCAUUUUUCUCUAAUGUCUUGAGCAUAGUAGAUUUCUAUAAAUUUACAUGAGCAUUCCUUAACUCUUCUUGAGUGAUCCUAAACUUAGCAUUGAAACAAUCAUAAUUUAGGCGAAGAUGCUUACACGUCUUCAUAAUCAUCCUUGGUUGCUAGCCAUUUUUCCUUAAUUACUUUAGGAUGUUUAGCGAAGAUGAUUACAAAUAUUAACUAGUUCACUCACACAUUUUUGUAUGAGUGUAGAACAAUUUUGCAUUCUUUCCACAUCACUUAUGCAUCUUUGUUCCAAGAAAGAAGAUAUAGAACUCUUAUCUUUUGCUUACACCACUUGGUUCUCCAGCCCAUUAUGCUUAUGCGUCAUUUUUAUAUCACAUAUGCAACUUGUUUCUCAUUAAUAUAUUUCACUUACAUGUUCUUAUAUAAGCAUAAUUUAGGGAAAAACAUUUUAAAAAAAAAGAAGCAAAAUAGAUGUUAAUAUAUAUAUAUAUAUAUUUGGAACAAUUAAACUCAAACUAUGCAAAGUGACCUUGUCUACUAUAUAGGUGACUUUGUUUACCCCAUAGGUAGAGUAUAUGAUAGUGAUAGUCAAGGAAGCUAUGUAGUUGCAUGGUUUAGUGGAGAAUUUAAUGUUGCAAAACCGUUUUGUAUUUUUAAUAAAAUAAAAAUAUUUUAAAUUGUGGCCCAUUUAAAUAUUAUUUUCCCUAAAAUAAAUGAAACGUGGGAGCACAUCUCUUAUGGAGUAACCACCCAUGUCUACAAAUGUGGGACAUAUUACUCGGUUGAAAACUACCCAAAGUCUUUUUUGAUGGGAAGAAGAGAAAAUAAAUAGAUAGAUACAAGAUUAAUUCCAAAAGAGGGAAGAAGGGUCUCUGGUCUACAAGAAUAAGUCUGUGAUUAGUUUCAUCAGUCCCUAUUUUGUGUGAAUCUGAUUGCCAUGGCUGGAGGUACGAUCUUGGAUUUUCAUUUUAUUACUUGUAAUUAUCAGAGAUAUUUAUCUAACAUUUGGUAUCAGAGCCAAGGGUCUCUAGUUUGGCUUUCGAUUCAAUAUUUAUGGUCUUAAAUGAAUUAAGUUCUAUAUUCAUACAUGAUAAGAGAAAUUUAUCUCCAUAUUUAUUGGGUAUUUCUAAUUUAAUCCAAAUGAAGAAAAUUUAGUAGACUCCAUAUUUAUUGGAUAUUUUUUAUUUAAUCUAUACAGAUUUGUUUUUCUACAGUUGCAAUAGACAUUUCUCAUAUGACAUGUUAUGUUUCCUGCAAUUGAGACAACUUGAACCCGUGACCAUGGGUUACUUCCUUAACUAGAAUAGUCCUUGAACCAUUGGACUAAAGCCUAUGACUUGUUAGAGAUUGCCUCCUCUAAACUUAAAUGUUGGCUCCGUUAUUGUGAAAAACUUGUAUAAAUUAUUUUUAUAAAGUAGUAUUUAGAAACACUACUUAUAUUUGUUUACCAUUGAUUUGGUAAUUUUUUUGAUGUCAUACUGAGGUAACAUUUGAUUAAUUAAGUAAUAGCCACAACAUUCUUGAUUAUGAUAAUGUUAAGUGACAAAAGAAAGUUUCAUUUUUGUCACAUUAAAUUAAUGACAUCAAUAUUUGUAAAUAAUCAUAAAAAAUAAUAAUUUUACCCCACAGGGUAAUUAUUAUGUUUUGUGUUUAUUUAGGAUGGGAUGGUAAAAAAAAAAUAUGUUGCCCAUAGGCCUAAAAUUACUAGUUCCAUUAUAAAGUAAUUAAAAAAAAAACAUUUGCAUGUUGUAUUCUGUUUCCACAGGAAAGUUUAUGAUCACGUGUUGAUUUUUUGUUGAUUGAAUUAAUUUACAUGAGUAAAUUUUGUUUUUUGCUUCAUGGCAUAUUAGUAAGCUUUGUCAUUUAUUUUGUAGUUCAAUCUAUAUAUGUUCCAAAUUUUGAUUCAUCUCGUAUACCUUUCUUGAAUGGUGAUAAUUAUGCUAAUUGGUAGGAGAAAAUUCUCCUUACAUUGGGGUGCAUGGACCUUGAUUUAGCACUUUGUGUGGAUGAGCCAUUGGUUCCUAUGGAAUCAAGUACCCAAACUGAGAAAGCAUCAUAUGAACGUUGGGAGCGAUCUAAUUGCUUAAGUUUGAUGUUUAUCAAGUCUAGUAUUGGGAAAAGUAUUCGUGGUUCAAUUUCUGAAUGUGCUAAGGUGAAAGAAUAUCUCAAGGCUAUUGAGCAACAGUUUGAGGCUUCUGACAAGGCUUUGGCUAGCACCUUAAUGACAAAGAUGUGUUAGAUGAAGUUUAAUGGCACCAAAGGAGUACGUGAGCACAUAAUGGAAAUGAGAGAUAUUGCUACUCAACUUAAGUCAUUAGAGAUUGAGAUGUCUGAGUCAUUUCUGAUUCACUUCAUUCUUAAUUCUUUUCCAUCUGAGUAUGGACCUUUUAAGAUUUCAUACAACACACAUAAGGAAAAAUGGUCUAUUAAUGAACUUUUGACCAUGUGUGUGCAAGAAGAAGGAAGACUAAAUCAAGAAAGGAUUGAAAGUGCCCAUUUGGUGACUUAAGAAAAGAAACCAGGCAAGAAAGGUAAAAGAAAGCAAAAGACAUCUCUUAAUCAAGUUAAUAAGAGCGAUAUCAAGUGCUUCUUUUGCAAGAAGAAAGGACACAUUAAGAAGUGUUGUCCCAAAUUUAAAGCUUGGCUUGAAAAUAAAGGUAAUCUUAUCUCUUUAGUGUGUUAUGGAUCUAAUAUGGUUCAUAUUUCUUACAACACUUGGUGGAUUGAUUCUGGUACUAAAAUUCAUGUUGCCAAUACCAUGCAGGGCUUCUUAAACCAAAGGAAACCAACAGAAAGUGAAUGCUCUAUCUAUUCAGGAAAUCGGAUAAGUUCACAUGUGGAAGCGGUUGGGACCUACAGACUUGUUCUUAGAUCUGGUUUUGUUUUAAACCUUGAAAACUCUUUUUUUGUUCCAUCAUUUUCUAGGAAUCUUAUUUCAGUUUCGAGACUUUUACCAUAUGGUUUUAGUUUUAAAUUUGUUGUUAUUUCAUUUCAUUUGAUAAAAGACAAUGUCGUUGUUGGUGAUGGUAUUUUGGAUAAUGGUUUAUUCAAACUCAAUUUAAAUCCAAGUUUUAAUCAUAGACUUACAACUAUGCAUGGAAAUGUUGGCAUUAAGUGUGGUGUUAUAAAUAAGAAAUCUUCCACAUUAUGGCACAAGAGAUUAGAUCAUAUCUCUAUUGAAAUAAUUAAAAGAUUGGUAAAUGAUGGAGUCCUUGAGGCUCUUGAUUUUACUGAUUUUGAUAUUUGUGUGGGUUGCAUUAAGGGAAAGCAAACCAACAUGACUAAGAAUCAAAGUGCUAGGAGGACUUCUAAUGUUUUAGAAAUCAUACACACUGACAUUAGUGGUCUUUAUAAUAUGUGCUUAAAUGGUCAAAUAUAUUUUAACACUUUUAUCGAUGACUACUCACGAUAUAUGUAUCUUUUUUUGCUUUAUGAUAAGUGUGAAGCACUAGAUGCUUUCAAAAUCUAUAAUGCAGAGGUAGAGAAACAAUUGGGUAAACAAAUUAAGAUUGUGAAGUCAGAUAGAGUUGGUGAAUAUUAUGGUAGGUACACUGAAAAAGGACAAUUAUCUGGUCCAUUUGCAAGGUUUCUACAGGAACAUGGCAUUGUUGCCCAAUACACAAUGCCUUGCUCACCAUCCCAAAAUGGUGUGGCUGAAAGAUGAAACCAAACCCUAAAGGACAUGGUUAGUAACUCCAACCUCCUAUUAUCCUUGUGGAGUGAGGCCAUAAAGACAACAACAUAUUGAUUACUAUUCAAAAAGUGCUGUUUUGUAGCUUGUAAUUAACUCUUUUAAACACUUUUGAGUAGUAGUUAUUACCUUUUAACUCAAUUGGCAUGUUAAGGACCCUUGCAAUCGUUUCUAAUCAAAUUGUGUUAAGUUUUAGUGUUUUUGAUAUCUUUUUUAUCACCAAAGCAAUCUAAGAUGAGGGAGAGCUUUAUAUAAUCCAUGGCAAAGAAAAUAAAAGCUCAUUUACAAGAAGAAUCCAAGCUUUGGAGCUUUGAAGUCCUUUGCCAAAAGCAAAUCAUGAAUGCAAUGAGGGAAAGCAAAGAGAGAAAUCUAACAUGAAGAAUUCAAGAGGACAGCAACUGUUGAAGACAUUUUGAGUACUUCCUGAAGUCCAUUUCAUGCAUACUAUAUGUCGUUUCGAAGAUCGGGAAGUCAGAAGCCCAACGCUUCAAACGGUACAUGAAUUGGAGUUGAAAAGAAGAAGUUAUGGCCAUUUGAAGACAACCGCACAAAGUUGAGCGAAAAUUUCAUGGCCCAAAGCCCAUUUCGUACCUGCGAAAUAAGCUGCGAAAUGAAACCCACUUGCGAAAUUUUGUAAGGUGUUUUGCAGCUGCGAAACCACCUCCAAGCACACGUGUGCCACUUCGCAAGUUGAAACUCCAUCUUCGCAACUGCGAACCACGUUGCGAAAUCACCUCCAAGCUGCGAAACAAGUUGCAAAUCAUCUCCAAGUUGCGGAAUCACCUCCAAGUUGCAAAAUCACAAAUUCAACUUGCAAAAUCAAAGUUCAAACUUGCAAAAUGGACAAUUCAAAGUGUGAAAUCCACCUGUGCAAUCUCAGAUAUUUGCAACCGACUCAGUUAGAUUUUUUCUCAAGAUAUUUUGUAAAUUUCUAUUUUCUCCUUGUAAUCAGUCAAAGAUAUUAUUGGGAUAUUUCUUAGAAAAUAUCUUCUCUAUAUAUAUCUUUGAACCAAUGUAAAUAAUACGGAUAUAUCAUGUAGAUCAUAGAUCAUGGAUGUAAUUGACGAUAGUAAGAAAUAUAUUUUUACAGAGCACUUGCUCUGUUUUUCCUUCAUAUUUUUGUUUUCUCGUUAUUUUUAUUUCUAGCAAAUCAAACUCUGAGGAUGUUUCCUUAGAGGAUGAGUGGCUUGGCUCUUUGUCUCUUGGAGUGAAGAAAGCCAAGUAAGUUUCCAUAUGCAAAAAUUAGAAGUUUUGUUGUUUCAGUUUUUAAUGAAGAGAAAGUGUGACUCGUUAAUGGUUUUUAUCUUUUUAGUUAACUUAAAACGCCUUUAAGUUACCUAGGCUAACACUUGGUAAGGCAAGUGAUCUCCGUCCAUUGAGAUGCACUAGUUUACCUCUUGCGAGCCUUUGGGAGGUGACUUGAAGGUAGGAUUUUCUAGAAUAGCCAACACUUGGUAAGCUUUUGGACUCUAAGGAGACAUCCAUUAGUUAUCUCUUGCGAGCUUUUAAAGGGUAAUCCAAGGUUAAGGAUCACCUUGAAUGGCAAAUUCUAGGUGAGAGGCAUGAGCCAUUGCAAGAUGCAUCAGUGAGAGAGAUUUAGUGUUUGAACCCAUUAAGGGGAAACAUCUAUACCACAUCGAUUCGGGAAAUAACUAUAUGUUAAAUCCCCAAUGCGAGGAAAAGAUUCAAGUGACCAGAACUCCCUUUUUGUAUAAGGAACCUAAGCCUAGUGAUCUGAAACUCCAAGAAACAUUUUUCUUUGUAAUUAAAAUCAGUUACUAUUUUUGGUUAGCUUAAAACCAACCUUUUCAAACAUCUUUAUAUUUUCUUUUAGAGCUAACCUUGAAAUGAAAAAACACCAAUUCAGCUUUGAAUUAAUAUCAAUUGUGAAGUGAAAACCCAUCCCAGUGAACGAUCCUAGAGCCACUAUGCUAUGCUAGCUGAGGCUAUCCUAGUACAUGGUGUAAUAGGUUAUAAAUUUUGUUGAUUACUCCCGUCUGAGGACCACAAUCAAGGAAUACCAGCUGGACACGAAUCAAAUGACACCGUUGUUGGGGACCAUUGAGAGGACAUGAAUCAGCUGAUACACCAAUUGGGAAUGAAUCACAUAUGUACUAAACCGGGUUCCAACCAAGGUAGUUCCUAAAACGCCUUUUGAGUUAUGGAAAUGUUGCAAACCCAGUCUAAGGCAUGUACAUGUAUGGGGUUGCCUAGUUGAGGUUAGAAUUUAUAAUCCACAAGAGAAAAAGUUAGACUCAAGAAUAGUCAGUGGAUAUUUCAUUGGCUACAUAGAAAAGUCUAAGGAUACAAAUUUUUAUUAUCCUUCUUGUGCUACGAAAAUUGUAGAAUCUCAUAAUGCAAGGUUUUUGGAGAAUGAUGUGAUUAGUGGGAGCAAUGAAUCUUGACACUUAGUGUUUGAGGAACGCCACAAUAUUGAACCCACUCUUGAGUCUUCAAGUGGAUUAAUUAUUUUCCUGGAUAGUCAUCAAGAUUUGACAAUCCAAGAAACACCAGUUGUUAAUGAACCACAUCAUGAGGAUAUUCUGAUGGAUUUAGUUAUUCAACAUCCUCAACAAGGGAAUGUUGAUAUAACAUUAAGAAGAUCUACUACAGAAAGGAGGUCUACAAUUUCUUUUGAUUAUGUUGUGUACUUACAAGAAUAUGACAUUGAUAUUGGUGUUGAAGAUGACCCCAUUACGUUUUCACAAGCCGUGGGUGGAAGUGAAAAGAUGAGAUGAAUUCAAUGGCUAAUAAUCAAGUCUGGGAUCUUGUUGAGUUGCCUAAAGGUGCAAAGGUAAUUGGUUGUAAAUGGGUUUUUAAGACUAAAAGGGGUUCUUUGGGCAAUAUUGAAAGAUAUAAGGCAAGACUUGUAGCUAAAGGAUUCACUCAACAAGAAGGAAUUGAUUAUCAUGAUACCUUCUCUCCUAUUUCCAAGAAGGAUUUAUUUUGGAUAAUCAUGGCAUUGGUAGCUCAUUUUGAUAUGGAGUUACAUCAAAUGGAUGUGAAAACAGCAUUCCUUAAUGGGGAUUUAGAGGAAAAGGUUUACAUGAAACAACCAGAAUGGUUCAUCACAAAUGGAAAUGAUCACAUUGUUUGCAAGCUUAAAAAAUCUAUAUAUGGACUAAAACAAGCAUUCCGUCAAUGGUAUUUAAAGUUCCAUGAUGUUAUUUCUUCAUUUGGUUUUAUAGAAAAUGUUAUGGAUCAAUGUAUGUACCAUAAGGUUAGUAGGAGCAAAAUGAAUUUCUUAGUCUCAUAUGUGGAUGAUAUUUUGCUUGCUUCAAAUGAUUUGGGCUUACUUCAUGAGGUGAGGUGAGGCGAUUUCUCUUGCAACAAUUUGAUAUGAAAGAUAUGGGUGAAGCUUCUUAUGUCAUUGGCAUAAAGAUUGAGAGAGAGAGAUCUCAACGGAUAUUAGGAUUGUCUCAAGAAACCUAUAUCAAUAAAGUGCUUGAGAGAUUUCGCAUGAAGGAUUGUUCACCUGGUAUUGCACCGAUUGUCAAAGGUGACAAAUUUAGUUUGAACCAAUGCCUCAGUAAUGAUUUGGAAAAUAAAGAGAUGAAAAAUAUUCCUUAUGCUUUUUCAGUUGGGAGUUUAAUGUAUGCUCAGGUUAAUACAAGACCUGACAUUUCUUAUGCAGUUGGAAUGUUGGGCAGAUAUCAAAGUAAUCGAGGUCUGGAACACUAAAAAGCUGCAAAGAAAGUCAUGUGAUACUUUAAGGGGACUAGGGACUACAAACUUACAUACAUGCGAUCUGAUUAUUUGGAUGUGGUUGGAUAUUUGGAUUCUAACUUUGCUAGCUGCCUUGAUUCUAGAAAGUUGACAUCUGGAUAUGUCUUCUUAUUAGCUGGAGGGGCCAUUUCAUGGAAAAGUGCAAAACAAACAUUGGUUGCUACUUCGACCACAGAAGCGAAAUUUGUUUCAUGUUUUGAAGCAACGUCACAUGCUAUUUGGCUGAGGAGUUUUAUUUCAGGGCUUCAAGUUGUUGACUUAAUUUCUAAGCCAUUGAGGAUUUACUGUGAUAACUCUACCAUAGUGUUUUUAGCUAAGAAUAAUAAGAGUGGAAGUCAUAGUAAACACAUUGACAUAAAGUACUUAUCUAUUAGGGAACAUGUUAAGUCAAACAAGGUGGCUAUUGAGCAUAUUAGUACUGGAUUGAUGAUUGCGGAUCCUUUGACGAAAGGAUUGCCACCUAAGGCUUAUAAGGAACAGGUUGAACAUAUGGGACUCAAUUCUAUUUUUUAAAUUUUGUGUAAUUGAGACAUCUUUUGUGUUUCAUCGCAUUUUUUGGUUGAUAUGAAAACUCCAAUUAUUUCAAUCUUGUCUUCUCAUUUGGUUAUAUACAUAAAGUUUAGAGAAUGAAAAUAUGCAUGUUAUGAAUGUUAAGUAGACCUUGAAUGAGAAUUUUGGAAACUCAUUCAUAAAGGAAUGACUCACGUAUUGUUCUUAUUCAAAAGAGAAAGUUGCAUUGUAAUACAUGGAAGGUAAUACUUGUUCUUAGAGGACUUACUGACAUGAUUUAUGUGCUUUAAAUUCUUUUGAUUAAGUAUAAGGAUUUAGGGAAAAAUAUGUUAUGUAUUAAUUUAAUUAAUACAUAUUAAGUAAUUUUUAUGGGCUAAGUGGGAGAAAUGUUGGAAACCGUUUUGCAUUUUUAAUAAAAUAAAAAUAUUUUAAAUUGUGGCCCAUUUAAAUAUUAUUUUCCCUAAAAUAAAUGAAACGUGGGGGCACAUCUCUUAUGGAGUAACCACCCAUGUCUACAGACGUGAGACAUAUUACUCGGUUGAAAACUACCCGAAGUCUUCUUUGAUGGGAAGAAGAGAAAAUAAAUAGAUAGAUACAGGAUUAAUUCCAAAAGAGGGAAAAAGAGUCUCUGAUCUACAAGAAUAAGUCUAUGAGUUCCAUCGGUGCAUGGACAUAAGGUCUUGUAAGGACUAGCCAACUAAUCCCUAUUUUGUGUGAAUUUGAUUGCCAUGGCUGGAGGUAUGAUCUUGGAUUUUCAUUUUAUUACUUGUAAUUAUCAGAGAUAUUUAUCUAACAUUUAAGAGUUAAGCAUGAUCACAUUGUGAUUUAUUAUGAUAAUGGGAGUGCCCUACAUUUAUUUAAGAAUAAAGUUCAUCACUCAUUGGUAAGGCAUAUUGAUGUCUAAUUUCAUUUUAUUUAAGAGAUUCUAGAAGAAAGUCAUAUCUUGUUUUAGAAAGAUUGCUAAUGUUAAUGAGGUAGGUCAUAUUUUAAGAAAGAUUUUUCCUAAAGUCAAGUUUAGCCAUUGUUUAAAUGUGAUCCAUGUAGAAAGGAUCAAUGUACCUUUAGGUGUGUAGUAGCAAAAUCCUUAAAGAUUGUUUGGUUAGCUUCAUUUACAUUACUUAGUUAAAUAUUACAUAGUCAAUUACAUAGUCCUUUAUUAUUAUUUUUCAUUCUUAGUUGGUUUUUGUCUUGAAUUUAGAGUGAAGAAGAUGUAAUCAAUGAGUAGGGAAAGAGGAACAAAAAUGAAAAUAACAUUAGAACUAGGAAUUGGAGAAGAGGAAGAAGAUGAGGACAUUUCUAGCAAUGUUGCAUGUCAAUUUUUUGUUUAAUGAUUUCCUUAUAAUAGUUUUCAUAUUUCAUUAUCUCUCUCUAAACUAAACAACAUAUUUCUUAAAUAUUUUGAAUUCUUAUUUAUUUUUAAACUCUUUCAUUCUCUACCCUUUCACCAUUUUCACAUACCUAAAAUUUGCUCUCAAUUUAUUUCAAUAAUGUUGACAUAAAAGUAAAUAGCUAAAAUAGAUAAGUUAACCUUCAACCUAUUUUUUAUUUAUUUAUUUAUUUACAAACCAAAAUCUAGUAUUUUUGUUUAGAAACUAAAAUUGAACAAAAAUGUAUAAACUAAGAGAAAGAAAAAGUAAAAACUAGAGACUUGUAAUUAUAUAAAUGUUAAGAUUUCAAGUUAGUAAUUUAUGUUAGUAUUUGUAUUUUUUUCUUUUUUUUUUCUUGAUUUUUAUAUACCAUUUUAAUUAAUAUUUUCAAUUUUGUGAUUGAAGUCUCAAAUUUUUUAAUUUGUGUUAUGCUUAUUUUAUUGUUUCCAUGUUAAAAACCAAUGUGCAAUUAGUAUGACAUGUACACUUAUUAUUUCGAAGUGUAAUGUUGAUAUCUUAUUUUGUAAAGCCCAUGGCGAUCAAUCAUUGUCUCUCAUGUGUCUCAUUGAUGAUGUGUGAGUUUGACUAAUUAUUUAGCAUCAUGCCUCAAAGAUUAAUGUUACAUAUCGAAGACAUCUCUCUAAUAAACAUGACAUUCAAUACACUUUUCUUGGCCUUAAUCUUUGAUACAUGAUAGGUCCAUGUUCUACCUUCAUAUCUCCUAUGCCAUAGUGCUACAUUAUUUGAAAAUGAAUAUUUAUCUUCAAUAAGACCCUAAGUCACAUGGAUGCCUAUGAAGCAUGGAUGUUGCCCAUAGUGAAUGCCAGGGAGGGGGGUAAAGGUGUUUCUUACUCUAUUCUUCCUUAAGAUGGUAUCAUGUGCUUCUGAUAAUUGUUUUAUUCUUAUUCUAGAAAAUACAUGCUUCCUAAAAACUAAUAGUUUUUAUUGGUUUAUGAUCUUUUAUACCUCCUUCUAAUGUGUCAGCCUUACCAUAAUGCCUUGAUGUUAAUAAAUCUACCUAGUUCAUGAGCAAAGCUCAAGGUUUUGGAAUGGACUUUGUGUCCUUAGUGGUAAAUCUAGUUUCCCUACCCAUUAGCAUUUCAAGAUUAGUUUGAGCAUCUUGGUUUAGCAAUUAGAUCUUAUACUUACCAAGGUUGGAUUAACACACAUUGAUCUCAUUUUAGCUUAAAUGAAAGAGGUGACAAGUGUGUCUUCAUUAUAGGUGUCAUAUGAAGAAGUUUGUAUAUCCUUAUAGAAUAACUAAUAUUCAAAAUACUAUUUUAGAGCAUCAAUAAAAACUUCAUUUCUAUCCAAAUGAAAAAAAGAAGUGAUAUUGUUGUUCUCCUUGAUCUUACUGCCACCAUCUCUACCCAAUCAUCUACUCUCACUUUGUUUUGCUCUCAUUUUAAACUCUUGGGACAUUUAAAACUUUUAAGUUUUAGUUGUAAACUUAUAGAUACUUUUUUAGGAAAAAAAAAAUGGAAGUGAGAUCUAAGAUUUUGUUUUGAGAAAAGUAUUGAAAAAGCCCCAGGCUUAGAAACUUUUAUUUGCCUAUGUCUAAUAUGAACUUUUGAAUGAAAAAAACAAUGUUAUAUAAUUUAAUACUUGAAAGGAGUUAGAAGGUUUUUUCUAAUUUUGGAGCAUGAUGUACAUUAUGAGCCUAAAUCAUGACAACUUAAGUUGUUAGGAAGAUCAGUUGCUUAACAUGCCAAUAGUGUCUUGUUUAGUGGGGGGUUGUGUGUUUGAAUCUCACCUCAUUAUUUCCAUGAUUUACUAAAAUGAGGUUAGUUGCAUAGGAAAAUUUUUCUCUUCAUACGUGGGUAUGGGGUUGCAGUGAAAGAGAGUGUUAAAGAAUGGGAUCAAAUCUUAAUAGUUUAAGCUUUUAGAAAAAUCAAAAGUUCAAUAUGGCAUUAGAGUCUUAUUUAUUCGAAGGUUAUUAGUUUGGACCUAAAGACAUUAUUUCCCUAAUUUAUUGAGUAAAAAAAAGGCUAGAUAUGAGGUUGCUAAUGAGAAGUUAAUAGGGGUCCUGAGUCCAAGUCCUUCCCUCAUUAUUUAUCUAUCUAAUUAUUUAUGACCAUAAAGUGCUCCCCAUGAUAGGUAUGGGCUCACAUAUGAGGAGAGGAGGGGUGUUGGACCAUUAUAUAUGUUAUGUGCUCAAAUUCUAACAACUUAAUUAAGCUUUUAGGAAAAUUUAUUAUUUAACAUUAAUAUUGUUUUGUAAUCAAAGUAAAAUCUGUUGAGGAGAAGAAAAAUGGUAUUCUUCUAUAUAUUGAAAGAUACAGCAGAUGAGGGUUAUAUAUAACCUGUACAUGAAGUUAAUUUGGAAGAAACUAAUCACACUAAUCUAGGCUACAAUCUUGGAUGAUUUACAAUCAAAUAAAACUAACUUGGUAACUAGAAUAUUUUUAUUUCUAUAAUUGCUCCUUCAACAACUCACGUCAAUACUCCCCCUCAAGUUGGUGCAUAGAUAUCAUCAAUGCCCAAUUUGUCAAGUGAGUUGUGAAAUAUUUUGCUAGAGACAGCCUUUGUAAGAAUAUUUGCUAGUUGAUCUUCUGACUUCACAAAAGGAAAUUGAAUGACCUUGUCUUCGAGCUUCUGCUUGAUAAAAUGUCGAUCCACUUCAACAUGUUUGGUGCGGUCAUGUUGAACUGGGUUAUGCGCGAUUGCUAUGGCUGCCUUAUUAUCACAAAACAAGUUCAUUGUAUUCUGAGAUGAACACUUAAUUUCCUCUAAUAAUCUUUUUAACCAAAGUAGCUCACACAAUCCUUUAGUCAUGCCUCUAAACUCAGCCUCUGCACUAGAUAAAGCAACUACCUUAUGUUUUUUACUCCUCCAAGUGACCAGAUUGCCUCCCACAAAUGUGAAGUAGCCCGAUGUGGAUUUUCUAUCAGUAAUGUUCCAUGCCCAGUCUGCGUCCGUAUAACCGUCAAUGUGCAGAUGUUGGUUUUUCGUGAACAUCAGUCCUCUUCUUGGAGAAGACUUCAAGUACCGUAAAAUACGAACCACUGCACUCAUAUGAUCUUCGCUAGGACAAUGCAUGAAUUGACUCACCAAGCUCACCGCAUAAGCAAUAUCAGGUCGUGUGUGAGAUAAGUAUAUCAGCUUUCCCACAAGGCGUUGAUACCUUUCUUUAUUGGUAGGGGUCUGGUUAGGAAAUUCUCCCAAGCCAUGGUUUUGAACAACUGGUGUAUCAGCAGGUCUACAAUCAAGCAUUCCUAUUUCAGACAACAAGUCAAGCACGUACUUCCUUUGGGAUAGAAAUAUGCCUUGUUUUGAUCGAGCUACUUCAAUCCCCAAAAAAUACUUCAACCCUCCAAGAUUUUUCAUCUCAAAUUCAAUUGCUAAAUGCUCUUGUAAUUUAGAGAUUUCUUCCUCGUCAUUUCUUGUAAUUAUCAUAUCAUCAACAUAGAUUAUUAGAGUUGUUACCUUCCCCCGUUGGUGCUUUAAGAAGAGAGUAUGAUCUAAAUUACUUUGCUUGAAACCGUGCUUUCUCAUGGCAAGGCUAAAUCGUCCAAACCAUGCUCUAGAAGACUGUUUCAAUCCGUAUAAUGCCUUUUGUAACUUGCAAACAUCCUUCCCCUGUGUCGAAGAAACAAAACCCGGUGGAAUGUCCAUGUACACCUCCUUUUUAAGAUCCCUAUGGAGAAAGGCAUUUUUGACGUCAAAUUGGUGCAAUGGCCAGUCCAAGUUUGCAGCAAGAGAGAUUAGUACUCUCACAGUAUUUAAUUUUGCUAUAGGUGAAAAAGUUUCUUGAUAAUCUACCCCAUAUGUCUGAGUAUAUCCCUUCGCAACGAGCCUUGCUUUAUAUCUUUCAACUGAUCCAUCUACUUUGUGUUUGAUAGAGAACACCCAUCGACAUCCCACAGUUUUCUUUCCCUUAGGCAAUGGCACAAGCGCCCAAGUAUCAUUUUUUUGUAAUGCUUUCAUCUCUUCCUCUAUCACUUGGAUCCAUUUGGGAUUAUUCAUGGCUUCACUCACUGUAUCAGGAACACUAUCUGCAGAUAAUUUAUGAACCAAUGCCUUGAGAGGUUCAGACAAUUUUUGAGUUGAGAUAUGGUUGGCAAUUGGGUACUUUGACUUGCUCGUUCCAUGAUCGGGUGAAUAGCGGUUUGGUGGUUGCCCGCGGUUAUGCCUGAAAGGUAGUUUAUAGCCAGAAAAAAUAUUGUGAGGAGAGUUUAGAACUUGUACCUCAGGAAUAUUCUCAAGAGAUUGGUCUAAUUGUGGUACUGUCAAGUCAUGGAAGGGUUGUUCACUUUCAAUUUCCCUAACUUCUCCAUUUUGAUAUACUCUUGUUGGUUGUUGUUCGAUCUCUGCUUCGACAUGCUCAACAUUUUCAACUUCUCCUCUUUGAUCUAUCAGUAUUGCCAUUGGUUCUCUUGGCUGAACCUCCCUUAUAUCAUUUGAAGUUUCUUCGAAGCCUGGCCAAUUUUCCCAAUUCUGCUCUUCACUCGUCAUCUCCCCCUGAAGAGAGAAGUGGGAAGAUUGAGAAGUGAAGAAAUUCUCCUAUUCAAUAAAGGUGACAUCCAUGGUGGUAUAGAGUCGCCUUGUAGCUGGAUCAUAACAUCGGUAUCCUUUCUUGUGAGUUGCAUAGCCAAGAAAAACACAAUGGACAGCACAUGGAUCAAGCUUUGUCCGUUGAUUCUUGUGUAGAUGAACAUAUGUAACACAACCAAACUUUCUUGGAGGAAGCAUUAGAACUGAUGGUAAUGUCACAUGUUGUGCGAGAACUUGAAGAGGGGUUUUGUAGUGCAAAACUCGUGAUGGCAAUCGAUUCAUUAAGUAUACAGCAGUCAUUAUUGCAUCUAGCCAAAAUCGUUUAGGAACAUAAGCAGCAGUCAAGAAAGCUCGAGUGAUUUCCAAGAUAUGUCUAUUCUUGCGCUCUGCAACACCGUUCUGUUGCGGUGUUUGAGAACAAGAUGUCUCAUGAUGCAAACCAUGUUCCUGAAAGUAUCUGUGAAAUUGUGCAUUAUCAUAUUCCCCACCAUUAUCAGAUCAAAGAAUUUGAAGUUUAGCAGAAAAUUGUGUUCGAAUCAUAUUAUGAAAUGAUCGAAAUAUUUCAAACACUUCAUGUUUAUUUUUCAUCACAUAAAGCCAAGUCAUUCGUGUACAAUCAUCGACAAAGGUUACAAACCAACGAACACUAGAAGAAAUAGUAAUAGGAGCAGGGCCCCAAACGUCAGAAUGAACAAUCAAAAAAUGAGUGUCACAUUUAUUCAAACUGAUUGAAUAAGGUACCUGAUGACUCUUAGCCUGAAUACAAGCUUCACACUUAAAAUCUGACUCAUUAAACUUCGUAAAUAAAUCUAGAAAUAAACAUCUCAAAUACCGAAAUGAGGGAUGCCCCAACCGAUUAUGCCAUAACCAUAUCUGUCUUUCCUUAACUCCAGCAGAAUGCAUAUUAUUUGCUCGACCAUAACUAAAAUCAUCCAUGUAAUACAACCCUUCCCUUUUAGUACCACGACCAAUAAUCUCCUUGGUGAGAAUAUCCUUAAACAAACAAAAGUUAGGGUACAUUAGAGCAUAACAAUUCAAUUCCUCAGUCACUUGUCCAAUAGAUAACAAUUAAUUGGAAAGUGAUGGAACUAGUAAGGUAUUUGGUAAUGUAAAAGAAGGAGAAAGAGCCACUGUUCCAACCCCUGUUACUGGAUAUGUUACUCCAUUAGCAUUGGCAAUGCAUAUUCGUUUUGGUUGGGUGGCUUUAGAGAAGUCACAAGGGUCAAAGGUCAUGUGGUCUGUUGCCCCAAAGUCAAUGAUCCAGCCAUCAUGGUUCCCCGUUUUCGAGCAAGAAAAAACAUAACCUUGGUUACCUGAGUCAUUCUGAGCAAUCUGUUCACUAGUGGAGAUAGAAUAUUCUUGUUGUGGUACGAGAGAUAGUUGAGGCUCUACGCUCAUAAGAGCUGCACAACCAAGAUUGUCGCCUCCACUUGCUUCACGCUUUUUCUUUGCCUUGAGUUCAUGCCACCAAUCUGGAUAACCAUGUAGUUUGAAGCAUGUUUCUUUGGUGUGUUUUGUAUUCCCACAAUGUGUGCAGCCUCCUCCUUCCCCUUUUGGUUUUGUGGUUGUGUUAGGCUUUCCAUUUGAUGGCGUUUGAAAAGAUAAUUGGUGUUGAGGUUUAUGUUCUCCUCUUGAAAGCAUAGCACCACCAGAUAUGGUAUCUUCAUUCAUCAUCAUUACGGAUUGCCUCAAAUCCUCUAUUCAAACUUGCGCAUAAGCUUGUUCCACUGUUGGGAAUGGUUGUAUCUACAGCACAUCUGCUCAGAUCUUGUCAAGCCGAUCAUCAAGUCCGUCUACGAAAGUGUAGACUCUAUCCUCCUAUAAAAUAGAGUUAUAUUUUUGUAUAUUAAUAUCACAUUCCAUAGGAUUUGGUCAACGAAAGUCGAUUUCCCUCCACAAGCCUUGCAGAUUGUUGUAGUGUGUCUCGAUAGAUCCUCCUUCUUGUUUGAAUCUGGUUACUCUUCUUUUGAGAUCAUAUACUUGUGAUGUAUCAGUGCCAUCAAAGUACGUAAUAGCAAUAUUAUCCCAAACAGCCUUAGCCAUUGAGAAUUUGAUAAAGUUACUGACUAACUUUGGAUCCAUAGAAUUGAUUAGCCAUCCCUUCACCACUGCGUUUUCGGUUCUCCAUUUUCUGAAUGCAGGAUCUGUUUGCAGGGGCUGUGGAAAAUCUCCAUUUAUGUAUCCCAACUUGUCUUUACCUGAGAUAUACAUCUCGACAAUUUGGGACCAUAGUGCAUAAUUGGUACCAUCUAACUUGAUUCCAAUCUGUGUAGCAGGUUCAUGACUUGUGAUAUGGUUCUGAGUUUGGUUGUGGUUCAGUACUUGUGUCAUUCUUGUCAUAAGAUCUGCGAGAAUUGAACUCUCCCCUUCGUGUUUUUCCACCCUAAUAGGAGGUGUUUCCAUUUUCCUCUUUCUGUUUUUUUUUUUUUUCUGAAAUUCUAUGGCCCUAGAAUCUCUGCUCUGAUACCAUGUUGAAGAGAAGAAAAAUGGUAUUCUUCUAUAUAUUGAAAGAUACAGCAGAUGAGGGCUAUAUAUAACCUAUACAUGAAGUUAAUUUGGAAGAAACUAAUCACACUAAUCUAGGCUACAAUCUUGGAUGAUUUACAAUAAAAUAAAACUAACUUGGUAACUAGAAUAUUUUUAUUUCUAUAAUUGCUCAUUCAACAACUCACGUCAAUAAAAUCAACCCUAGUUAUUCAACAUAAUAAAAAACAUUAGUUUCCUUAUUGAAAAUGGUAAGGACUAAGUAAAUUGAUAUAAAAUAGAAUGCUUUAUAGUUUAUGAGGUGAAGUAUUAGCACUAUAAAGUUAAGUAACUAAUUUGCUAAAAUUACUAGCUAAAACUUGAAAAAUCUUAUCUAAGUGAAAAAUAAAAUAAAAUAAAACUCUUUAUUUUACAUAAUAGCAUAUCUAUAUCCCCUUAAAUUAUGAAAUUCAUGUUGUUUUUUCAACAAAAAAAAAAAAGAUAGAAAAAGAAAAAGAAAAAACCUAGAAAUGCCUACUCAAAAAGAAUAGAUUGAUACACUCCCUAACCAUAAAAUUGAGUUGUAAAUAUAAAUUAUAGUUCAUCCAAGUCUAUAUGCGACUUUUAGAAAUCAAUAGCUAGUUUCAUUUACACCAUUGGUUCGCAUUUUUUUAUUCCAUUGAAAAGAAAGCAAUAAAAAUGAAUUGAGACAAAAAUGAUAAUACAAUCCAUAAAACAUCAAUAGAUUUGUAAACUCAUUAUAAAGUUCAUAAAUUUUUAGAUAAAAAGAAAAACAAUAUAAAGAGGAAAAAAAAUUAGGAACUAUCAAGUUCAAAAAUAGAAUUUAUGGUAAAAAAUAAAAAAUAAAAAGAUAUAACAAACAACAUUUUAAAGUAAGGGUACAAUAGUUAUUAAAAAGAAUCUCAAUAAAAGUUUUCUAAAAAUUGAAAAGAGAGAGAAAAAGUUUUUGGUAUGCUUUUAUGGUUUAGGGGGUAAAAGUUCAUAAUACUCGUCAUUUUAUCAUCUUUAUAGGAAAAAAAAAUUAGACUCAACUUUAUCACAACUCAUAUGAGUUAAAAAUCUCUUGAAUGUAUUUUCUCUCAAGUUUCUAAUGGAUACCCCUUUAUCAAAGGUAUGGACAUUGAGCUAAAUUCACCAUUAAAAUUCAUCAAGUUCCUUUUUUCCUUUUCCUAAUUCAUCAAGCUAUAUUUAUGAAAUAUCCUAAUUAUUCACUUGUAAUAUCAUAUUGUCAACAAAUCCCUUAACAGAUCUACACCUAUCACUAGUUAAUAGAUAAAAUAACUUAAUAAUUAGUUUUAAGUUUUAAGGACUUUACAAGACAAGCCAAGAACCUCAGAUUGCUUGCACACAAUUGACAAAUUGAUUUGUUUUAAAAAGUCAAAUGCUAAAGAAAAUCCACAACACAUAUUGUUUUAAAAAUAUUUGUAUUUAUAUGACAAAAAAAAAAAAAAAACCAAUAGUUUAAAUUGGAAAAGUUUAUGCAAAUUAGAUGAGGAAAAUGCAAGCCAUAAAAUAACAUUAAACUGUUAUCAUUCUCUAAGAAACAUCAAGAACAUAUUGAGAGAACCAUUGCUUGACAUAAUAAAUUGGUCUUGAAAGGAAAAGAAAAUCAUCAAAGCAAUUAUAUUUGUGAUGCAUUCCUAUUUGCAAUAGGUUCCAAUAUUUGAAGCUCACAAAUUCUUCACAUUUGGAUGAACCUUUUUAUUGCAAACAUAGAUCAACCUUGUGGUGCUUACCAAUGGGAAAACAAUUAUAGUAAGAUAUGUAUUGCAAAUGGUGCAUGCUUGCUGUAAAAAUAAAAAAUAAACAAUGAUGAUUGGAUAAGGGAUAGAAAUGGAACAAAAGACAUUGAAUUGUUAUAUGAAUUAAUAUAUUUUAUGUACUCAAAUACAAAAGCAUAUUAUAAUAAUAUUCAUAAGGCAAAAACCACUAUUUUUUUUAUUGGGAAACCCAUAUGAGAACAUGGCAUGGGGCUCAUCAUUGCACACACCACAUUCUCCACAAAAAACCAUAGGACUAACACCAUGAAAACCCAUCAUUGGCACCAUCCUCUUGACUCUCAAUCCCUUAACCCUACACAUUUUCAAACCAAUGUCAUCAACCACUCAUAUCACACAACUCAUAACCCAUCUCUAAUUCCACAACUUUCACCACUGUUGUACUACCAUUCACAUCAUCUCUAUCUCUAAAAACCUACACUCACACCUCUACAAAAUGUCACACUUCCUCACCUUAUACAACACCACCGCCUUAUUAAUUCAUCCAUGCCUAUGGCUAACAUAAAAAAACCCACCAGCACCCUCAUAAAAAAACAAUACUAUUUCAAAGUUACACCACAUUAAUGUCACCAUGCACCUUUCCCUCCAUUGAAUAUCCCAUACAAUCUCUCAUUAUCACCCUCGUCAAAUUCGCAAUGUCUCUCCUAAAUCCUGUAUGACUCUUAGUUUUACCAUUUAUUAGGUUAGCGUCCUCUAGUUCUAAUCGCAACCACUCUAACUUCCAAAGAAAUAAAAUGAUAAAUGAGCAAGUCAUGGAGAUUUCUCUUCCUUACAACCUUUUGCUCCAAGUGUUUUGGUACCCUACUAUUUGCACAUAUAUGUCUUGACAUUAACUUCUACUCAAAUAUAAUCUCUUCUUGUUUUCAUGCUUACCUAUUUUAUACAUCUUUUUUUGUAGAUUUUUUAAUUAUUUAACAUCUUAAGGUUUGCUUUGGUCAUGUUGUAUUGUUUACUUUGCACACUAACCAAAUGUCAAGGCCCUUUUACAUACAACUGGUUCUACCUUAGUCUUUGCAAUACCUUCCUAAGGUAGACCAAGUGAUCUUGUAGAGUGUAGUUGUAGAUCACUAUAUCGUCCAAAUAAUACACCACAAACGAGUCUAGGAAGUCAAAUAAGAUGUUGUUUAUGAGGUUGCAGAAAGCGGCAAGGGCAUUAAUCAACCCGCAAUGCAUGACCAAGAAUUCAUAGCUACCAUACCAAGUCAAACAAGUUGUCUUUGCAUCAUCUCUUUAAGCAAUGAAAACCUGUCAAUACCCUAAUCAUAGGUUUAUCUUGGUAAAAUACUCCACUUCACAAAUUGAAGAAGUUUGUGUGUGUGUGUGUGUGUUUGUAUAUAUAUAUAUAUUAUGCCAUAGCUUUACAUGCCAUCUACUUGUCUCCAUUUCAACAUUUGAUCAUCACCCAUGGAUGCAUUAUUCUAACUAAAUCCACUUCUCCUUCUUUCAUCCUCUUUCCAUUUUGCAUUAGAAUUAAUCCAAUUAACACCACAUAUUGCUUCUCCGUUACCCCACAUUGGUAUAUAUGCAAUGAACUUUUUGGUUUUAGCUCCAAUGUUUUAGCUACAAUUAGGGCCAACUUUAUAUUAUUAUGUACCUCAAAAUUAAGCAUUGAAUAAUGCACCCUACUCAUCUCCAUUUGGUUCAAAUGGCUUGUUGUUGUUCAAAUUCAUAGUCUCUUCAAUAUCUUGUAGUUUUCAUGAAUUCCAUUUGGAAGACCAAACUACACAUGUAUUUUACAAAUAGUAAGCCUGAAUUUACAACCAACGAUCUAACAACUACACAAAGAUUUAUAAUUUCAAUAAAAUCACACAAUAUUUAUGCCACCUAAUUCAAUAUUUUGAGCACCAGGGAGUGAGAAUUAAUGGUAUUAGAAUAUUUAGGUAUCUUGCAGUAUGGUUACAAGUUAGUUAAAUAAUUGUUAGCUUGUUAAAUAAUCGUUAGUUGCUUUUUCUAUUUUUUUUUUUUUUGUUUGCAACUGGUAAACUAGUAGGUUGUGAUAGCUUUUUUACCAAUCUUUAUUAUAAAGGCUUUCUUUGUAUUACUAAAACAUCAAGUGAGAAUAUUCUAAAAUUAUCAGAGAACUCAUUUUCUCUUCUUUCCUUUCUCUAGUCAAUUUUCUAAUAUGGUAUUAGAGUCAUUUCUUUUGUCUCUGUGACUUCUCUAACUUUCCCCUCCCAUUUAUCUAAUGGCUUGCGGUGGUGGCAAUGUUAAUGCCAAUCGAGCAGUAGUUAGUACUCCUAAUUCCUCUAUAAUGGAAUAUUCGAGCAGUCCAUUUUUCAUCCAUAGUAAAUAUCACCAAGGCUUGGUUCUUGUCUCAUAUCAACUUACUGGAGCUAACUAUAAUUCCUAGAGUAGAUCUAAGCACAUGGCUCUUAUAGCUAAGAACAAGAUCAGCUUGGUUGAUGACGCUUUUCUUCAACCUCCAACAGACAAUCUCAUUUCCUUUGUUUGAAUCCAUUGUGAUAGUAUGGUUACAUUUUAGAUCUUGAACUCUAUUUUUAAAGAUAUUGUUGAUAGUCUUCUCUAUGCUAAUAGCACUUUUAAUGCUUGGGUUGAUCUUUAUGAUUGAUUCCACCAAAGCAAUGUCCCACAAAUCUUCUAAAUCAAGAAGCACGUAGUUGUUCUUGAGCAAAGAUCUAUGGAUGUCAACACAUACUACACUAAGCUCAAGGUCCUCUAGGAUGAGCUCAAAAAUUAUCAACCCAUUCUUGUCUAUCACUAUGGAGGCACAAAGUCUUGGUUAGACACCAACAAUAGGAGUACAUCAUGCAAUUUCUUAUGGGUUUGAUUGAGUCAAAUGCUCAAACUUGAACACAGAUCUUAAUGAUGUCUUUGCAUUAGUUGUUCAAGAAGAAUGCCAAUGUACUAUCAAUUAAGGCUUUUUUUUACUUACCGAUUCUCUUAUUCCCAACAUUUCAAAUUCCUUUACUUUUGUUGCAACAACAAAUUUUUCUCGAAAUUCAACUUUAAAACCUAAGCGUGAGUGACCCUAAUGUUCCCAUUGUGGCUUGCAAGGACAUAUUGUAAAUAAAUGCUAUUAGUUACAUGGCUAUCAUCCUGGCUAUAAGUCAAAAUCAAAGAAACCUGAAGUAAAAAAUUCAAGCCACCUAGGCCAAUGCAACUAUUAAUGAGACUAUUAACUUUGAUUCAUCCCUUGGAUCUCUUACUUUAGCUCAGUGUCAUCAAUUGCUUGCAUUCUUGAGCUCUCAACUUCAUACCAACUUUCUUAUUAUGCUAGAAUCUCAAUAGCUAGAACCCUUUGUUUCCCAGUUCAAUGGUAUACUAUCUUUUUCUUCUAUAUCAUAAUUUUCCAAUUUCUUUUUCCAUCUGGAUUUUGGACAUAGAAGUCGCACAUCAUGUUUGUUGUUACUUAAGCACAUUUACACAAUCUACUCCAGCACAAAAUUCUUUUGUAACUUUGCCUAAUAGUCAAUCUGUUGUUAUUAAUCGUAUUGGUUAUGUAUUUUUGUCUCCUGAUCUCAUCCUUAAUAAUGUCAUGUUUGUUCCUAAUUUCCAUUUCAAUCUUCUCUCUAUUAGUUCUCUCACUCAGAGUUAUAAAUCUUCUAUUAAUUUUAUGGUUGAUUCUUGUACUAAAGGCCAUACAUGGACCAAAACGAUUGGGAUGAGUAGAAGACAUGGCAGCCUAUACUUCUUAAAUAUAGUCAAUUUUCAUGCCACUACACCACAAAUUUUCAGUCCUUGUAAUAAUGUUUCUUUGUCUCAAAAUGAAAUUUGGCUUUACUGUUUAGGUCACCUUUCUUAUGUAACGUUACAAACACUCAAAGAUGAAAUAGAAGUUAAACCAAAUUUUGGUGAUUCAAGUCAUUGUUUAGUUUUGCAUUUAGUCAAACAAUGCAAAUUACAUUUAUUUCUCACAAUUAUUUGUCUGUUUUGCCUUUUCAACUCAUACAUUGUGAUGUUUAGGGUCUCCUUCACACAUUUACCAUUGAAGGUUAUAGAUAUUUUUUACUAUUGUUAAUGAUUGUACUCAUUUUAUUUGGGUGUAUCUUUUGCGUGCUAAGCCUGAUGUUACCGAAGUUAUUCCUAAUUUUUUUUUUCUCAUUGAUUCAAACUCAGUUUAGAACACAAAUAAAAUUAGUUCACUCAGAUAAUGCUCCUGAAUUGGCAUUUUUUUUACUUCUUUCAUUCAAAAUGAGUCAUCUCAUUUCAUUCUUGUGUUGAUUAGCCUCAACGGAAUUCAAUAGCAGAAAGAAAGCAUCAACAUAUCUUAAAUGUUGUAUGGUAUUUAUGUUUCCAAUCGCAUAUUCCAUUGGUUUAUUAGGGGGAUUGCAUUCUUAUUAUUGUACACUUAAUAAAUAAAACUCCAUUCCCACUUUUGUCCAACAAAACAACAUUUGAACUUCUUUGGAAAAAGAAGCUUGCAUAUUCACAUCUUCGUAAUUUUGGUUGCCUAUGUUAUGCAUCUACUUUAGAUCGUCAUAGGACAAAUUUCUCACCUCAUGUCAUUCCUUUUGUCUUUCUUAGGUACCCACCUGGUUAUAAAGAAUACAAAUUAUUGAAUCUAGUCACUAAUUCUGUGUUUAUCUCCCAUAAUGUGGUAUUUCAUGAGUCUAUAUUUUCUUUCAAAACUACUCAAACUUAUUCUCCUCUUCCAGAUAUUUUCUCCGGCUAUUGGGUGCAAAUAGGUGUACAAAAAUAAGUAUAGAGUUGAUGGAACUAUUGAACAAUACAAAGCUCACCUUGUAGCUAAAGGCUGCACACAACAAGAGGGCAUAGACUAUCUAGGUACCUUCUCUCAUGUUGUCAAAUUGGUUACUGUUAAGGUUUUGCUUGCUUUGGCUACCAUUAAUGGUUGGAGUCUUCCUUAGUUGGAUGUCAAUAAUGCGUUCUUACAUGGUGAUCUUUUUAAGGAAGUUUAUAUGACUAUGCCUCCUAGUUAUCACUUAAAGGAAAAUCAUUAUCCUCACACUCUGUUUACAAAAUUCAGAAGUCCUUGUAUGGCUUGAAACAAGCAUCACGACAAUGGUUUUCCAAACUCUCCAAUUUCUUACUUGUUAAAGGUUUUUAAACAUUCUAAUGCAAAUCACUCUCUUUUUGUCAAAGUUGUUAGUACUUACUUCAUUGCUCUAUUAGUUUAUGUGGAUGACAUUGUCAUUGUUAGUAAUAGUGAUGAGCAAGUUGAGAAAUUAAAAGUUCUAUUUAGGAAAGCUUAAAUACUUCUAGGGCCUUGAGGUGGUGAGGUUUAAUAAGGGAAUUUCCCUUAGUUAGCACCAUUAUGCCUUACAAUUACUAUCAGAUGUAGGCUAUGUUGGUUGUAAAACAAGGAAAACACUUAUAAAUCCAUAGAAGAUCUUUUAUUUUACGGAAGAAUGAUAGGCAAAUUGGUUUAUCUAACCAUAGCAAACCCAGAUUUAUCAUUUUCAGUACAUAAAUUCAAUCAAUUUCUUGCAAAGCCUAGAGUUCUUCAUAUGUGGGCAAUACAACAUGUGCUUCAGUACUUGAAAGCAUGGUUUGAAAUAUUGGUAAACACGGAUAUAUCGAUACUUGGAUUUUAUGGAUAUAUUGGAAAUAUUGGUAAAAUAUCGGUAAAUAUUAAUAAAAUAUCGGUAAAUAUUGGUAAAAUAUCGGUGGAUAUUUUGACAAAAAUAUUAGUGAAACAAAAAUUAUUCAAAAUUCAUGGAAAUGUUUGGAAAACUCUAAAAAAAAAAUGAUAAAAUAAGCAAGAAUACAUAUGUUAAAGUUAUUGUAAGUGGAAUUGACAUAAGUAUGGUCAAUGAGAAAAAUAUUGAGGGAUAUAUCAGUCUUAAUAAUUUAUUAUUUAUCUUAUCAAAUUAAUUUUAUUUUAUAAAAUAUUAGAAGUUCAUUAUUUUUUUAUUUUAGUAAUUUUUUGAAUAAAUUUAUAUUUUUAAUAUUUUUAAAAUAAAAAAAUUCAAAAUCAAUAAAAUUAAAAGGAUAAACAUAAAAAAAAAAAAAAGUGAAAUGAUAGUAAUUUCUAAAAAUAAGAUUAAUGAGAUAAAUGAUGAUACAUUUAAUAUUAAAACUAUAAUUUAUUUAAUUCAAAUACAUUCAACAAUGUAAAAUAAAUUAUGAUGCAUAUAUAAUUUUUUUUAUAUUUAUAUUUAUUUUUAUAUAAUUGUCAUAUAAAUGAUAUAAAAUAAAAUAAAAUAAAAGACUUAUUAAGAAAAUUAUAAUGAUGGUUUUAUACUUUUAUCAAUUAAUUAAAUUAAAUAAUUAGAAUUAAUUUAUUUAUUCUUUUAAUGAUGAAUUUUAACAUAUUUAUUGUGAACAUAUAUUUACAUAUGUGGACUUGGCCCAAUAGUAGCCAGGCUUCACCCAAGCCUUUUGGCCUGGGUUUGAAUCCCCUUGGAUGCAAUAGAAAAAAAUUUGAAGGAAUUUACACGAAUAUCGGCAUCUUUUCGAUAAAGUCGAUUGACUUUCAGUGUGCAAUAUCAUGUCAACUCUCCUUGAUAUUUUGACGAUUGACUUUCAGUGUGGAAUAUCUUGUUAGCUCUCCCUAAUAAGCAAAAUAUCGACAAUAUUUCACCAAAAUUUUGCAACAUUUCAAUGUGGAAUAUCAUGUUGACUCUCCCCAAUAUUUCAACAAUUGACUUUCAGUGUGAAAUAUUGUGUUAGCUCUCCCUGAUAAGCAAAAUAUCGACAAUAUUUCACCAAAAUUUUACAACAUUUCAAACCGUGCUUGAAAGUUAUGCAGGACAAGGUUUAUUUUAUUUUAUUUAUUUAUUUUUUUCAUUAAUAGAGUUGAAAGGGUUUGUUGAUUCAAAUUGGGCAACUUGUGUGGUCUGUUAGUGGGUUUUGCUUUUUUUUUUUUUUUUUUUUUAAUUAUUGGUGAUUCCUUAAUUUCCCAGAAAUAAAAAGGCAGCAUAUAGUUUCAAGAUCUUUUGUUGAAGUUGAGGACAGAUUUAUGGCAAAUGCAACAUGUGAAUUGAUGUGAUUACUUUCUUUAUUUAGAGAUUUGCAUGUAUCUCAUCCUAAGCCUGCCUUGCUAUUUUGCAACAAUCAAGCAACUCUUUAUAUUGUAGCUAAUCCAAUUUUUCACAAGCACACUAAGCACAUUGAGAUCGAUUAUCACUUGGUUAGAAAGAAACUGUAAAAUGGAAGCUUGAAGACACUACAUAUUUCAUUUAAACAUCAAGUGGGGGACUUGUUGACCAAACCUUUUUCUUCACCUCAAUUUCAUUUUCUUCUUAGUAAAAUGGGAAUUCACAACAUUCAUUCUCCAUUUUGAGGGGGAGUAUUAGAAUAUUUGGGUAUCUUGCAGUAUGGUUACAAGUUAAGUAAAUAAUUGUUAGUUUGCUAAAUAAUUGUUAGCUUCUUUUUCUAUUUUUUUUUUGUUUGCAACUAGAUGUGUCUAUUCAAUAACUUCAUAUGGUUAUAGUUAAUUAAGAAUCCUUUACGUAAUAACUAUUAAAAUAAUUUGUUUCCAACUUUCCUAUUAAAUUUUCUUCUGCUUAGUAUUUCAAAAAUUAUAGUUCAAGAAAGCUCUUUCGAUUUCUAUGUUGCACUGUAUCUUCUUAUAUGUUAGUACAAAUCAUACUCCUCUUUUUACCUCUUCAAUGAAUCCUUUUAGGAGUAAGACCACCAAGUGAGCACCCUUAUAUCGAUCCACAAGCUUUUUAUUACAUAUUUUUGGUUUGUGCACACCACCUCAAAUUUAAGUGGCCCAUAAAUUUUAUACUUUGGAUACCUUACCAUCCAAUCAUAAGCAUAAACUAAAUUUGAAAGGAUAAGUUUAGUUUAUUUUAGAGAAACUGAGCUCCAAGUCCCCUAGCCAAACAUGAAGUUUUGAAGCAUGAAAUUUUUGUGAUGGAACAUAUUUGCAAUCCUUAUUAAAUUGACCAAUUGUGUUAUGCUAAGAAUGCAAAUUAUGCAUGGCAAAGUGGUUAGAAAGUGUACAAAUGCACCAUCUUUUUACUUGUUUUUUUACUCAAAUUUCUCUGUCAAUUUUUUUUUCAUUCUUAUCCUUCUUAAUUGAGGCAAACAUGUUUUGGCUAGUGCUUUCAAAUGCCUUAAAUAUAUUCUUUUCAAUAUUGUAAACAUUUGGCUUGGUCAUUGUUAUAGUUAUCAAUUGUGUCAACUUUUACUUUCUCUCAUCCCCAAUUACAUAUGCACUUUGUAGUUUUAAAUUUUUUUUAGUGAUUAAUCUUAGUUUUUAUCUAAUUGUUUGCCCUAUAGUCUCUGACAUAACUAUAAGUGGAACAUGCACCUCUCACAAACCAAAAGACAUCACUUGUCUUCUUUAAUUUAAACAUUUUUGCAUCUGUGUAAGAUUUGAAACUAGAAUUUCACAAUAUCUCAUAGUCAUCUUCUCUAGUUGUUUCUCAAAGCUCUCUUCAAGAUUUAGUUCAUGUUCAAUUACCAACUUUGAGUUUUCAAUUUUAUUUUAUUUUUUCCUACAAGUCAUGAGGAAAUGAAUUUCAACUGUGUUUCAUCUAUCCAUCUCUCUUAAAUUGUUUUAUUCAAUAGUUACCAAUUGUAGAAUUGUUUUUAUAUAUUCUUUUCAUAGAUAUUGUUAAUAAAUUAUGCUAAAUGAGUAGCUUCCUGAUGUGGUGAGAGCUAAUUUUAUUAUUGCUAGGAUAAUAUAUUUUUAACUUUCUUGACUUUUUCCGAAUUAUAAACCACUCAUGCUUUGACCAAUCUCCAUGUGUUUUUCAUUUGUUUGGAUUUAUGGGCUUUUGAUUCUAUUUAGUGAAUAGAUAAUAAGGAAUUAAGGAUCUGAGAUUGACAUUAUUUUAAGGAUGUUUGAAGAUGGCAUAGUGAAGUAUAGAAUAUUGUUUUGGGUUGUAUCUCCUCGUUUCUCAUACUUAUGGUGGACAUUGAUGAGUUGGAUUAUUUGAAUGAAAUGAGCUUUGGAAAAAUACUAGUAAUUACAUGAAUUGUUGCAAUAUAUUUGAGUGAAAAUAUUAUGUUAGUGUCUCUCCAUGUCACUAAUUCAAACCUGUGACUUUCCAUUGUAAGUGGUAGAAAUAUAUCUUUUAUUUUCUAGAAAACAUUACUCUAACUUGUGAAAAAGGUUCUUAUGCCUCCAUGUUAAAUGUUAUAUGAUGGAAAAAACCUGAAUCUCUCUGUUUCCUCAAUCUGGAUCAAGUUAGGAAUAUGCAUAACUAUCCUAGGCUUUUUCUAAAUUCUAUGCACAACAAAAAAUUAAUUUUUUUUUAUACUUUAUAAGGAUCUAGAAAGUGCUAACGAAAACUAUACCUCAAAUUCGAAUGUUCCCGAGUCUUUCGCCCGAUGACUCAAACCUUGAUCUUGGCACACUUCUAAUGGGGAGGAAAUAAGGGUGGAGGCUAUAGUUCUCUAUCUCUCUGGAUGGUGGAAGAUAAAAUCCAUGGAAACCCUAACCUCUAGGGGGUAUUUAUAGGGUUCCUAAGUUGGCUUAAGUGACUUGAGCCCAUACAGACUUAGGUCACUUAAUCUAACCAAAAAUGAGUUCUAAUUAAUUAAUUAACCCAAUAAGGCCUACUAAUUAAUCAAUUAGCCCAAUCAAGAGACCUUGUUCACUUACCCCUAUACAACCUUGCGUAAUUAUCAAAAUGCCCUUAUACACAAAAGUGAACUUAGAGUCAAUUCAACCCUCAUAACCCAUGCUAACAAGGUGUAUGAGUUCAAAGCGGGGACCAUUGGGACCCAUAGAAAUACUGACUCCCUCAAAAUCCAAUUCUAAAGUUGAUUCAAUAUCACACUACAGAGAAUCAACUAAACUUCAAUAUCCUAUGUAAAUAACAACGAGACACUAAGUGAUCGGGUCUAUGACUUGCUAUCCAUUGUGUUCAGUCUCCCCAUGAACUAAUGUCUGUCGUUUAAUAAGGUGAAAGCUAUUAGUCUUUCAAGACUACCUCUACCUCCUAUUUUGUGUUCAAUUGACAUAUCUUAGUUCUCAAAUUGCCUAUGUCAAGUUCCAUUUAAUGAACUACAUGACCAUAGUUUCCAUGAAUAUACCUCCUUAAGAUCACCCAAGGGGACACACUGUCUCAAUCCCAAGAGAUAUCAUAGUGCCUCUAUUGAAAAUACCUAUUACUACCAGCUUCUACCAAUAAUGAUCUAAUCCAUAUGGAAUAUAUGAUCAACUUCCGAUUUCACCCGUAGGUCAAAGUCAUUGCCAACUUUAGCACAAGCUCAAUAUUCUCUCAAGGUUGAGAGACAACACAAUGAAACAGCUUGGUGAGGUCAUGACUCAAUAAUAGCCUUAAGUCAUGACUCACCAUAGGUCUUGUCCAAUGUGUAACCAUACACACUAGUGCACUCACCAUAGGAAACCCAUCCCGAUAACCAAGACCAGUGAUCCCUCCAAUUAGGAGGUGGUGCACUACAACCUUUAAUGGGUUGCCUAGACCCAUGAACCAGUUGUGAACAAGUCAUCUAUUUGCAAAGAACCCAUGACUUAGAUCUCCUGUGCAACUCCUAAUGCACCUAAGUCACGUACAAUAGAAAAAAUGCAGACAAAAAGGCUCAUAAAGUAUAAUAUAUGGAAUAAGAAUAUAUAAAAGUGAAACUGGAACAUCAUUAAAUAAAUAAUGAAUUCUAAGUUUAUUACAUCAUGUCAUGCUUUUAAGGGCUUUAUCCUAACAUUAUGUAUUUGAGAUAAACAUGAUAUAAUGAGAUUUAUAUUUCUCUGUUAUAAUAUUUCAAUAAGUAAUUGUGUUUUAAUUUUAAUAAACUAUGCUUGCAUGAAACAAUUCAAGUAUCAUUGGCAUCAUUGUGAGACAAAAGUUUCUCUUAUUACAUAUUAAAGAGAUUUAAGUUAUCAAAAAGUGAAAACGGUUUUAUCUAGGCUAGUUUCAAGUUGACAACUUUUAAAUUGUUUAUCAUGUGAUAAAGAACUUUUCCCCACAAAUGAUACUUGAAUUGUCUAAUUAAACAGUGUAGGAAAACAUAAUAUCUAUGAAGUUAAUUGUUUGUUCUUAAUUCAAUUUUUAUAAAUUUUGGUAGUCUUUUCUCUUAUUCUCUGGGUGCAUAUUUGGAUAAAGUUGCAUAGUAUGUCUUGUCCAUUUUACAUACUUAGAGAACUAUAGGGAAAUUCUACUAAAAUUUCUUUAAAAUGAAAUUGACCACAUUGGUCAUUGACACAUAGAGAUUAUGUAUUUCUAUAUGGGAUAGGAACUACUACUGAAUUUAGGAUGUUGGAGAUGUUAGAAUGCAUAAAACAUGCAUCGAAAUUUGACAUACUCAAAUGAUUUUCUUGUGUUGCUUAAGGAGUUUAUUGAGAAAAUUGGUAUAGACAAUGUUUGAUGCAAAGGUCAUGGACAAACCCAAUAUAAUAAUAUUAAUAUGAACUAGUUUUAUUGAGGUUAUACAUCCCUUUUAAUGCAAGUAUUCAUGGUCAACAACAUUUAUAACUUAUUAGUCACUACUACAAAUAAGAUAUACCAUGACCUUGUUUUUUCCCUGGCACUUUUAAAAAUGUUAAUAAUUAGCGUGAUAUUUGAAAAGUGUAGAUCUAUCUUCAUAGAUCAAAAUGGUUAGAACAAUGCUUACUCUUUUUCUUUUAAAUUUGGCAUCUUAACAAAUGUUAAACUACAUUUUCUUGAUUAUUAUUUGAACAAAAAAAAAAAAAGAGGUUGUUAAACGAAUAGCAUAGAAAAUGUUGUUAUUUUCUUCAAUUUGAAGUUUGAUCACUAUUGAAAGUUUGUUCUUAAAAAAUGGAUCGUUUGUGGAUUUCAAAUGAUAGAGGAUUAAAGGAGUAUGAGGAUGGGGUAGAACAUUUUUAUCACAUUUGCAAUAUAAAAUUCUGCAUAUAAAAACUCCAUUAAGUGUCCAUGCUUGUAGAGUGGUAAUAUGAUAUUUCAUACUCCUCAAAGAUUUCCUCAAAAGAUUAGAGAGCAUAUGUUUUUCUAUAGAAUUAAUUAGAAUUACCAUAUAUGGUAUUGGCAUGGGGAAGCAACUCCAAGUGAACCGCCAACUAGAAGGGUAGAACAUUAUAAUAUGGUUCAAUUUAAUGAUGUAGAUAGUACAAUAGAAAUGGUUGAAGUUGUACAAGUUGAAUGUCAAAAUGACCUAAAAUUGCUUAAAAGAUUACUUCAAAUUGUUGAAAAACCUUUUUAUAUCAUAGUUGUAGAAAAUUCACACAAUUGUUUGCAUUGGUUAAAUUAUACAACUUGAAAACACACUAUGAGUAGUCUGCUAAAAGUUUUUCAGAGCUUUUAAAAAUGCGUAGAUAUAUGCUGCCUCUAAAUAAUGAGUUACCCUUAUCUAUGUAUGAGGCAAAAAUGGCAUUGAAUACAUUAGGAAUGGAAUAUGAAAAAAUACACACAUGCCCCAUGAUUGUAUACUUUAUAAGAAUAAGUUGAAAGAUGCAUUUCAUGUCCUAUCUAUGGAACUUCAAGGUGAAAGGUAGAUAAUAUAGGAACUAAAAAAAUGACGAGAGCUCCUGGGAAAGUAAUGUGGUAUUUUCUUCCAAUUCCAAGAUUUAUAAGAAGGUUUCAAUCAUCAAAAAUCGUAAAAGACCUCUUAUGGCAUACCUAAGGAAGAGAUUUAGAUGACAAAAUGUGUCAUCCGGCUGACUCUCUAUCAUGGCUAAUUGACCAUAAAUGGCCCAACUUUGUUUCAAAACCUAGAAACUUGAGACUUCCCAUUUUAGCAAAUGGUAUAAAUCCUCACAAUUCAUUGAUUAGCAAAUAUAGUUGUUUGUCCUAAAGAGCUUGAAGCAGUAACUAUGGACAAUGUUUUUUUUUUAUCAUAAAGAGCAAGUUAUGGGCUACACUAUGGCUGCAGAUAGAGGUAAAACCUUUAACUUGUUUUUAGUUUGAUUUUUGUUUUCUUUCAUAAUGGAAAUAGAAAAUCAUCUAAACGAAUAGGACCUUAAUAAUUUAUUUUUUAUUCUACAAUUUAUUUUUGAAUAAAAUAAUUUAAAAGAUUUCAUUCUUAUAUUUGUUAGACUUUUUUUUUAAUGAAGAAAAAAAUAGUCUCCCUUUUAGCAUAUAUAUUAUAUAUGAUUAACAAUGGGUAUAAUAAAAUUUAUUUAAUAAAUAAUUGAUGUGACAUUCUAAAUUGAAAGUCAUAAAUUAGCUCAUUUGUUUGAUGUUGUCCCUAAAACUACAAGACCUGAUUACAUACUUAGAUUUUGUUCUUGAAAUUUAAGAGAUAAUUGAUGUGACAUCUUGAAUUGAAAGUCAUAAAUUAGCUUAUUAGUUUGAUGUUGGCACUAAAACUACAAUUCCCAAUGACAUAAAUUUUGUUCUUGAGAAAUGUCAUUAUGGUUCAUAGUAAGGCUUAGUUUGGUGUGUCAGACCAUGCAUGCAUGAUAUCUUUUCACAUUCUCUUGCUUUUUGACAAACAUGCUACCAUACUCAAGGUGUUUGUCAAGGCUCAUCUUGGACUACUCAAAACUUUAGGGUCCUUUCUUUGAGUUCACAAGCUUCUUUCCCCUAGUGUUAACCCCAACUCCCAAAAUCCACUCCUUAUUAGUGCACUGACGAAAUCUACAAAUGCACCAUAAAGUGAGAAUGACAUCAUGAAAAUGUAUUAAUGCAUCUUAGAUAUGGGAACUUAAAAAAAAAAAAAAAAUCUAGAGUUUAGACUUGUUUCUGUUAAUUAGAAAUUACUAAGCAAUGAAUCUUGCUAGUGUGGAAAGCACCAAUAGAUUGACCAAGGAAGGUAUAUAUAAAAAAGAUUGACAUUGUCAAUUGGGAAAAUUCCUCUGCAAACGCCAAUCCUAUCUUUCUAACCAUCAUGGAUGUUGAGAAGUAGAUAUCGAUGACUAUGAUGAGGAUCACAAAGGAUUAUCAUACCAAGGAGUUAGACAUUUGUUGGGUUAUCAACAAUUUUAAUGAAGGUGGUAUUAACUAUUUGGUUGUUGAUAGUGUAUUGCGUAGUUCAACCAAGCCAAUCUGCUCCUACAUUGAGAUCAAUCUCGAUGAAAAGGUAGCAUAUAUUUUUCAUUUCCUAAUUAUAUCAACUGCUUCAUGGUGCCUUUGUCUGAUAAGCUUAACAGGUUCUUCUACAUUUCCACCCUCUAAUUCUCUAAAGUUCAUCAUGAUAGGGUUGAAAUUUCAUCAUCAAAUCAAAACACAUCCUCCUAUAAGAGGCCUUUGAAUUCUGAAAUAAUCAAUUCACUUGAUUCUCAUAUUGGCAAAGACAAGCUUACACUAUUGGAAAGACUACCCAUCACCUUUGCCUUCCCAAAUAGAAAAGAUGAGAGAUAACAUUUCACAAAAUCACAAGAAUUAUUCAAGUUUGGAAUUCAUAGGCAUUGUUAUUGAAUUUCAUUUGUAUAAAAUUGGUGUGUUGUGUUUAUUUUGUUGGUAUUAAAAUUGAAUUUUUUUAAUUGCAAAUUGAUGAUUUUUUUUUCUCACAUUUAUACCCAUUAGAGUUUCUUAUUAGGGUUUGUGUUUGAAAUUUGGAGAAAGUAUGGUGCAAUUGUUCACCAGUGUGGUGUACCAUUUUGUUUGUUGUAUCUGAUCUUUGGGUAUUUGAUUUAAUUUUAUUGUUGUUGAAAUUGAAAGUUGAAAUCCAAGUUAAAUGUUUAACUAGAUAUUUGUAGUUGACUUGUUUGCACCGAUCUUGAUUGCCCAUUUCAUGGGAAUAAUUCAUUCCAAUUUUCCUUCAUGAUUACUAAAAAUAUAUUGUAGGUGAAGGACUAUUAUGGAGUAUAUUUAAUUCACAAGAUUGAAUAUUGAACAAAGAUAUGCCUUAGGUCUAGCUUAUAUGGAAUAGCAUAUCUUACAUUUAGUUAAUUAAAUAUACUAUACAAAUUUUGGUUAUAUAUAAUAUCUAUGUUACAAAUUUGGAUAAUUCGAAGUCUAAGUGACUUCAUAUAAUUAUUGUUACAUCUUAAAAAUGAUUUCACAAAUUAGAAUUACAAUGACUCCUACAUAUCUUAGAUUCUAACUCAAAUUCUCACUUGAUUUUAUUUUAUUUUUAUUUUUUUGUUUUCAAUCAAUUAAUAAUAUGUUAUGGGCUAGUUUAGCUUAUAGUUGAGAUGAAUUUUAUCUAAGAGCACCUCAAUUUGAACCAAAUUGAAGAAAAAAAUGACUUAUUAUACCUUAUGAAAGAUAAUAUUAUUAAUUUCCAUGUUUUUUUUUCAAAUAACCUUUUCAUGACAUGAACUUAUAUGGAACAUUGUUGUAUUAAUUGAUUAGGAAAUCACUAAGCCUAAGAAAGUGAGAAAAUUUAAAAGGGAAGGAAUGUCACCAUUGCAUUUUAGCACAAAGGAAGAUGAUCUCUAGCUAUGACGAAAAUUCAAGAAAUGAACAAGUUCCAUUAAAGAUGAAGGCACAAUUGGGUGACAUUUAAAAAAAAUGUCAAAGGAAGUUAUUGUUUUAGCUACGGAUAUGUUCUUUUUUUUUUUUUUUUUUAGACUUCUUGUGUUACUCAUAUAUGUAAUAUGCAAUGUGAUUUCUCUUUUAUAUUAUAAAUUUAUUACUCUUAGCACUUCAUUUAUGGGAUAGAUGAAUAAUAAUUACUUUAAUUUUAUUUAAUUGUUGGAUAGUUGUUGGAUGGAUAAAUAAUUGUCAUUUCUUUAUAUUUGAGUUAUUUCAAUAUCAAAUGCCAAUUAAAAUAAAAGAGCAAUAGGUGAAGCUAAUUUUAGAUUGUCACAAUCCUUGGCACUUCCACUAAGUGUCAAGGUUUAGAGCAAUCAACAAUGGAAAAGGUGAACGAUGAUGCUUCCAAAAAGCGUCAAGGUUAUUUCAUCUUCAACAAUACCAGUUUUUGUAAGUGUCAUUAUUUACAAAAUCAACAAUAACAUUGGCAAAUUGGUACGCCUCAAUGCUUCUAAAAAACAUCAUUAUUUGUUCCAUAUUUACAAUGACGCUUUUAAAAGUGUCAACAUCGCUAAACACUCUUUACAAUGACACUCGAUUUCAUGGUGCUUUUAAGAAGUGUAAUUGUUUGUAAAAACUUAUUAUGACAAGCUAAGAGAUGACACUGCGGAGAAGUGUCAUUGUUUGUCUUUCUUGACAUUGUUUGUCUUUCUUAACAGGUAAAAAGUGUCAUUAUUGAUCGAUUUUUCUUAUAAUGAAUCCAAUUGGUUGUGAUUGAGUUAAUGAAAUGAUCACCAACUUUUUUGCAACCAUACAACACUACAUAACCUUAAUACCUAUUGUUCAUUAUGAUGUUGUAAGAACAUAUGCCUUUAUGUGACCUAUUAAAUAAACUGGUCUUAUCAACUGAAAAAUGUUCCUCUAGUUAGUAAAAACUUCAUUCAUGUGGUCAUUUAUUAGCAUCAUAAUAAUCCAUAUUACAAAUAUUUAAAAACAUUAAUGCACUAAAACAUUGAUUUCAUCAACAAAAAUACACUCAUUCUUUUAACUUAUAGCAUUCAAAGAUGUUUAAAAAUAUAUAUGUACAAUAAAACAUCAUCAAAUUUAUUAACAAUUAAACUUUUAACCCCAAAACAAUCCGUUACUUUAGUAGAUAAGACACUAUUUGGAAUAACAUUAUUUUUAGCUCAAGUUAGAAGUUAAAAUGAUAAGGUUAAAAGAACAAAACCAACAAAAAAAAAAGUUAUUUUUUGUCAAACUUGACACUAGUUCAAGUUAGAUAAUGUAGCUCAAUGCCCUAUUGAAUUGAGUCAUAUAACUAAACUCCCUAAUUAUUUAUUAUGAUACACACACAACCUUUGGUUUAGUAUACAUGAUUAAAUUAAAUGCCCAACCUAGUUUGCAAAGCUAAAUUGGAAUCCCAAAUCUAGUUCAUCAUAAAUACUCUUCAACUGACUUGCUAUGGCAUUCAAAUAAGACAAUGACAAUGAUAGAAAACCAAAAAAAAUACCUAAUAUAUAAUUGAAAACUCCUUCCUAAAGGAGGUAAAAAAAAAUCAUGAAGUAACUUUCUUCUAUUAAUAAAAAAUGGGAAUACAAUGAUCUAUAUAGUGUUUUAACUCGAAACUUAUGGUACUACAAAUAUUAAAGAAGAAAUUUAAAACACACACACACACAACAAGCAUGUUGUCAAGCUUAUAAAAGUUGGAGAAAUCUCUGCAUACAAGUGUUCAAAACAUGAUGGAGAGUAACCUUGAUAUUUAAGUCAACAAUAUACAAGGAAAGACAACCCAAAAAGGUACAACUUUGAGAACAAACUCUCCUUUUUGCUUUUUCACAUAACCCCUUCUUUUUUUCUUUUUGAAAACUUCUCUCAUUUCCUCUAAUUGUUACACUAUACAACAAUCCUAAAAAAAUAGAGUUUAAAGGUCUGUUUGAUAAUCGUUUUUAAAAAUAAUUCUGAAAAAUAGUUUUUGAAAAUUAUUCUCUAAUGUUUAAUUUGUAGAACAAAAGUUUGUUUGGAAACCUAAAAUAUUUUUAACAUGUUUUUAAUGUUGUUAAAUAUGUUUUAAAAAUAAUUUUAUGUCUAGUAUUUUAUUUUUAAUCAUUCUACAUGUUUAUAUAAUUAUUUUUUAAAACAACUCUAAAAAAAUAAGUGAAAAUAACAUAAAACAAUUAAAAGAUGUUAUCUGAAAACACCUUAUUUUAUUAUAACAAAAAAUAAAAAGCGGUUUUUGGUUGUCAAACAUGUUUUCUUAGUUUUUUAUUCUGAAGAAUAGAAAAUUGUUCUUGAAAAUAGUUGUAAAACAAGAAUCUUUUCAUAUUAGUCUAGGUAUCACAUUAGUUAUUGCCCAUUUUAUGAUUUUAAUUAUUGCUUAAAAACUAGUCUUUCAACUAAAAAAGAAGGUCCACUACUUAUGGGUCAAACCUUCAACUUUCAAACCCCAACACAAAGUUAUAGUCAAGACUAAUAUUCACAUAUUAGUAUUAAUAUAGUUCAUUAAAUAUGAAUUUCUAUAGAAGGCAAAAUCAAGUUUUUAGGGGAAGUAACAUUCACUUUCAUAUUAAGCACUUUUUAACUCAUAAGUUAGUACUUGUAACAAAAUUUCUUAAUAGAGACUUUAAUUGAGUUUUAAGAAAAAAAAAAUUGUUUGUAAAAAACCAAUUCAAACAAAAUCUAAAACUAAUAUUAUUAUCUAAAAGGCAUAAUGAACAAAAUAAACCAUAAACUAAAGUGGUAGUGACAACCAGUAUGUAGCGUCCAUGAAUAAUUGAAAAUAGCCUCAUUUUCUAAUGACCUCGGACCUAGAAGCUCUAAAAUCCUUGCCUAAUUCUUUGUGAUGACUUUAGUUUAACCUUAAUGGCGAGGGCAAAAUUCUAAAUAAUUUUUGUCACAACUCAUAAAUUUAGAAGAAAAAAAUGAGAAUAAAUGGAAUCCCAAACAAGAAAUUGUUAUUUUUCUCUUUUAUGACAAAAAUCUACUACUAUUAUUUAAUAACGUGGGAAUUGUUCUUUCAACUUUAAUACCAUGUAUGACAUAACUUUAACAACCUUAAUUUAUAAGAUUAUUGAAUUUAAAAGGAUAAAACAAUUACAUAUUCAUAAGAAUCACUUCUAUUUUUUAACAACAAUAAAUUUCAUUUUUUGGACAAAAAUACCCUCCAUUGUUUUUAUCAACAUUUCACAAUCGAACACUUAUUGGAAAAAAAAAAAGGUAUAAGGGUAGCUAUAUUAAAAUGAGGUUAUAAUUAUAAUACUCAAUAAGUGGAGAUUGUUUUUCCAAAUAUUGGGAUCAUCUUAUCCAUUUGACACAAAUAUUUCUAAUUUAUAUUAUAAUUACUCUUAUAGUAAGAGAAAAAGAGUAAUUUCACAUGAAAUGGACCCAUAAACAUAGAUUUAUUAUGAGGCAUGUUACUAUAAUAAUAAUAGGAAAUAAGACGAGACAUGUUACCAUAAUAAUAGAAAAUAAGAUAAGUAAUUCAAUACUUAAUAAAGGUCUAAAACAAUUAUGCUUCUCAUUAAAUGAUAUUAAUGAUGGAAAAAAACUAAGGGGUGGUUAAUAAAACUUAAUAUUUAUUACUUAAGGAUUUAAGUUGACUUUAAAUUAAAUUAUGCUUAAAUUGUUAAUUUAAAACUUAUUAAUUCUUAUUUUAAGUAUUAAGACUAUUUAAUAAAAUUAACUUGAAAUUUAUUAAGACUAUUUAAUAAAAUUAACUUAAAAUUUCUUUUAAAUUGUCAAAUCGAUAUAUUUAUUUUCUUAAAUUAUAAUUAAAGUAAAGGACAUCAAGUAACAAUGGAUGUCAUGGAAUAGUGAAAGAGAUCUUAGAGGUAACGAGACAAAUUAUGGUAAAAAAAUGUUAAAUAAAAAUAUGAACUUAAAAAUAAAUUAAUUAUUUAUAUUUAUUACUUAAAGUUGUUUUUUAUUUUAUAUUAUUAAAUUAUUAAAUUAUUUUACUAAAUGUGUUUAAUUUAUUUAAUGACUUACAUUAAAUUACUUUAGGCUAUUAAAUCGGUUUACAAAUAAUAUCGAGUAGGCCCACAGACUGGAGAAUAUUGCUAUCAUAUGUUUUAUCACUACUUUCAUGUAUUAAGGUGCCAAGAAUAAUUCACCACAAAAUAUAUGAUAAGUUGAUAGUAUAGGAUACAAUCUAAAAAAUGCACUUGAUUUCAUCAUCUAAAUAAAUGCUCUUGGCAAAAUGGAUCAUCCUAGCUGAAACCAGAGCACAAGCCGUCAUGGACAGGAGGCAACGGAGAAACCCUUCUGCUUCUUCUUCUGCCUUUUCAUCUCCAACUUCAUCCUCAUCGCGUUUCCGCUCAGAGAAAUUCUCCUCGAAUCCCCCAAAAACUAGUAACUCCCUGGAGGAUGCUCACCAAUUGAAAAGCAAAUGUGGGAAGCCACAAAGACCAGAGCAAGAGGAGGAAGGAGAGCAAGAUCCGAACAAUCUUCUCUCCUUAGUUGGAACUUGCCCAUUCAUGUGCCCUGGUAAAAAUGCGUGCUUAUUUUUCCAUUUUUUUUAAUUCUAUUUUCCUGUUAUUCUGUGUUUGGUUUCCGAGAAAUUGGAGGAAAACAGUAGAAAAGAGAAGUGAAUCUGGAAUUUCUGUGUCAUUUUUGUUGCUUUUACAUAAAUUUUACAAAUAAAAUUGAUAUUUCCCCCCUUUAUUAGAUACCAAUCUGAAGAAGACGUAGGAAUCCCAAAAAAAAAUUCGCUUUUGCCUUUACUUCCCCCAAAUCUUUCAUAAUGGAAAAUGGACUUACCACCUCUUUUAUCACUUUUCCUUUACCAUGUCAGGUUUACAUGUAAUCAAACACUGUAUUUGGAGUAGAGCAUUUAUUCUAAUGUCAAAUGGUGUUGAAAACUUGAAUUACUGGAUCUUAAGACUCCAGAAGAAAUUUGAUUGUUUAUGAUUAUUGCUCCAUGAGAAGGGAAAGGGAUUUCUUUUGUUUUUGCUCACAUACAUGGCCAAAUUGAUUUAUCUCCUUCUCAUACGAACAAAAUAAGGACAUUUCUUGUCUUGCUGCCUUUUAUGCCACCGGUUCCACAUGCUGAUGUGACAACCCUUGUGCUAUUCUGUACAAAUGGUAGGAAAAUUCUGGUAAGACUGGUGGCCAGCCUAUCAUGUUCAGAGAAUAAAUUCAUUGUAUAUCUGGAAUUCACUCUAUAUCAGCAUAGGGUGUUGAUAUUGAUUAUAAAUGACUAAAUUCAAUUUAUUAUCCUUACAUUAGGGAGUGCUAAAAGGAUGCAAAUUGUUCAUGUUAUACCCAAAGACAUACAAGUGAUGCUAGAGAUUUUCACAAUGUAGAUAAUCAUAGAGUAGAGAUGAACACUAUGGAGUCUUUUGGCAUGUGUUCAUUCCAUGUAUGGGAACAUGCAUUGGAAGAUUAUGUUUCCUCCUCCCUCCCCUCCCCUCCCCAAAGUAAGUACUAUGUUGUCAUGGCAAGAACUUUGGUGACAUGCUUCUGAGUGGAAUAGCCUCCUAGAAGUCCAUUUAUGUGGCAAUUGGCAAGUUCUUCCAGUCAAUGAGAACUUUGUGACUGUCUGAUUGUUGUACUAAUCAUCAUCAGAUUUUUUUUAAGUUCAAGUUGCAAAUAGCCUUUCACAGUUGAAGGUAGCAAUGAAGAGGCCUGUUGACAUAAUUAUUUCUUCUGCUUGAAUGGAUUAAAAUCAGAUACCACACCUUCAGCCUAGAAAACUAUGGACUUUCCUAUGUACCUGCAAUUGGCUGAAUACUGGUGUGACACUGACCAAAGGCUCUCUGAUGCUGUUAUUAAUUUCCCGAGCAAAUAAGAGAAAACAGAGAGGUCAUAAUGUGAAUCAGUUACCUCUUGAGUAGGGAUGAAGGCUUUUUAUACCUUUUUACUUUCUGGUUAGGCCUUGGAAGCACUUCUGUGAACCAUGAUUUUGUACUGUAAAAUUAGAUGGGAUGGAUAGGUCACCUUAACUCUACUUUUGGAAGUGAUUGGGGAGUGCAUGACCGUAUGAAUAUUGAUGUAUUCUCCCCAUACAGAGCCCAACUUCUUUUUGAACUAGGAAGCAUGAAGGGUGGGUGCAUGUGGGCUGAGGAAGGAAGAUUUGACUUGUGUGCUGCAGGCCUGCAGUACCAAUUUGUUCCAGAACUUGAUAAGGCCCAUAAACUGGUAGGCAAGUUUCAUUAUUUGGUCACCACUGAAUUUCGGCAGUAUGGCCACAAGGAAGGUAGGAAGGAGAGGGAGAAGAGAAAGCCCCAAUUGCCAAUUGCAAUCUUCCGGUUGGCACAGUGCUCAUUUGCUGACAUUUCCAUUUGAUUUUAACCUUGAAACAGAUACAGCUUAACGUGAUGGACCAGUUUUUCACAAUCUUGUGAUUCAUUACCCAACUUCUAGUAACAGUUUCUCAGCAGAUGACUCACCCAUGACAGGCUGAUGAUGUCUGCACACAACUUGAAAGGUAUUUAUGCCAAGGUGUGAAAGGUAAUAUUGUGACACCAUUUUUCCUAUUCCAGAAAAUGUACCAAAUGUAUGGCUGGUUCUUGACCAAAAAAUGCUGGCAUUGGUCACCAAGUGCUAGGGUGAUUCUUGACAAAAAAUGUCGUAUUGUUCAGAACAAUGAUUUACAACUUCAGAUUGGCCAUCCAGUUAAUGAUGAUAAGCACUUGUUUUACAAAGUUCAGUGUCAUAAAAGCAAAAUAAUUUUGUCAACAAAUAUGGGGAUAACUUUAUCAUAAUUACUACUUAUGGAAUUUAAGGAUAAGUUGGGUAAUGUGAGAAAGUUUUGGUCAGAGGAUAUGAGGAUAACUUUGUUGCAAUUGCUAAGCUACACGUCCUAGGACUACUAGGAGAAAAGUAUGAGCAACAGAAUGAAUUUACAGUCCAUCCCCACUAGCUGCAUGGAGAGGUUGGGCUUAUUGCUGCUAUGGUGGAGGUCACCUUCUUGUAGACUUUGAAAUGUGCAAAUGAAGAGGCAGAUUUCUUAGAAGAAUGGGUAGGAUUCAGCUUGUGGUAGAUAUUGAGCUUAUCGCCUCUAAUUUCAUGUCUUCUCAAUGUGGAUUUGAGGUUUAACGAGAUUUUUGGGAAAUCAUUAAGAUUAAAAGUAAUCGAAGACUUUCACAUUAAUGAGGUAAUGAAUAACCACUGAUACUUCUUCACCCCAAAGUUCCUUCACAAAAAUUUGGUGAGUGAAGAACUAUUACUGAGUUGUGAAGCACCAAUUCCAGCUUCAUUAUCUUGAUCUUCAGAAAGAGGGAUCCAACUUGAUUUGGGAUUUUAUACCUGUCAACCCAGUCACUGGUUUUUAGGAGAAUACUUCCAAUUUACCCUUGGGUUGCUUUAGAAAGUUUCUUAAUAGUGCCAUCUCUCUAGCUUAAGGGGCUUUUGUUAAUGGAAGGCAAAUUCUAGAUGUGGUUAUCAUUAGUAAUGAAAUCCUAGAUAAAAAAUUCUGUUCUAAGGACGAAGGGAUGGUUUUUAAAAUAGGUUUUGAGGAAGUUUAUGAUCACAUAGAUUGGGGUUUCAUGUAUGAUACAUACUUUGAAUAGGGAAGGCCCUUGAACCUGGAUGGCACAAAGGGACUGGAUAUUUUGAGGUUGUUUUUCAAACUGCAGACUCUUUAAUGGUUAUUGAAGCUGAGUGAUUAGCACUCGAGGAAGAUUCGGACAUGGUUGUUUGCCUGGAUGUAAUGAACCUCCAUAUUGAAGGGGAUUCCUUUGUUAUUGUCUUAGAACCUUCUUUGAAGGCAAAGGUCCUUAGUGGAUUGCUCAUCAGAUGGGGUGGCUUCAUAAUCAUGCUAGAGACAUUGCUUGUUCUUCUCUAUUGAGGCCCAGAUCAGCUAGCCAGGUGCAUGGCUAUAUUUUUCUUAUAGGGAUGCUAAUAUCUGAAAUUUUUUAUUGAGAACACUUACCGCUCUUUGAUUGGUUUGAGGCAUGGAGCGGCUUUUCUGUUCUCUUCUUGCCAUACAUGCAUAUCAUCCCUCUUUUUUUAUCUUGUUUAACUCAAUAAAUUCUCAUUUGUUAUAAGGAAAAAAAGAGAUAUUAUGUUACAUGAUGGAAGGACUUUAUUCUGUUAUGGAGUAUGCAAAACCUAGAUCUAUUAGCUAGAGCUAUACAGUAGGCUGUUGGGUUGUUCAGUAUUGUCUCUUUUUUGGAUAGGUUUGGCCAAUGCCCCUUGAUGUUACUUUUUGGUGAUGUAAUUUUCUUUGAUUUUUCUUGAAAAUUCCUCAUUUUUCAAGCUUGCUUGUAUAUCUUUUCUUCUUCCAUUAAUGAUUGUUUGAUUCCUUACUAAAAUAAAUAACAAAUUAUGAUGGAAAGGAUUAUGUUUAUGGAAAAUUUUGAGAUUUUCACCAGAUUAGAGUCUCCGAAGCUGGUAUUUGUCUUUACACAGAUAAUAGGAAUCAUUUUCCCCCCAAACUACAUAAGACAUGUCUGCUACUUGGUAAUGUUCCAUUGGCAGUUAUAAACUCUCCUGUCAAAUGUGAAUCUGUUGUAGCAUUCCGAAUGGUGUUGUGUCGUACAUAGAUUGGUAAUUGAGGACUUUAUUAUGGAUUUCGUCCUGUUUUGGUUGUGCCAACAAGUUCUAUCCUGUUCUUUGUCUUGCUGAUUUGCGUGGUUGUGCAUCAUGUUCCUACCAGCUGUAUAAUUAUGCUUCUGGAGCAUAGUUAUUCUGGUUUUACCAUCCAGAUGAUGGUACUAAAGUAUUUGUAUUCUAGAUUGCACAACUCCUUAUAUGGGAUAUUUUUGCAUCAAAUGCUUAGUGAUCAAGAGAACUCUCAUAUUAAACACAUUCAUCUUCUAUUAAACUAAAUUCCUUAAGUCUGCAGUCUCACAACUACAUCAUACCAUUCUUUUCCUUUUUUCUUCCUUUCUUGCUAUUACAGGUUGGUUGCCACUAAUAUAGUAGAAAGCAAAUUACACGACCCUGCUUCCAUAAGACCUUUCUUAUUCCAUAGGUUGAAAUAGAAAAAACACUCGAUGGGACUAAUGCUUCUCUUUGCAAGCAAGCAAAUUAAAAUGUUUUGAAACCCAUGCUGCCAUGAUCUAGCUAAUUUGCAUUUUAUAUGUCUACUCCUUUCUAUUUACUCAAAUUGUGUAUUUCUUUUGCUUGUAUUUAUUUCCUGAUGAGUUUAUUCUGAUUCUUUGAUCAGGAUUUCUGCAAUCACAUUGCUUGCUAUUGAAUUUUCAAGGGCUUAAUAUGAAUUAUUAAUAAAGAAGUUGUUUAAUUAUUUCAGCAGCUUAUACUUUGUAAUUUCUUUUAACAACUCUUAUCUCUGAUGUUCAUUUGUAAUAAAUAGCUGGAGAAAGGGCCCAACGUGAACGCCUUCGGGACUUAGCUGUGUUUGAGAGGUUACAUGGAAAUCCUGGGAAAACAUCUCCAAGCCUUGCUGUCAAAAAGGUAAACCCUACAUCUCAUGCCUCUAUACCGCAUCUUAGCUUCUCAUCUUGCAUCGGACAAUGAUACUCUUAUUGAAUCAUCUUUACCAUAUCAGCCAUCAACAUGUGCACUUAUUGAGCACUAAUUCAGGCACUGAUACUUGUGCUUUUGUUUUGUUUUAUCUUCUCUUGUCUUGUUUUGUUAUGGAUGUGAUUGUGUUGGAUGACCUGUAUCUGUGUUAGACACCAAAGCCUAUCUUAAUGGUACUGUAAAGUAAGACUAUGCUAAUAAGCUAUUGAUCUGUUACAGGGUUUAUGCCAAACUGAUUUUUUAGUUUCUCUAGUAGAAAACUUGUUUUUUCCCCUGUUAUAUCGGUGCUAUUGUUGGAUUUGUGUUUGUUGUUGAUCAAGCAUUUGCUGAAACUUUUUUUUUUUUUUUUUUUCCUUUGCUUCUUGAUGUGCAAAGCAUUAUUGUUUGAAUUUUAAUGAUCCCAUUUGAUUCACUAUUCAAUAUUUUUAUUUGAUAUUACAUCUAUCUCAUUUGUUUUCUUUUCUUAGUUUUUAUUUUUAUAUUUUAUAUUUUUAAUUUUUUUUUAAUUUUUUGAAUUAGUGACAUUUGAAUUUGAUGGAGCCACCAUUAAUUUAUUUUUCCUUAUUAUUGUGGGGUGUGCUUUAUUUUGUUCAAUUGUUGUUGCACUAUUAUUAUCAUGUAACUUUUUUUUUUCUUUUCUUUUUUUUUUGUUUAAUCUAUUGUUCCUAUGAGCAUUAAAUGCUCCUAAAAUGUAUGGAAUAGGCUAAACCUUUCUAUAGUUUUUUUAAAAAAACUCAUUUAUUAUCUAUUUUCUUGUGCUCAAAAAAUUAUAUUUUUUUAGUAAAAUUGAAAAUUUAGGGAGCGCUUAGGCCCCAGCGGCUCAACCCCUUGAGGGUUUAUGCCUAUUGUAGCAAGAUGUGGACCCCCUUGCCUCUUAUGCUUUUACCUUAUGAAACUAUACCAAGAAAAAAACGCCACAACUCCCUGCUGCCAUCAAAGGAUACUUCAAAUUUUGCUUGAUAUCAAUUUUAAGGCUAAUUAUCAUAGGCUUGUCAUCAUGUCACUAAAAUUGGUAUUGUAACCAAAGUCCUAUUGCGAAAUCUUCAAGUUGCAGCUCCUUUUUUUCUGUUGGCUCUUGUAUUGUUAGGUGGCCGCAACCUGUUGCUUUACUUAUGCUUUAUGAACUACUCCAGUUAAAAUAAUGCUUCGAGUAGAUGCUUUUUGGAUCUUGACUCUAGCAAGAGGCUUAUAUUGCAAAUUUUUUUUGUGGAGUCCUAGAUAGGUUAACUAGGAAGACAAUAGCUUGCUUAAAAGGAUUGCCACCUCUCCUGUUGGGUUUGUAAAAAUUUUGCUUCUCCCUUGACCUUGGGAGUCCUGUGGUUUCAAUUUUGGGUGUGCUCUAGGUUGUAGCCUGUGUUAUGCUUUCUAAAUGGUAAUCUUCUUGUUUUGGUUGGGAUGCUUUUGUUUAUUUUGCUUGUUUGCUUUCUUUGUUUCUUUAUAAUUGUGGCUAUAGGAUCACCAAUCAACUUUAUAUUUUUUGCAAAAACUGUUUAUGUUUCAUAACGAAAAAGGAAAAAACAAAGGCAAGUUAGCCUACAAUAGGUUCUAUCUUGUUUCUUCUUUUACCAUUAGUGUGGAUUCGAACUCAGGAAAAGGCCUUCAAGCAAGUGGCAUUUGUGUUUUUUAAACAUAUAUCUUUGUUCAAUCAUUGUUAAGUGUUUGUUGUCUUGUCUGUUCUUUUGGUUGUUUUUGUCUUUGUCAAAGUGUAUAACUGUAAUAUCCUACAUCGUAUAGAAGAAAAAGUUUCUAGUGCUAUAUAUGUAUGAAUUUCUUUUAAUCUUGUUGAUUCGUUUUUAAGCCGUGAGGGUCGCUUAGGCUCAAAACAAAUAAUAUCCACACAACUGGGAGCAGGUUGUUACAAAUGGUAUCAAAGUCAAUGCUCGACCUUGGUGGGAGAGUUUGUUUGGCCUGAAAUGGGUGUCCGUUUAUUUGACCCUACAAUCCUGUUGGACACAACAAGAACGUUGUGUCUGCAUGAGAGAGAGGGUGAUUGUAAUAUCUUACAUUAGAUAGGGGGAAAAGUUCCUAACGUUAUAUAUAUAUAUAUGUCUGUAUGUAUGUAUGUAUGUAUAUAGACUCCUUUUAACCUUGUAAACGUAUUUUAAAGUCAUGAAGGCCCCUUAAGUAUAAGGUGGAUAAUAUCUAUACGGUUGAGUGCAGGUUGUUAAAAUAAUUACUUUUAACUUUCCUUCCAUAUGUUUAAUUGCAUAACAUUAUUAUAGCAAAAUAUUAAUCUAUCAUAAUGCAACGUCUUGUAAAGCUUAUGUUAGGUGUCAUGAUUUUAUCUCUUGUCAUUUUUAUUAUUUUGAUUCAAUAUCAUCUUAGCUUAUAAUCAUUUAUACACUUGAUGCAUGAGAAAUGAAGAUGCUAUAAAUUGUAGGAUUCUUUUUCUCCAAUUUGUUCCUUGAUAUUUUAUAAUGCCAUGAAAUGUCUAUAUUUUGAUGCAGAAAGCCGUUCACCCUCCAUCUCUCUCACUAGUUUUGCAGAACCAUUGCCACUAAGCACAUGCAGGCGUCAGAUGUGCGGCCACUUCCAGUGUUGGAAGAGACUUUGAACUACCUAUUAAACCUGUUGGAUGCCACGGAACAUCCUUUUGAAGUGGUUCAUGAUUUCGUCUUUGAUAGGACAAGAUCAAUAAGACAAGAUCUUAGCAUGCAGAAUAUCGUUAAUGAUCAAACAAUUCAUAUGUAUGAAGAAAUGGUAUGAAUUUCUUGAAACAUAAUCUCAAUUACCUUUUUUUUCUGAGCAUUCAUCUCCUCAACAUACAAUAAGUUAGCCAACCCAUUGCUAAACACUCACCUAGUUGGAGAAAAUAAUCAAAGUAUACAAGAUAUAAAAUGUUGAAUAAUUGAGUCAUUAUCCUCUCCUUUUGCUUUAUUGAAUAAGAUAAUUUAUUCAGUGGAGUCCAAACGAGGUGAAACUGUGAUCACACUACUUGAAGCCUACUUUACAAUGGAUAAAUGAAUGGUCUGAUUCUAAAUCUUUCUUGGCACAUUAGUUAUUAUCCAAUCCGUUCUAAUUAAAUUAUCCACUAUUAAGUGUCUAUUUCCAGUCACCCUCCAAGUUAUGAAAGACCCAUAGAACCAAAGCAACUCACACCACAUGUGAUGGGAAUUGAUGCUCUCUUCCAUAAUGUCAAGUUUUCCAGUACACUUGCUGACUUUGUAGAAUAUGCCUACAAAAAGGGCUGCCACCUCCUAAUUCCCAAUCAUAGAAGUUUCUUAACCAUAUUUCAAAAGCUGUAUUUCCUGUUCCCCCUCUUAAAGUUUUUUAAACCUAUAUCUCUUUAUCCUAGUAAUUUGGAAAAAUGAGGAAAUUAUUUAACAAGAACUCCAUCAAUUUGUUCCUUAAAAUUUUCUAUAGUUUCUAUCUCUCUCACUUUUGAUUCAAAUUCUUGAAGCAAAGGAACAAAUUCAUGGCCAGUAACAAUUUUAGCCAAGCAAUAGAAUGCACAACAAACAUGCAUAUGAAUGACUUGUGUUUUUUUAUGAUAAUUGAUUAGAUAUUUUAAUCUCAUCCUAAAACCUUGGAGUUAGCUAAAAGCCGCAUCUUAUGUUCUGACUUGUGGUUUGUUUCAUAAUAUAGGUGAAAUUUCAUAUUAUAUCCCACCACAAGCUUCGCAGUUGUAGUAGCAAGCCAAAUUUUUCUUCAGUUCAUUACCUCAAUAUGGAGCAGCUGAAAAAGUGUCUGAUAUCUCUAUAUGCUCUAUACGAAGAAAAUCGAAAUUCAAAUUCUAUUUACAAGAAUGAACCUGAGUUUUGCUCAUUUCACGUUCUUCUUCAUCUUGGCUCUAACAACCAACCAUUGGUGGAUACUUGCUUCCAUUGUUUGUUUGAGUUCAUCUUUUUCAGUAUCUCUUGUAGCCUUGUACUGGUUUCUGAAUAUGUUACUAUUUCUGUUCUGAAGGGAGAGUCACUCUCUUUAUGGUUGGGUCGUGUACCUUCUCUCAUUUUGAAGUCAAAGGAAAUGUGUUUUGCCCGGAGACUUUUAAGGUGACCACAAAGCUAUUAUAGAUUCGAUUUUCAAUUGAUUUUUUUCUCUUCUUUUAGUACCCAAUGUUCAAAUUUUUGUUUUCAUGAACUGAAAGAUCUGUCUUUUCUUGUAACAGAUUAUUUCGGAUGGGCAAUUAUAAGCGUUUCCUUUGUACUACAGCAACUGAGGCAUCUUAUUUGCAGUACUACAUUAUUGAACCUUACAUCAAUGAGGUUGCUUAAAUAUGUUGAUUUUGCUAGAUUUUUCAGUUUGAAAAAUAUAUGCUUCUUUGUUCAUUUAUUGUUUUUCAGUUUCAUUUCUGAGAAUAUAUCUCAAAUCUAGACUCGAGUACUUGUGCUUUUGGGUUUUAUUUUUCUUUCAUUUUUGUUAGUAGUUGUACUUCAUUAUUCUUAAAUUUCUCACCAACUGUUUCUUUAUGUGGUUUAUUGCUCCUCACUUUCUUCAUUCAUCUGAAGUGUUCAAAUUCAAUUAGCUUGUUUCAUAAACUAGUUCUUAUUUAGAAGUUCUUCUCAACUGCCUUUUUUUAGUGCUUCUAAAAGACAUGCCUGAUUUAUAUACAUUUUUGUUGGUUUUCUUUUGACCGUAAAAGGUUCGAGCAUUGGCAUUGUCAUGUGUAAAUUAUUGUGGCUACAAACUUCAUCCAUAUCCAAUUGCACACUUGUCCAAACUCUUGAUGAUGAAGGUAUGAUUGCAUUUACUAGCAUUAAAUUGCUAAAAUUUGUCAUCCAAAGUUCCAAUUUCUUUUGAACCUUGAAGACUUCAUUUGCAUUCUUGUAGGAAUUAGAUGUGGAAUCAUUUUGCAAUGCUUGUGGUCUUGAGACCAGCACUGGUGAGCGGGGAAAUAAGUUCUUAUCAACCAAGCAAACAAACUUCCAUUAUCCCAAGGAAGUCUUUCCAAGCUACUGCCUUCUGAGUUUGGAACACUUUUAGAGGUAACAAUCAAUUGGAACUAGUUACUCUUUCAAACUUCUUAUUGUACAAAUAUAACCUGCAUGUGCAACCAUUUCUGAUCCCAUAAUUUCAAGAAUUUAUGACACCUUCUAGUGGUUAGUUUUUCUGGGAAUAGAGUAAAGCAAUCUAUUCACUCCCAGAAACUAUCGUCAGAGGAACAGUAGAUAACCCCGCAAGACCAAAUUUAUGUAUGUUGCAUGGAGAUGCAUGUUUUCUGCAUCCCAAUCAUGCAGUGUUGUGUCAAAUGGAAUAAUAGCAGGUGAUGAUAAGUGGUAUUUCUAAAAUCUUCUAAGAGUAUUCCAUCUAUUGUAAUAUUGUUUUACUUAAAAUUGUCUUUUUGAGUCUUAUGUGUAAAUAUUCGAGUUGACCUCUUGUAAGCUAUCAAUUGAUGUUGUAACUUAACUUGAAAGGGAAAUUCUAUAAAUUUAGCCUUGGUUUGGCUCUUGGAAAGCAAAGAAAAAUUAGGUUAGUGAGUUGAUUUCUUCCCUUCCCAUGGAUGUAAGCACAUUCUUGAAUCACGUUAAUUAUUUUUUGGUUUA